rnacentral:lncRNA from 1 species
UGGCUUCUGGAGUCUUCUAGAUGAUAGAAAAUUGCGCGGCACGUUAAUAUCUCUAUGUAAACCCGACAUGUGGGCCUUUCUUCCAUAUUUCCUGAUAACCCCCUGCAGAAAUAGAGAAACACCAAAACUCAUGUAAUUUUGUCAGAUAAAACCCUAAGUCUGGGUGUUGGUUGCAUUUGGAUCCUUUUCUUUAUUUAUUUGAUGAUUAUAUUUGGUACUUAAGGACCGUCCACAAAUGCCCCCAAGCUUACCUCUUGCUUGUCCUUGACCAAGGAUGGACUCAAGAGUUUCUGCAGUGGUUUCAUGCCUUAAAAGUACACAUGCAUUCAAGCAAGAUCUCAUCUCUGAGUUAGAGUAAACGGUUAAGACUUAAAACUUACUGAUUUUACCUUUCUCCAUGGGGCUUGCAACCGUCACUUGUGUCUUGAGCAGUUAAAAGAUAGAACGGUCAAGUAAAGUGUCAUGUCUCUUGUUCUUUGAUCAGCUGUAGCUUUGGAGUUUUUGCAGAUUUUCAAAUAAAACUCAGAGAUUCCUUGUAUAACUCUCUCAAAUCUUUUUUUUUGGUAUUUCUGGAUCCUUUCCAAGGCAGUAAUGGUAUAUGCCUUCUCUCGAAGUAUGUGGUAUUUUUGGUAUGAGGAAUAGUGAUAUUGCCUUCUCUCUCACCCUACUCUAAUAUGGUUUUGAUAUCUGGAGCUCAUAGGUGGGAGACAUACAAUACAUACUUACAAGACAUUUAUUGCAUAGUCAAACCAUGGAUCCAGAGAAAUAAGUCAAUAAGUCAAAUCAAGAUGUGUAUGUGUGGCGAGUGAAUGGUGUAUGGUGAUGAUGGUGAUAACAUUGGUGAAAGUCUAAUUCUACUUUUGCUCUUUUGAGGGGAUACAUACCUUUCUUGCACUUUGAAGCUUUUUGAGGAGAAUGAGAUGCUCUAUAUUUUCUUUUUCUUUUCUCUCAGGUGGGUAUCUUGUACCCCUAAUUCUACUGUCGGACAUUUGUCCAUUUUUAACUCUUGUCUCACUUUUUCUUUUCUUCGAGGUUCCGGGCACAUGCCCCUUUUUAUUUCCUCGUAUCCUCUUUUUUUUAGAGCACUCAUCUCCUGAAAUAAUAUAGCAAGUGGUAGUAACCAAGAUAACUCGAGCAUUUAUUUCAUAGGGAAAACAGAAAUAGGAGAAUGUUUUUAGCUAUUCUCUCCCGGAUUAGGAGUAGAAUAAUUUUAGGUGAAUCUGGAGAUGGCAUUGAGUGGAUGUAUGUGGAUGCAUACUUCCGGAGUAGAAGUAGCAUGUAUGAGUGAACGUGCAAGUGAAUCUUGAUUUUAACCGCAUGACAAGCUCCUAAGGGUCUACACAGCUUGACCACACUCAAUGCACGUAAGCAGUAAAAAGUAAUUGUAUGGUUCAUAGUCUAAUAAGCAUAUAUAUAUGGCUGUGGUAGGAUUUUAACUCUCAUCAUACAGGAACUCAUCAUGUGUUAUUUUAAAGAUUUUCAAAGAUAAAAUUCUCCAGAGUUCUAGCAUCUCUAGGAACAGAUAAACAGCAGCUCAACCUUCCCAUAUCAUAUCCGUUAAUGACUUAUACUUUAGAUCAAGUACUAUUCCCACAAGUUCAGGUUUAGAGCAGGUUUAAAUUAUAUCAAUCAUGCCUAAACUUGAGACAGAGCUCAAACUUGAAAACUAGGUACAUGGCAGAGCAACUAUUUAUCAUAUCCAUGUAAGAGUUUAUCAUUUAAGUUCAGUUUGGCCUAGACACUUUAUUUAUUUAUUGAGCAAACUAAGCAAAGAUAUAUAUAUAAGCACAAAAUUUUUAUUUGGGUUUUCAUGAUCAUGCAUCUUUUUAUUAUUUGAGUAAAGUAUAAACGUGAGUAGAAACACUUAGCUGGAUAAAUGGGGGGUGCUCUCCCUCAAGCUGGAUUUUGACGAAAUUUCUUCUGAUGUAGCUAGCAGGUGACGGAGGCGUAUCUGAAUGUUGGCAGCACCCUGACAGCGAUUAGGAUGACCUUCGUCUGCUAGUGUUCUUUGAUCCUUGAAUCCUGUGGAGCUCAAAUAGACAACAAAGCUUUGUGGAACUAGUUAAGUGUUAGCAUAAUUAUCUAGCCUUUAUCAUGUUGAGCCUCCUCAAUAAAUGUUACUCUCUUUAGCAGGAUCAUAAAUUUAUUUUUAUAUUUUUAUUUUUAUAGGACAGGAAUAUAUUUAUUUUAUUUUUAUGCCACCACAGUGAAUGUACUUAUGGGUUUUAUGCCAUGAGCAUAAUCACAUGGGGCUUACUAUUUUUAACAUUUUUAUUUUCUUUUCAAGAUGAUAUGAACCUGAUUAACUAAGCAAACUAUUUUAAAUAAUUGAAGGGAAAAGGAUAACUACAAAGUUUACCUCUUGGCAAGGCGUUCGGUGUUUUUAAGUCCUCCGAACGGGACUCUCCGUUUUCUCAAUCGUCCUGGGAUUCGCUGGAUGUCGUAGUUGGUGGUUCUGGCGGCGCCUCCUCUUCGUGUAUAACUAUCUUUUCUCUCGAUACCGGACUCGGUGCUACGGUCUCCUCAGGACAGUUCUGUUCAAGCUAUAUGUCUUCAGACCUUACUACUUCUCCUUCGUAGUCUGCCCAUCCAUCUGAUUUGCCUCCUCUGGUUGUUGUUGCGUCGUCUUCUUCUUAUCCUGACCUGCUUAGAGUCUUGCAAAGAAGCUACAACAAGAGGUCCACGCGCUACUUUGUGAGAUUCAUUUAAACAUUAAUAAGAAUUAUAUACUACCUAAGUGUUGUGCCUUGAUUGUACUCAGGUAUAUAGAAGAAGAGAACGAUGAAUCAGACCCUGAAGAACGGACCGGUGCAAGUUCCAGAAGAAGUAAAAAACGGACUAGUGGAAGUCAAAAACGGACCAGUGCAAAGAAAUCUUCAUAACUUUUAACUCACAAAAGCUAUGAAGGUCCAUGAGCACUUGUUGGAAAGCUUGAUGAGUCUACCUUCCAAUGAAUCUAGUGUUGACCAGUUUGGAUACUCCAAAUUUCCUGCAGACCAGAAUUCGCACAAACUGCUCAGAAGGUCAACAGUGUGUCGUGAUAGAAUGUUGGUACAACUUGCCAAGUAAAACUGUACCAAUCUACAACGUUUCGUACUGGUUGGCAAACAUUGCUAGAAAGCCCUUUGAGUCUAGUUUUACACCCAAGAAACAGUUCAUCAUUUGGACUUCCUAAUAAAAAGUUAUGGUCAGUUUAUUGGAAACUGCUCUGGAGGCCAACAGUCACGCGAAGCCACUUCGGGAAUCCAUUUCGAGGGGACCUUUCACAUUGCCUUCCCUCAGAAACUCUAUUUCGUUUUCAUACCUAUCUAGCAGGGCUGUUGCUAGUAUAAAUACCCCCUAAGACUCAUUGUAAUCUCAGACUUUUGAGAAUUGAAAUACAGAACCCUUUUUGUUUAGCUGUGUGCUAGCAAAUAUUCAGAGAGUGAUCUCUACCCCUUUGCUCUUGUGAUUUCCUCACGGGAUUACAUAGGCGGCGGCUUCAUCCGCUCCCAAUUGGUGCUCCUACUCCCUUCAAGGUAUUCCUUGAUUGAUUGUAGGCUGUGUUGGUUGGUUCUUUGAGAGUGUGGUUGGGCGAAUCCUCGAUUCAGGUUGCCGGUUAAAGAUGGUGGUUGGCUUCGAGUUUUAUUUGCCAGGUUGCACUAGUUAUCGCUGCUUGCAGCAAGUUAUCCGGCUGUUCUUCAGCUAGUUAUCGGUGUUCUUCCUACGUCGUGAAGAUCGGGACAACGUGUCGCAUCAUCUGGUAUCAAAGCUUUUGUUACCACGGUAGGAAUUCUAUCCCUAGCUACAUAUAUAUUUUUGCUUCGUCCUAUCCACCAAAAAGCUAGAAAAAUAGAUUGCUUAGACCUUUGUUUCAAUCUGUUAUUUUAGUGAGUUCGGUUAAGUCGCAGUCCAUUAGAGUCUUUGUUUUAGUUGCUGAUCAUUUAUCCUUCGCGUGUUCUUUGUGCCUCUUUUAUAUCUAAAAAUCCCCACAAAAAAAAUCUCUAUAUCAUAUAUCAUCCUUUGUGUUAACUUUGAUCCUAUCUAGCUACUGGUUGUUGUUUCAUUUCUAUCUUUAGUUGUGCAAGUAUCAUAAUCUGAUCCCUGUUUUUUAGUUCUAUAUAUAAAAAAAGUGUGUCAAAAAAAAGAAAAGAAAGUGAAAAAAAAGUGAAGUGAAAGGUUCAGAGAGAAAGUCUGAAAGAUUAGUUGGUUUAUGUGCACAAGUGCUGAAAGUUUCAUAUCAAGUUCUGCAACCAGUUUGCUAUCUUUGUUUGGUGCAAAACUUUGGUUGGGUCUGAUUGCAACACUUGCAUCCCAAUCAUACUCCUUGUUUGCAUCAAUUCUAAAUUUUCUUUGCGUGUGUGUGAUCUAUUUAUACACUUCAAAACUUUUGAUCAGCACUAGGCAGAGAAUUUCUAGUUUGGAUCGUUACUUAACUUUACAACAACUAGAAUUCAGAUUGCAUUCCUUGUGUAUUACUCCCAACCAAGCUCCACAUAAAAACCAUCGUAAUCGGUACUCUCUAUUCUUGUAUUCACCUUGCCAUCACUUUCAGUUGCCACCACACAUUUGUUUUCCUUGUAAUCUGCAGCAGAGGAAUUCAUAAGAGCUUUGGUGGUUAGAGAGGUGAGUUGUGAGAGCCACCAAAUUUUCAUAUUCCACAAAUACAAAUUAUUUGUAUUCAGCUAACCUUACAGGAAGAUGGGUCGAGUGGACAUCAAAGAUCGUGUUACCAUAACACAAUUUAAUAAAAUCUGACAAAGCAUGGAAGAAAAGCAAGAGCGGUUGACACAAGAACUUUAGAAUCUUAUGACUGAAAUCAGAAGGCAUCGUCCAUCUCAUGAUGGUGCAAGCAACCAUAGUGGAGAUAGAGAAGAUAGUGAUGGAAGAAGAGGAGGUCGGAGGAACCAAAGGGCUGCAAAUGGUAAAGGAAGAAGACAUAGUGGAAGAAAUGAUGAUGAAUGUGAAUAUGAGUGUUGACGGUCCUUAAGUAUCAAAUUUAAUUAUCAAAUAAAUAAAGAAAAGGAUCCAAAUGAAAUCAACAUCUAGACUUAGGGUUUUAUCUAACAGAAUUCCACGAGUUUUGGUGUUUGUCUAUUUCUGCAGGGGGUUAUCAGCAAAUACGGAAGAAAGGCUCACACGUCGGGAUUACAUAGAGAUAUUAACGUGCCGCACAAUUAUCUUACACCUAGAAGACUCCAGAAGCCACGAGACCGAAGCGGUGAGCUUCUCCGGCGGAUCCAAGGGCACCGGCAAAUGGAGUGAUUCCGCAUCGAUGGAGGUAGGUGGCGCUAGGGUUUCGGCUACGGAGAGGGGUCGCCGUCGGCCAUGGCGGCACGGCGGAGCUACCCCGGCUUACGCCGGCCAUCUCCGACCGGUAGAACGUCGGGGAAGGGUGGCUACAGCAUCAGCGAGUCAGCGUGGAGCUUUCGAGGUAGGAACGCCUAACCCUAACGGCUCCGGUGAGACUGAUCGCAUGCGAGGUGCUCGUCAGCGGUGAGCACGGCGGUGCGGCGACCGUGUUCCCGCGUGACGGUGAGGUUUUAGCCGGAAUGGCGUGGUGUGGACCGACGCCAAGACCUAAGCAGACCCUAACGCUACCCAAAGAGAAGAAAGGAAGUAAGGGUGAAGCAGCGGCGAGGUUCGCCGGAAUUGGUGUCGCGACGGCCGCGAACCCGACGACGAAGAACUUGCGAAAUGCCGCUCACCUCGGGGAGAUCUCGUCCAACCGAUGGGUGGAGAAGAUGGAGGAGCUCGAGGCGGACUUGGAGGCGCUCGGAGGCGAAGCAAGACGCAGAGACGAAGACGCGAGGAGCUCGCGAAGCUCUCGGCGGCAAUGGCGACGGCGUUUCCGCCAGAGCGAGCGCGAUAGAGAGGAAGGAGGAGAAUGGACGGGCGCGGAGCGAGUGUGGGGCGCCGUGGCGUCCAUGCCAACGUCGACGACCUGACGAGCGGGGCCAUCGCCGGUGUAAGUAAUUUAGCUUUUGCUUAAUGAUAACUGAGUUUUCUAGGAAACUUGUCUAAAUCCAAUUUGUUGUAAACUUUAUGAACUAGCUGUGGUUUAAAUUUGGGAUCAAUUGGCCUAGCAGUUUAAAAGUUAUGGUUGUUCCAAUUUGGGUUCCAGAAAUAGGUGCUCUCUGUUUUUCUAGGACAGAACCUGGAACUUUGUUUAAAUGGCUUGUUUAACUUAUGAAUCUUGCUGUGAUCACUUUCAUGAGAUGGUCCUAAAACAACUUUUGUUCCAUAUAAAAUUUGCUACAACUUUGCUGUAGAAAGUUUUGACAUGCAAACAUUUUAUGAAACACUUUUUAAAAGCCUAAGCAAAAGAGGUUUCUAGACCCUAUUUGUGUAAGUAUGACUUAUGUGAUUAUUUUGGAGAAGUGAUCGACAAGAACAUUGUUCCCAAGGUUGAGUUAAGCAUAGAAUUGCGAAGAGUAUAGAAUUGUUUAAAUGACUCGAUUGCGAAGAGUACUCUCCAGAGAAUUCCUUCAUUUUUCUCUUUAUAUGGUGGAUGCCUACAUCUGUUUGCUGCAAUUCGAUGACUCGAUUGCGAAGAGUACUCUCCAGAUUUCUAUGAAGUGCAUAUUUUCUAUUGCGCCGGUGGGAAAUUUAGAGAAGUCGCGGGAGUGUUUCUCGCCGAGAAACACUCACCGGACGCUGGCUCAGAGGCACCGGACGCUGUGUCUGAGCGUCCGGUGUGCAGGCUGCCUGGCUCAGCUAGGGUAAGGCACCGGACGAUAGGCACCGGACGCUGGCCUGUGCGUCCGGUGGUCCGUGUCCGGUGUGAGGUCCGUUUUGCAGACCUCUCUUGGUGUGAGUCCGGUGAGCACCGGACGCUCAAGGUGCGUCCGGUGGCUUGCGUCCGGUGACCCUGCAAGUUUGCAGAGCUCUCUGCGCAUGGGUCCGGUGUGCACCAGACGCGUCCAGUGGUAACUUGCUCAGCGUCCGGUGCUCUGCAGGUUACCGUUAGACUCUGACACGCGGCUGACGUUGGAGCACCGGACGCAGGUGUUGAGCGUCCGGUGCCCCUUUAAGAGCGCCCGGUGACCCCGUAUUUCACCCAAUGAAAGAGCCAACGACUCUAUUUGUUUGAGGGGCUAUAAAUACGUGUUUGCCCGGCUUGGGGCACACUUACUUGGCAUUCUAACAUACUUGACAUCCUUGUGAGCCUAAGCAAACACCUCCCACUCAUUUCCUUCAUAGAUUAUACAUCUUUGUGAGAUUGGGAGUGAUUUCAAGUGCAUUUGCUUGAGUGAUUGCAUCUAGUGGCACUUAGUGAUUGCAUCUAGUGUUACUCUUGGUGGUUGCCGCCACCUAGACGGCUUGGAGCAGCGGAGGAGGAUUGGCACGAGUUGGUGAUUGUUCGUGGCCAUCUCCCGGUGAUUGUGAGAGGUUUGUGCCUACCUCGGUGGAGUGCCAAAGGCAACAUUAGUGGAUUGCUCGUGUCAUUGAGCUACCUCACUUGUGGGUAGUUUCUUGUGGUGUCCUAGUGAGGACAAGGUUCGUGCUACACCUCUUAGCCACCGAACCACCAAGUGUUGGUCGACACAACGGGGAUGUAGCGUGCCGGCAAGCACGUGAACCUCGGGAGAAAAAUUGUGUGUCUCCAUUGUGAUUGUUCAUUGGAUUUCUCCCGGUGAUUGGACUUCAUAUUAUUGAUUGGUUCAUCCCCUCUACGUGGCGGUAUAAAGUUCAAACCAUCUCUUCUACAUUCCCGCAAACUAAAGUAGCUUACUUACUUUUAUAGAAACUUUAGGUAGCUUUCUAGUGUAAGUAGUGACAUAGCUCUUGUGUGCCUAGUGAUUAUAUCAACUAGAAUUGUUGGAUAGGUGGCUUGCAAACACCCCUUUAGAGCUAGAGAAAAAAGCUUUGCUUUGUUAUUUACUAACCCCUUGCUCUAGUGAUUUUGUAGAAUUUUUAAAUAGGCUAUUCACCCCCCCUCUAGCCAUAUUAGGACCUUUCAAUGUAGCUCUCCAGCAUAGAGCAAUUAGCCAGCAAAAUCAUCAAGUGGUUUAGGAGACAAUCAUCGGGCAAAACCGGGUUUUAGUCGGUGAUCGCGUCGCCUGAAUCUGAGCCGAGCUCGCCGUCGUGGAUGUCCAGAGCGACACCUGUCCGCCAGAUGGCGCCCAUACGCCGGCGGUGGCCCCGCUCGUCAGGUCGUCGAUGUUGGCAUGGACGCCACGGCGCCCCACACUCGCUCAGCGCCCAUCCAUUCUCCUCCUUCCUCUCUCUCGCGCUCGCUCUAGCGGAAAUGCCGUCGCCAUUGCCGUCGAGAGCUUCGCGAGCUCCUCGUGUCUUCGUCUCUGUGUCUUGCUUCGCCUCCGAGCACCUCCAAGUCUACCUCGAUCUCCUCCAUCUUCUCCACCCAUCGGUUUGAUGAGAUCUCCCCGAGGUGAGCGGCAUUUCGCAAGUUCUUCGUCGUCGGGUUCGCGGCCGUCGCGACACCGAUUCCGGCGAACCUCGCCGCUGCUUCACCGUUACUUCCUUUCUUCUCUUUGGGUAGCGUUAGGGUCUGCUUAGGUCUUGGUGUCGGUCCACACCACGCCAUUCUGGCUGAAACCUCACCAUCGCGUGGGAACACGGUCGCCGCACCGCCGUGCUCACCGCCGACGAGCACCUCGCACGCGAGCAGUCUCACCGGAGCCGUUAGGGUUAGGCGUUCCUACCUCGAAAGCUCCGCUCUGACUCGCUGAUGCUGUAGCCACCCUUUCCCGACGCUCUACCGGUCGGAGAUGGCCGGCGUAAGCCGGGGUAGCUCCGCCGUGCCACCAUCGCCGACGGCGACCCCUCUCCGUAGCCGAAACCCUAGCGCCACCUACCUCCAUCGAUGCGGAAUCACUCCAGGAGCACGCUGGUGCCCUUGGAUCCGCCAGAGAAGCUCACCGUCGGCGAGCAUUUGCCGGCGAAGGCGUCCUCUGUUCUCGGUGUCACUGACGCGCGGGUCCCGACUGUCAGGGACUCAACAGCCUUCUCCUUCCUUUUAUUCAAAUCUUGAUUUUUGGCUUUCUUGCAAAAAUCAUAUCUCCAGUUUCUGAGAUCCAAAAAUUGUGAAACCAAUUUUUUGGUAUUCCUUGAGAUGGCUAGUUUUUAAUAAAAAUAUAAAAUGAACCAUGUUUUCUGGGAAAAAUAUUUAUUAGGAUUUAAUCUUGUUAUUCAUAAAUAAAUUCAUAUCUCUUGUUAUACUGCUUAUUUUGUUAUGAAAUUUUUAUGGUAGUCUCUGUGUGGUACUGGAGUGCUAUGAUAAAUAUUUCAUGAUUUUUGGAGUACUGCAGCUUUGAUAUGUAAUUUAUGCUUGAGAUUUGGCUUGUUUCCUUAAUUAAAUCUUAUAAAAUAAUUGGUACUUAUGCUGGUGCUCUACUUUGGAAAUAAACUUGUUUAUAGUAUUCUUAAUAUGUAAAUAAUCUGAAAUCUGUUGUUUGGCACAAUAUAAGUCAUGUUUCUCAAUUUAUGAAAUAAAAACCUUGUCACAUGUUAAAUGUAUAUCUUUAAUUUGGUAUGUGCUUUUGCUCUGAAAAUUUUAUGGUGAUGCUUUGGUGCUAUACUUGUGCUUUUGUAAUUUUUGUAGAUUUGUCUGAGCACUUUUACCAGUAUCUUGUAAUUAUACUCCUUUCUAGAAAUAAAUUAAUAAAUGCCUUGUUAAUAAAUACUUGGAGGUUAUCAUAUGGUGUUCUGGCUAUCUUGUGGUGUGCUUGUGCUCAUAGGCCAUGUGGUUGGCAUUGUUUAUGUUUUAGUUUGAAGUUUUAACGGUAAAAAUAGAUUUGUGCAAUUCGGUUUUAAUUGCUUGUUAAAUUUGUCUUUUUCAUAACCACUGUAUUAUUGCUGAAAUAAAUGUGGAAAUAUUGUGGCAAGCUUUUCAUAUGGUAUUUGAUGUCUGGUAAAUGUUUCAUGAAUUUAGGCAUGACAGAUUAGGAGUUAUAAAAAUAACAAAUUCUCUGUGUUGUUUUGCUCCUAUUCUGAGUGGAUCUUCAUGUUUAUGUUGUUUGGCUCAGUUAAGUUGAGAAUCAUGCUUUCAUGUCUAAAUAUCAAAUGUAGAUAAUUUCUUAAGCUUUCCUGAAUGUCUUAAUUCAUGUCUUUUGGAGUUGUGUAACUCCAGUUAUGAUUUAUUUUCUCAGCUGUUGUUAACAGUCCUAAAAAUGGCAGAUUCCUUGUAUUGCUGUUGCUUGGUAUAUAGAAUGUAUGACUCAUGUCUUUGAUAAUGGCCAAGUUAAUACACCUGAGAUCUUGUUAAACAUGUAUGCCAUGUCUAAUAUGUUUAGUGUUGCAUUCUUUGUUGUCUUAACAUGUUGGCUGUGUAAUCUUUAAGUAAGCAUUGAGAUGUGCUUAAGUGUGUUUAGUGUAACCAUGCUCUUGCCAUGUUUCUUGUGUAUGCUUUGUCUAUUGCAUUUCCAUGUGUUCAUGCACUUGCAUCUUGCAUGUCCUCUAGAUACGCUAGAUGAACCACGUGAAGGACAUGAGGGUGGAUCAUCCCGAAGAUGGAAUGAUUAAGCAAGUGUUAUGAUCUUAGAUGUCACCAAGACGGAGCAAGCUAACUAAUCUGACUCGGUGUCACAUUCCAGGCAAGCCCCGGAGCAUUAUAAACCUCCUACUUUUUGAAAGUGAAUGAGUAGAUAUAUGUUAUAUAUGUAUUGUUACAUUAAGUAUAGGAGUUGGAUGAAACUCUUGCUGCAUAUAUAUACCCUUCCUUGUCCAGUAUAUAUAUAACCUGAAUCCUAAUUAGUUAGGAUCACAUCUAUGCUUAGCCAUGCUUAGUUCGGUAGAGGCCAGGUGAUUUCCUGUCACCUACGAGAUAUAGGUGGAUUCCGGAUCACGGUUGGCUAUAUUUGCUAUCGUGGAAAAGAACCAUGUGUUAAUAAUAUGAAAGGAGACCGGGCGGGAUGGUGAUAGUGAUGCAACAAGGCAUGGAGGUCUUGGGUUUGGAUCUAUCCCCGUCUAUGUCGAUUAAGGACUGACCGUUGUACGUCCUCUUGUCAUGUUGAACGCAUGCCUAACACUUAGUUGGCCGGAUAACUCGUUCCGACCGCGAAGCCUAGUAAUAUGACUCAGGCCGGAAGGCCGGAAAGUAUAAAGUGCGCACUACCAGAGGAAGUGCGGUGUGCGGGAGACCAUUGGCGUAAGUCGAAAGGCAGGUGAGUUAAAAUUCCUGACCUCCCUGGCAGAGUGGUAGCCCUAGGAGUGCGGCGCUGAUUGUUGAUAUUUAGGAACGCAAUAAGGAAUUGAUCCGCAAGCGCACGGAUAUCGGUGAGCACUUCACCCGAGAAAUUAUCCAGAGUAUCGUAUUUAUUUUUUUACCACUAGGAGAAAGAGUGCAUCUAACUAACCGGUCUAUUACUACUAACCUUUAGGCACAAAGAAUGUCUUUCGAUGUGAGUGAUAAAUAGAGAAGACUGCAACCGUAGUCUUCUUCUAACCUUGGUAAGGAUGAUUUACUGUUCUAAUGGGGAGGCUAACGGAAUCUAGACACCACAAAGGAUGUUCAACCCACACCUAUAAACCCUAUCCUUCCUGCUAACGAGAUGUGAUCUACAAAGGUAGCUCGGAAAUGUCACGUUCCUCACUACUACCACGGUCCAGCUAGUCAGGGAAUAUCUAUGAGUACCCCAGCCUAAACACCACGUUUACGCCAGCAAUGAUUACUCUAAACUCUACGCGAAGAGAUUAAAGUAAACUCAUAAACCAUAAGAACAAUAAAACAAGAACUUACUAGAAUUUAGAAGUCGAAUUACUGAAGAAUCCUAGGAGCAAGCUUCGGGUUAGGAGAACUUGAUCCCGCAGCUACAAGCUUGGAGUAGACACCGACACGCCGGGCUUCCUCCACUCUACACCUCCACUCUAUCUCUCUCAAUCUAGUAGAAACUAGAAGAUCUAUUUCUACCUUACAUUGAUUGCUAAGCCUAAAAAGAAAUAUUAAUUAGAGAAGAGGUUUUCCUUCGAGGGCACCCCUCAGUCUCUAUGAUAAUUUCUUCAUGUCUUCUCCAGGGGCCAGGGGGCCUCGCUUAUAUAGUCCUCCCCUUCUAUGCGUUUUUGGGUCGAUAGCCGAGGUGGUACCAUGUUUUUCUUGAUCCAAUAGGUCGGUGGAAUAUCCCGAGCGAAGGAGUCCUAAAUUGGCUCCAGCAGGGGGGCGGGCGCCCAGGCUUCCAGGGCGGGCGCCCUGGGCCUGGCCCAGCUUCGCCUCCGCUUCGGUCUCGUGGCUUCUGGAGUCUUCUAGAUGAUGUAAAAUUGCGCGGUGCGUUGAUAUCUCUAUGUAAUCCUGACAUGUGGGCCUUUCUUCCUUAUUUCCUGAUAACCCCCUGCAGAAACAGAUAAACAACAAAACUCGUGGAAUUCUGUCAGAUCAAACCCUAAUUCUAGGUGUUGUUUGCAUAUUGGUCCUUUCUCUUGUUUAUUUGAUAAUUAAAAUUAAUACUUAAGAACCGUCAACAAAUAACCCCAUACUUAGGCUUUUACUCGUCCUCGAGAAAAGGAUGGUUAAGAAAAAUAUCUGGGGUAAACAUUUAAAACAUUCUCUUUAUAAUUGCAGGGUGUUAAAAUUCCACUGUGUACCAUAGUCAGGGAUGUAUAUGAUUAAGAGUAAAGAUCCUUUCUUCUCAAUCCUGUCACUUGGAGUUUUUGUAUAUUUUUGAAAGAAAAUUAGCAUACCUUUUGAUCCUCAUAGGUUCUCUCAGAUCACUCAUUAUCUUUUAUAUAUUUCACUGAGGCUGUUUUAAUUUUGCAAAAAAAUUCUCAAGCAUACUUACUUUGCAUUUAUUGCCUGAUCAAAACGGGAUCCGAGGAGGGGAAUAUCAUACUCUUAGAUCAAAGACUUUGGAAAUUAAAAACUUUGUCAACUCUUGCUGGCAUAUUGCUUAUUAGAGGGACCAUGGGCUAUCAUUUUUUUCUCUUUUCUCUUUUUUUUAUUUUACUAAGUGGAUACCGAGGUACCCCUAAUUCUACUGCCGGACACAUGUCCAUUUUUUUCUGCGAGGUUGUCGAGCACUUGCUCCUUUUUAUUUCCUCGAAAUAUCUCUAUUUUAGCAUAGCCCAUGCCUCUAAUGCAAUAAUACUUCGGAAGAGUGAAUCUUACUGAAAUAGUGUCUUGAUCUUGGGAGCAUGAUAAAUCUCUCAACAAGGGUCUAACUCAUUUUGAACAAACUCAAUACAGAGCAGAUAGCUUUUAUAAUCAUAUUUAAUAUUUCAGUUUUAUCAGGCAUAUAAAACACUGAGGAUGGUAGCUAGGAAUUUGAAUAUUUUGGAAUAAAUUCUCCAAGCAACAAUGAUAUCAAGAAUAAGAAACUCAUACUCUACCAUCACAUAUUCCAUAUUGAUUUGAGUAACACAGGGUUUUAAAAUGAUUUUAUACUAAUUGCAAGUUUUCAGGAAAUAUCACAGAUUGAGAUUAAUCAUGAUUAGAAAUAUUUUAAUCUUUUUAUUUUAUCAUGUUGGAAACAGUAAUCUGCAUAAUCCAAAAUAAAUAUAUGUGUAAAGUAAAGUGUGCAGAGUGUGUACCUGAGUGGUGGAGUGGUGUAGUCGGAGUGUGUUUGGCAAGUUGAGGGAUCUCCCCCAUACUUGUUUUCUGCUUUCUUGCACAAAAAUAAAGUAGAGACACACAAGACAUAAUAAUAAUAGUAAUACUCUUUAUUGAUCUUGAGGCAUUUAUUACAAAAGACUGAUAACAAACUGAUAGCAAAUUGAUAAUAAUAGUAAACUGAUGAUAAUAGUAAACCUAAACCGAAUUUAAAGAUAAAUGACUAAGAUGCAUUGCCUCAAGGUCUAAUCUAGAUAACUUAGCGGCGCUCUAAUUCCUUGAUCUUCUUGUUGGCACUGGCAAGAUCCUGCCUAAGGCCUAGUAUAAUGGUGUUGUGGUUAGAGAGCUGCCUAGUGAGGGAAUUAAUCGAGGACUGGAGGUCUAUGAUAAUUCUAUCUAGCCUGCGAACUUCCUCAUCAAUAUCCAUUAUAGUCUUGCGACGCUUGGGAGGUGUCUCAAAAGCAUUGAGAGAGUGCUUCGGGGCUGCCUUUGGAGGGAUGAAACGGACUUUGGCUGCUCUAAUCCCUUCGAAGUAAGGCCUCUCCUCCUCCGUAGUGUAGCGUACGCUGCUGAUCUCGCCGCUUCGGUUGGUCUUGACUCCAACGACCCUUUCAUUGGGUCUAGGUGGAAGGACCCUUGUGCCGAUUGGCACCUUGAUAGUGGUCUUCGCCUUGGAUGAUGAUCCUUUGAGAAGUAGGGUUUGUGGUGGUGCGGUGAGAACUGGUUGAGCAUGGUAAGAUUGGGCGGAGCUGCGUUGACGUAAUGGCAUGGCUUCUAGCUGACGUUCUGUGUUGGCCGGGACGAGAGCACGGGCAUCGGGGUCUUCCACUGGCUCCAUGUUGAGGUUGAAGGGGACGACUUCCCAAUCGUCGUGGUACUUGUCGGCCAUUGGAGUAGCAAGGAACUAAUAAAAUUUUAAUUGAAGGAGAGCUAAUCAAGCUCUAAUUGAAGGAGAGAAAGCUUGGUGGCUUGGUGUUUGAAAACUGAUGUCAGGGGUCUGUUUAUAUAGGGGUCAAAAGGAUGCCUCUAUGGGUUGUUCGGGUUGCUCCCGUCGAUGUGCGUGCGAAACUUUCCAUCCGAGGAGUUAUUCGGAUCACCCUAAGUGCAUUUUCCAUAACAGAGAAAGUCGGGACUGAGGGGGAACAGGGGCAGGGCGCCCGCCCACUUGACCUGGGCGCCCGCCCUCUCUCUGGCCCCUCUGUGGGCCCACUUCUCCGAGCGCAUUUCUAAAUGCAAAAUUAUUUAGAAAAAUAUAUAUAUGACCCAAAACCAUCAAACCAAAAGUGUCGGGCUCUAAUUCUCCAUGGGAAGGUAAAAAUGGACUACGUCUAUUUCUUCAAAUUCCUCAUUGGGCUCUAAAAAUAAUUUAAGACGUUGACCAUUUACCUUGAAUAACGUACCUUCGCUACUUUGAAGUGUGAUAGCUCCGUGGGAUGAUGAAUUGAUUACCUUGAAUGGUCCUUCCCAUUUGCUCCGGAGUUUUCCAUGCCCGAAAAGCUUCACCCUGGAAUUAAAAAGUAAUACCUUAUCUCCGGGUGUGAACUCCUUCUUCUUGAUUCUCUUGUCAUGCCACCUCUUGACUCUUUCUUUGUAGAUUUUUGAAUUGUGAUAUGCCUUCUCUCGCCAUUCUUCCAAUUCUGGUAGUUGCAUUCUUCCAUAAUCUCCAGCAACAUCCAGGUCCAUAUUCCAUCUCUUUAUGGCCCAGUGUGCUUUGAACUCUAGUUCAACAGGUAGAUGGCAAGUCUUCCCGUACACCAAUUGGUAUCGAGACAUUCCAAUUGGGGUCUUGUAUGUUGUCCGGUAUGCCCAGAGUGCAUCGGGUAACUUGUCUUUCCACGCCGUUCCCAUUUCAUUUACUGUCUUCUGAAGAGUAUUCUUGAUUUGUUUGUUGGAAGUCUCUGCUUGGCCACUUGUCUGAGGAUGAUAGGGGGUAGCGACGUUGUGACGGAUUCCAUGUCUUGAUAGAUAUUGCUUGAAACAUUUGUCGAUGAAGUGUGCUCCUCCAUCACUUAUCACUACUCUGGGAACUCCAAAUCUUGGAAAUAUAAUUUCUUCAAACAUCCUCUUUGAACUGACGUUGUCGGCAUGCUUGCAAGGUAAUGCUUCUACCCACUUGGAGACAUAGUCAACCGCCACCAAGAUGUACUCGCACUUCUUUGAUGGAGGAAAUGGACCCAUGUAGUAUAUUCCCCAGACAUCAAAGAGUUCAAUCUGAAGGUUGUUGGUGAGUGGCAUUGCAUCCCUUGUAUUUAUGUUUCCGUGCCUUUGACAUGCCCCACAUCUUCUGAUAUAUUGCUUCGUGUCUUCAUACAUUGUAGGCCAAUAGAAUCCACACUGCCAGAUCUUUGAAUGUGUACGGAAUGCUCCAUAGUGACCUCCAUAUGGUGAUGAAUGACAUCUGUCGAUGAUCUUCCAUCCUUCCUCAGUGGUCACACAUCUCCUGAGUAGGCCAUCAGAGCAUACUCGGAAGAGGUAUGGCUCAUCCCAUAUAUGUGAACGACUUUCUUGAAUAAGCUUCUUCUUGUUUGCUCCUGGUGGUACAUACCCUGAAACCAUAAAAUUAACAAUAUCUGCAUACCAGGGGUCAGACCUGUUAAUCCCGUAGAGCAUGUCAUCCCGGAGUGAAUCAUUGAUUGGGGUUUCCUGUCGACUCUUAAAAUACAUUCUAGACAGGUGAUCAACAACAGAAUUUUCUACUCCCUUUUUAUCUUUUAUUUCUAAGUCAAAUUCUUGGAGUAAUAAAAUCCAUCUAAUCAGGCGAGGUUUAGCAUCUUUUUUAGUGAGCAAAUAUUUUAGUGCAGCAUGAUCAGUGUAAACAAUUAUUUUAGCUCCAACUAAAUAAGAUCUAAAUUUAUCAAUGGCAAAGACAACAGCCAGAAGCUCUUUUUCAGUGGUUGCAUAAUUAAGUUGAGCUCCUGUCAAAGUUUUACUGGCAUAAGCAAUUGCAUGAUGCUUCUUAUCUUUAGUUUGUCCUAAUACUGCCCCCACAGCAUAAUCACUAGCAUCACACAUAAUUUCAAAAGGUAACGACCAAUCAGGGGGUUGAAUGAUUGGUGCAGAGAUGAGUGCUUUUUUUAAUAAAUUGAAAGAUGUUAGACAUGCAUCAUCAAAUUCGAAAGGAGCAUCCUUGGCUAGCAAAAGAGUAAGUGGUCUAGCAAUAAAUGAAAAAUCUCUUAUGAAUCUACGAUAAAAACCAGCAUGGCCAAGAAAGCUUCGAAUUCCUUUUAUGUUCACAGGUGGAGGUAGUUGUUCAAUUACUUCAAUUUUAGCUUUGUCUACCUCAACACCUCUUUCAGACACUAAGUGAAAUCAUCCAUGAAAACUUCCAUAAUCUCUUCGGUCAUAUCAGAAAAUAUAGACAUCAUGCAUCUUUGAAAAGAAGCUGGUGCAUUACAUAACCCAAAAGACAUUCUACGGUAAGCAUAAGUUCCAUAUGGGCAUGUAAAGGUGGUUUUGCUUUGAUCAUCGGGAUGGAUCGGGAUUUGGUGAUACCCUGAAUAUCCAUCUAAGAAACAAAAGAACGAAUGGUUUGCUAACCGCUCUAGCAUCUCAUCUAUAAAAGGUAAAGGAAAGUGAUCCUUUCUCGUGGCUUUGUUUAAUUUUCUAUAGUCUAUGCACAUCUGCCAUCCAGUGACGGUGCGUUGCGGAAUUAGCUCAUUCUUUUCAUUCAUAAUAACAGUCAUGCCUCCCUUUUUAGGCACAACUUGGACUGGGCUCACCCACUCACUGUGCGGCACAGGAUAUAUAAUCCCUACAUGCAGCAACUUAAUAACUUCCUUUUUAACUACCUCUCUCAUAGUGUUGUUAAGUCUACGUUGGGGUUCUCGAGAGGGUGUAACAGAAGGAUCUGUUGGAAUACGAUGAGUACAAAUCAUAGGACUGAUUCCUGUAAGAUCUUGAAGUGAGUAGCCGAAAACUGAGUGAUGUUUCUCAAGAAUGGUCAUUAAUCGCAGAGUUUGAUCCUGAGUGAGUUUAUCGCUAAUGAUCACAGGGAACUCUGGAUUAUUGUUUAGGAAAGCAUAGGUAAGACCGGGUGGUAAGGUUUUAAGUUCUAUGGGGGGUCUAGGUGUUUCUGCAAACUCAUCUAAGGGUUCAGGCUUGGAAGGUUCGUCUUCUUCUUCUGUGAAGAAAGGAGUUUCGUCUUCUAAGUCUGGUUCAUCUAAAAGCUCUAGAGAUGCAGCCUUUACUUCCUCCAUAGGAUCAGGCAAAAGAUAUGACUCGGCCUUAUUGUUUAAGGAGUGUGAAAUUAUCAUUGGGAAUUGAAAAGUUUUUCCAAAAGAAAUGUGUAGCUUUCCAGUAUGACCUUCAUAAAGGAGUCUUCUAAAAGGUUGUCCUAUUAAUAGGUCGAAGUCCCAUGUAUCAAAGAUAUAGAAGUUCAAAUGAACCAUGGAGCCUUCUACCGUAAGAGGUAGGACAUUAAUAAUUCCAAGACUGGGGACUAAUCGUCCCGAAGGUUCCUUUAUGACCUUUGUUGUGGGGGUUAAGACAAGAUUUUUAAAUAGUUUAAGUGCAAAAGAUUCAGACAUAAUGUUGAUCCCCACAACAGGAUUAUAAAGAGUAUUAAAUCGAUCAGAAUUAUAAGUACAACGUAUAGUUAUAGAGGGUGUGUCCAAACGGAUUACAUCAGAGGAAAGCUCUAAUUCCUCCAACCAUUCGCUACUCAUUACUGAGAUAAGCUCUCUCAAUUGAUAUUCACUUGGUAAAUAAAUGCUAAACUGGCCGUUUUGGGGUUUGUCAAUAGAAUGGUAGUUUGAAAUAUUUCCAAAAUCGGCAAAAAGAUCGGAUUCUAUAUCCAGCAUGAAGUCCGGUAGAGGAAUUUCUUCCUCUUGAGGCUCAGAACUUGGGAUAGCUAAAGUAGAUGAAGAAUUUGGCAGAGUGUCUACUUUGGCUUCGUAGGUUUCAUCAUGAAGGGUAUUAUCCAUCUCAGCUUCUAGGAUUCUAUCUAGGAUCACUCUAGUUUCAUCAGCAGGGAUGCGAAAGAAAGAACCUCUAGACAUUGUGUGAAGCAUUUGUUUGUGAUUUUUCUGAAGACCUCGAAAAAAGUGAAAUAAAAGAACAGGGUCUUCAAGAUUAAGGUUUGGACCAGAUUCUAAAAGAUCAGAAAAACGUUUCCAAGAUUUUCCCAAAGUUUCAUUAUCUUUUUGUUUAAAAGAUAGGACUUCGAGUCUAAGGUCGGCUAUACGGUCAAGGGAAUAGAAAUUUAGACAAAAGUUGGCUCGUAAAACUCCCCAUUCACCUUGUUGUUGACUUACCUUCUGACUGUACCAUUGUCUAGCUUCUCCCCUUAAGGAAAAAGGAAAAAGCUUCCAACGUAAUGUCUUAUCAGAAAUGCCUUCAAUGCGAAGACAAUCACAUGUUUGCUCAAAAUCUCUAAUAUGAAGGUAAGGGUUUUCGUCUUCCUUUCCCGAAAAAGAUAAGUUUUGAAUCAUGGCAAUCAACCUAGAACUUAACUUAUACUGGGGUGUUUGGAUAGGCUGUGAUGAUUCCCAUGGUAAAAGGUCAGUUGCUAAAGGGAUUGCAGACUCAUGGAUCGAUUUAGAAUUUUGGUUUUCCAUAAGGUAAGAGUAAAGGAAAAUAAAUAAAGGAUAUAAAAGAUAAGAAAAGAUAAAAGUAUAGAUACAAGCUAAUAGCAAGACACAGGUUAUCUCAGCAACCGUCUUUCUCCCCGGCAACGGCGCCAGAAAUGCUUGUUGAUAUUUGGGAACGCAAUAAGGAAUUGAUCCGCAAGCGCACGGAUAUCGGUGAGCACUUCACCCGGGAAAUUAUCCAGAGUAUCGUAUUUAUUUUUUUACCACUAGGAGAAAGAGUGCAUCUGACUAACCGGUCUAUUACUACUAACCUUUAGGCACAAAGAAUGUCUUUCGAUGUGAGUGAUAAAUAGAGAAGACUGCAACCGUAGUCUUCUUCUAACCUUGGUAAGGAUGAUUUACUGUUCUAAUGGGGAGGCUAACGGAAUCUAGACACCACAAAGGAUGUUCAACCCGCACCUAUAAACCCUAUCCUUCCUGCUAACGAGAUGUGAUCUACAAAGGUAGCUCGGAAAUGUCACGUUCCUCACUACUACCACGGUCCAGCUAGUCAGGGAAUAUCUAUGAGUACCCCAGCCUAAACACCACGUUUACGCCAGCAAUGAUUACUCUAAACUCUACGCGAAGAGAUUAAAGUAAACUCAUAAACCAUAAGAACAAUAAAACAAGAACUUACUAGAAUUUAGAAGUCGAAUUACUGAAGAAUCCUUGGAGCAAGCUUCGGGUUAGGAGAACUUGAUCCCGCGGGUACAAGCUUGGAGUAGACACCGACAGGCCGGGCUUCCUCCACUCUACACCUCCACUCUAUCUCUCUCAAUCUAGUAGAAACUAGAAGAUCUAUUUCUACCUUACAUUGAUUGCUAAGCCUAAAAAGAAAUAUUAAUUAGAGAAGAGGUUUUCCUUCGAGGGCACCCCUCAGUCUCUAUGAUAAUUUCUUCAUGUCUUCUCCUGGGGCCAGGGGGGCCUCGCUUAUAUAGUCCUCCCCUUCUAUGCGUUUUUGGGUCGAUAGCCGAGGUGGUACUAUGUUUUUCUUGAUCCAAUAGGUCGGUGGAAUAUCCCGAGCGAAGGAGUCCUGAAUUGGCUCCAGCAGGGGGGCGGGCGCCCAGGCUUCCAGGGCGGGCGCCCUGGGCCUGGCCCAGCUUCGCCUCCGCUUCGGUCUCGUGGCUUCUGGAGUCUUCUAGAUGAUGUAAAAUUGCGCGGUGCGUUGAUAUCUCUAUGUAAUCCCGACAUGUGGGCCUUUCUUCCUUAUUUCCUGAUAACCCCCUGCAGAAACAGAUAAACAACAAAACUCGUGGAAUUCUGUCAGAUCAAACCCUAAUUCUAGGUGUUGUUUGCAUAUUGGUCCUUUCUCUUGUUUAUUUGAUAAUUAAAAUUAAUACUUAAGAACCGUCAACACUGAUCGGAACCGCGAUUCCUGAGUCGUACCAAAGGUGACCCGUGGGCUCUCCGACGGGGGAUCCUUGGGUGAGUGCUAGGAAUACCCCUCCAGCUGGAUAGGAAUCGAUUCGAAUCGCCGUCUCUCCCGGAUAGUGAGAACUUGACAGAGCAGCGGCAAACGUAGCAUUCACUAAAUAACUUAAUGGUUCUAUGAUGAUGAUGAUGAUCACAGCCUUGAUAAACCUGAUAUGGUUAUUAUUGAUUGAUAUUAAUCAAGUGAUUGCUAUAGUAUAGGUGCUAAUCUAGUUGAUAGGUUAAUGAGAAUUAAAUGAUGGCUAAAUAAGAAAGGUUUAACUAUUUAUACUUAAGCUUUUUAUGCAAAAUGUUGUCCAGCAAGCUCCACUUAUAUAUCAGCCUUGCAUACUCCUUGGUGUCAUUUAUUUUUGGUUUUUGAUGGGUAAGUCUAGCUGAGUACAUUCUCGUACUCAGGGUUUAUUCCCACCAGUUGCAGAUGACAUCUUUUAUGACGGCUUCUGCAAGACCUGUCUCCAUCCCGCUGGGGAUGAGGACUAACCGUUGGGCACGGUUCUCUAACAAACUCGUACUGUUGCUUUUGGAAGGAUGGUGUAGACUCUGGCAAUAACAAGAACUUGUGAAAUGAACUUUGAACAAAUAUGUGUAAUUAUUUUGCUUCCGCUACUUCGAACUUGUGUUGUAAUAACUUAAUGACUCCGAUGUGGUGCCGCUUCGACGGCAAUAACUGACUAUUUAACAUUCGCUGUGUUUAUGUUGAACUAUUACAAUCUUGGUUUGUUGCGAGUUGGUUUGAAGUCCUUCGUGAUUUCAGUUGACUACCGGGAUUAUAUGGGCUCAAGUUUGGAAACUUGAUUGCUUGUCGAUCGUUUCUACACUUGAACUCUUAUAAUUUGGUCGGUUCUGUGACACAUCAGCUCAAGGAGGUAGACAUGCUGUCUGCAAAGCUAUACCUGCUCAUGAAGAAGCUCGACGAUAGAGCUGGAGAUAAGAAGGAAGUCAUGCACAUAUACGACUCUCACAUCACUUGUGAGGAGUGUGGAGACACUGGACACUUAGGCAAUCACUGCCCUGAGAUUGUUGAGGAUGUGAACUGCAUCAACAACAACUACUACUACUACAACCGUCCUCAACAAAAUCAAGGUUGGAAUCAACAGAGGCCUAAGUACUCAGGGAAUUAUCAAGGUAAUAAUUCUUACAACAAUACUAAUAAUUUUCCACCCCUGAGAGAGUUAGUGUCUAAUCAAGGAAAGCUAAUGGAUAAUCUAUCUAAGAAAUUGGCAUCUAAUGAUAAAAUGCUAGAAAAUAUAAAUAAUAGAAUGGAUAAUUUCUCUACUGCCAUCAAGAAUCAAAUUAGCUUUAAUAAAAUGAUUGAAUCUUAGUUAAAUCAAAUAGUUGCUGCUGCUAACCCCGGUAUACCAUCACAACCGGAAGGAUUAGAAUCUGUAAAUCUUGUAGACAUUUUUGAUGCAGGUAAUUGGAGUAACCCCGUCACUGAAUUUACUACUGAUCUUCUGCCGGUCAAGAGAGGCGAUCCAGGACGCCCCGUCAUCCCGAUCUCCAUCGGCAUGGUGGACGUCCCAGAAGCACUCUGUGACUUUGGCUCUAGUGUCAACAUUAUACCCAGGGUACUCUAUGAAAAAUUCUUUACAUAUCCUUUAUUAGAGACAACCAUGUGUUUGCAGUUUGCAGAUCAGACGAUAAGUUUUCCAAAAGGAAUAUUGAAGAACCUUUGUGUCUGAGUUGGUACCUUGUAUGCCCCAGUAGACUUCGUAGUGGUAGAGACCGAUAAUGAUCAGAGAGCACCCAUCAUCUUAGGGAGGCCAUUCUUAAACACCUCGGGAGCUAUCAACUACGCUAGUGAAGCCAAGAUCAGUUUCUACAUCAAAGGGAGGAAGGAGACGUUUUUCUUCAAGAACAAGACUACCCAAAUCCCAGAUCAAUCCAGACGUGAAUCAAGGAAGAGGACCAACAGGAGGAAUAGGAACAAGCAAGUGUGGACCGAGUCAGCUAAGAUGGUCACUGUAGUUCAUGGAGGCCAAGAUCAUCAACUUAAGUCACUGUUUUUGACCAAGAAGGACGACCCAGGAAUGCCAAGCAUCUACUGCUCCAUAAAUGGAUACAGCUUCUACAAGACGACUUGCGACACCAGAUCGGGCGUCAAUGUAAUGGCCGCAGUCACCUAUCGGCUCUUGUUCGGAACCAUGCCACUAAGACCAACAUACAUUCAGCUCCAGAUAGCAGAUCAGACAUUUCGAGAAGUUAAAGGAACAGUAACUGAUGUCCCAGUCAAAAUAGACGAUCAUUUUGUCUACACAUAUUUUCAAGUUAUUGACAUGGGAGAAGACGAAUACGAUCCACCCAUCAUCCGUGGAAGACCGUUCCUCAGCACCGUUAAAGCAAUCAUCUACAUUGGAACUGGAGAAGUCCGUAUGCACUUCCCCUCAGAGAAGGUACGCCGUUAUUUUAUUGACCCUAACUAUAUUGUUGAAGAAUCUAAGCAGGUAAGAAAUCGACGCAACCGCAACCAGAGGAGGCAGAUCAUUAAGGACGGAUGGGCAGACUAUGAAGGAAAAGUGAUAAGAUCAGAAGACGUAGAGUUUAAACAGAAUUAUCCAGAGGAGACCGUAGCACCGAGUGAGGUAUGGAAAGAGAAGAUAACUAUACAUGAAGAGGGGACACCGCCAGAAGUACCGACUCCGCCACCCAACGAAUUCCAGGACAAUUGAGAAAAUGGAGAGUCCCGUUUGGAGGACUUAAAAACACCGAACGCCUUGCCAAGAGGUAAACUUGGUAGUUAUCCUUUCCCUUUCAAUUAUUUUAAAAUAGUAUACUCAGUUAAUCAUAUUCAUAUUAUCAUAAAAAUGUUAAAAAACAGUAAGCCCCAUGUGAGUAUACAAGUGGCAUAAAACCCAUAAGUACAUUCAUUGUGGUGGCAUAAGAAUAAAAUAAAUAUUUCUUUCUACUUUAUAAAAAUAAAAAUAUAAAAAAAGGGAGUAAUAAUUAUUAAGGAGUCUCAACAUGAUAAAGGCUAGAUAUUUAUACUAACACUUAAUCAGUUCCACAAGCUUUGUUGUCUAUUUGAUCUCCACAGGAUUUAAGAAUCAAGAAGACUAGCAGACGGAGGACAUUCAAAUCGCUGUCAGAAUGCUGCUGACUUUCAAAUACACCUCUGCCACCUGCUAGCUACAUCAAAAGAAAUUACGUCAAAAUUCAGCUUGGGGAAGAGCACCCCCAUUUUUCCCGAUAAGUAUUUCUAUCUAUCUAUCUAUCUUUAUACUUAUACUAUAUUAAAAUAUAAAUAUGCAUAAACCAAGAAAAACCAAAUAAAGAUUUUAUGCUUAUAUAUAUAUAUAUAUCUUUUGCUUAGUGUGUUUAAUAAAUAAAUAAAGUGGCUAUGCUAAUCUGUAUCUUAAUAAUAAAACUCAAGCAUGGAUAUGAUGAAUAGUUGCUCUACCUAAUUUGCACAUUUUAAGUUCUCUCUCAAGUUUAGACAUAACUGUUAAAAUUUAAAGCUUGCUCUAGACCUAAACUUGUGGGAUGAAAACUUGAAUUGAAGUCUAAGUUGUUAACGGAUACGACAUGGGAAGGUUGAGCUGUUGUUUAUCUGUUCCUAGAGAUGCUAGAAUUCUAGGGAAUUUUAUCUUUGAAAAUUUUUAAAAUGUUGCAUGAUGAGUUCCUGUAUGAUGAGAGUUUAAAUUCCUACCACAGCCAUAUCUACAUGCUUGCUAGACUUUGAGCCACAACAUUUACUACUGCUUAUGAGCAUUGAGUGUGGUCAAGCUGUGUAGACCCUUAGGAGCUUGUCAUGUAGUUAAAAUCAAGAUUCACUUGCACGUUCACUCAUAUAUACUACUUCUACUCUGGAAGUACCAUCCACAUAUAUCCAUCCAUUUCCAUCUCCAGAAUCACCUAAAAAUAUUCUACUCCUAAUCUGGGAGAGAAUAGCCAAAAACAUUUCUGUUUUUCCCUUGUGAAAUAAAUGCUCAAGUUAUCUUGUUACUACCACUUGCUAUAUUAUCUCAAGAGAUGAGUGCUCUGAAAAAAAAGAGAAUAAAAAAAUACGAGGAAAUAAAAAGGGGCAACUGCUCAGAACCUCGAAAGAAAAGAAAAAGUGAGACGAGAGGUAAAAAUGGACAAGUGUCCGACAGUAGAAUUAGGGGUACAAGAUACCCAACUGAGAGGAAAGAAAAAGAAGAGCAUCUCAUUCUCCUCAAAAUGUUUCAAAAAGCAAGGAAGGUAUGUAUCUCCUCAAAGAGCAAAAGUAGAAUUAGACUUCCACCAUUGUUAUCACCAUCAUCACCAUACACCAUUCAUUCGCCACACAUGCACAUCAUGAUUUGACUUAUUGAUUUGUUUCUUUAGAUCCAUGGUUUGACUAUACAAUAAAUGUCUUGUAAGUAUGUAUAUUUUAUCUCCCACCUAUGAGCUCCAGAUAUUAAAGCCUUAUUAGAGUAGGGUGAGAGAGAAGGCAAUGUCAUUAUGCUUUAUACCACAAAUACCACAUAUUUUGAGAGAAGGCAUAUACCAUCACUGCCUUGGUAAGGAUCCAGAAAUACUACAAAAGAGAGAUUUGAGAGAGUCAUGCAAGGAAUCUCUAAGUUUUAUUUGAAAAUCUACAAAAACUCCAGAGCUAUAGCUGAUCAAGAAUAAGAGACAUGGCCCUUGACUAGACUGUUCUAUCUUUGAACUACUCAAGACAGAAGUAACGGUUACAAGUCCCAUGGUGAAAGGUAAAGUAAGUAAGUUUUAAGUCUUGACAGUUUACUCUAACUCAGAGAUGAGAUCUUAUUUAAAAAGCAUGUGUACCGUCAAUUUUUAAGAUAUUGCAAUAACUUCUGAUCCAUUGCUGAGUCUAUCCUUGCUCAAGGACGAGCAAGAGGUAAGCUUGGGGAAGUUUGUUGACGGUCCUUAAGUAUCAAAUUUAAUUAUCAAAUAAAUAAAGAAAAGGAUCCAAAUGAAAUCAACAUCUAGACUUAGGGUUUUAUCUAACAGAAUUCCAUGAGUUUUGGUGUUUGUCUAUUUCUGCAGAGGGUUAUCAGGAAAUAUGGAAGAAAGGCCCACACGUCGAGAUUACAUAGAGAUAUUAACGUGCCGCACAAUUAUCUUACAUCUAGAAGACUCCAGAAGCCAAGAGACCGAAGCGGAGGCGAAACGGGGCCAGAGGCAGGGCGCCCACCCUCCUACCCUGGGCGCCCGCCCCCUCUGAGAGACCAAUCAGGACUCUACUUCGUGGGAGAUCUCCACCGACCUAAAGGAUCAAGGAUAACCGUUCAAUCUAAGUCGGUUUGAUCCAACGGCCCAUAUUCACUUGAAGGGACUAUAAAACCAGACCCCCUGACCCCUGGAGGAGAGAGCCUCUCAACCCUAAUUCAUUAUUCUUCAAGGGAGAAGAAGCCUUUGAUCAAGAUUAGAGCCACCACAUCAAUUAGAUAUCUAGAUUGGCAUAGCUACAUAGGAUUAGAACUAGAAGGAGUCAAUCUUCGAUUGGUUUCCGGAUCUGUCAAGAGGAUUCUUGGUAAUUCUCUAAUUGUGCUUCUAAUUGCUUUCUAAUUAUCUUUGUUCUUCAAUAUUAUGAAUAUGACUUUGUUCUACUUCAAUAUAUUGCUUAUGACUUUGCUCUACUUGCCUAUAUUCAAGAUUAUAUUGUUCUUAGUUUAUCAUAGUUAUAUACUUGGCUUAGUUAGAUUGGAUCUAUAUACAUGCUUAGGAUCGUAUAGCGUUUAUCCAUCGGAUCCAUGGGUAAAUGAUAGAUAUUGUGUAGGCGUGGUGCUUAUACCGUAUUUAUCUACGAUUGUACCCAAUAUGCCAGAUCGUGGGGUAGUUCGUGAUAGUGAUAGCUUCAUUGAUUCUUAUAUAGUCCCCCUCUCGUGUAUUGGGCUGGCAGAGCAAUAUUAUUACAGGGGAGUGAUUUCUAUGUUUCUCAUAUUCCUUGCUAAUAUCACUAUGCAUGGGCCUACCUUGUCUCGCAAUGAUUGCUAAGUAUGCUUGCCCUAAUUUUGAUAAUGCUAGACUGUAUAGUUGAGAAUAACUUAGGAAAUAUUCUUGUAGUUCAUUCUAAUUCCAUGCUAAUGACUUUCUAGUGUAUCUAAUUGAGGUGCUUAUCAUAUUUAUUAUGUGGCUAAGUUAUGAUCAGAAUAAUUAUCCUUGUCACUAUUCAUUAUUUCAUAUAUCUUUUAUGUGACACAUACCCCUGUAUGAAAGAGUUAGAUAAAUGUUCUCAAUUAUACAUGCAAUGAUAGAUACUCAAUCUCAUAUUCUAUUCUGUAAUCAAUAGUGAUGAUUGUUAAUCCCUUUCCAGUGGUAAAAAUAUAAAUAACGAUACCUAGAAUACUUCCCGGUUAAAAUGCUACAUCGGUAUUAAUCUGUGCGCUUGCAGAUCCCAUUCAUUAUUUAUUUAGAAGAGCAAUUGCAUAUUUCAAUACCGCGUCUCUCAUGUCUUGCUGGGGAUGACAACUUGGCUUAAGUGGUAUGAGGGAUAGGUUUGGCAUUUUUGGCACCGUUAUCAGAAUUAGAAAACUUAGUCUACUUUUGGUAAUGAUGUUAAGAAUACCCAACAAUGAGGCUGAUGACAACCGCUUCCAACUCAGUUUUGGUCGUCGAUGUCAUAGAAGAGGCAACCAUGAAGAAAGAUUUGGCAAACUGAAAUUUACCAUGCCAAAAUUUGCUGCUGAACCAUCCACGAGGAAUUUCUCUGGAGGAAGCAAAUCACACACAAAAUUUGCUGCUGAACCGUCCAUGGUGAAAAGCUGAAGUGGAGGCUCACAAUCUAAUUUUUAGGGUACUUUUAGUGGAAGGAAUACUGCUGUCCCAAGUUCAAAACCUGCAGCAUCAACCACUACUUCAGAGGGUUCUACUUCCAGGAGUAAUGGAAUUCAGAGCUUCAAGUGUGGAGACCUUGGGCAUAUAAGUAAGGAGUGCCCCAAUACUCAGGUGAUCAUUGUGAAUGAUGUUGGAGAAUUUGAAUCAGCUAGUGAAGAGGGAAUUGAGGAGGAAGCCCAUGGAGAUGAGGACCUUACUAGCUAUGAGUUUGAGCAAGGAGCUGCUCUUGAGGUGACUCAAAUCUUGAGUGUUCAGGCAAAUGAAGCUGAAAAUGGGCAGCGACACAAAUUAUUUCAAACUAGAGCAAAGGUGCAUGAUAAAGUGGUGAAGGUGAUUAUCGAUGGAGGGAGCUGCCAUAAUCUUGCUAGUUGUGAGAUGGGUGAUAAACUUGGCUUGAAGCUGCUACGACACCCUCAUCCAUAUCAUGUAUAGUGGCUGAAUGAUUCGGGAGAUAUCAAGAUUGGAUAUAAAGUAAACCUUCCAUUCCAGAUUGGUUAAUAUGUUGACACGGUAGAGUGUGAUGUGGCACCUAUGUUGGUGUGUCACUUGCUGCUUGGAAGGCCAUGGCAAUAUGAACGACAUAGCCAACAUUGUGGGAGAACAAAUCAGUUCAAUAUCAAUCUAAAGGGGAAGAAGUUUGUUCUCAAGCCUAUGACACCCCAACAAAUCAUGGCUGAACAUUUACAAAAGAAAUCUGAAAUUGUUCUAGUGAGUAAAGAGGAAGGAGAGCAAAAGAAAUUGAGUGCCAUCCACAAUUCGGUGAGUGAGUGCCACAAGCCAAAUUUGAGGGAGAAAAAGAAAGGAGAGGGGCUGCACUACCUAAUCGACCACCAUACUGAACCAAUCUAGAAGCAAAAGAGAUACAAAGGCAUGUGCAAGAACUUCUUGUUAAAGGUUUUGUUCGUGAAAGUUUAAGUCCUUGUGUUGUUCCUGUAAUUUUAGUGACUAAGAAAGAUGGUUCUUGGAGGAUGUGUGUUGAUUCUAGAGCUAUAAAUAACAUCACUGUUCGCUAUCGCCACCCUAUCCCACGUUUAGAUGACAUGCUUGAUGAAUUAAGUGGUUCCACCAUAUUCACUAAAAUUGAUUUGAGAAGUGGAUACCAUCAGAUAAGAAUGAAAACAGGGGAUGAAUGGAAAAGUGCAUUUAAAACAAAAUUUGGGCUGUAUGAAUGGUUAGUUAUGCCUUUUGGUUUGACUAAUGCUCCUAGUACUUUCAUGAGAUUAAUGAACCAUGUAUUGAGAGCUUUCAUUGGAAAAUUUGUUGUUGUCUACUUCGAUGAUAUCUUAAUUUACAGUAAGUCUUUUGAGGAACAUGUGAAUCAUAUUCGGCAAGUCUUGGAAGAGCUUAGAAAGGAGAAAUUAUUUGCUAAUCUUAAGAAGUGCAGUUUUUGCACAGACCAUGUUGUGUUUCUUGGCUUUGUUGUUUCAGGAAAGGGCAUAGAAGUGGAUGAAAGCAAGGUGAAAGCCAUCAAGGAUUGGCCAACUCCAACAAAUGUAAGUCAAGUAAGAAGUUUUCAUGGCCUUGCUGGUUUUUAUAGGAGGUUUGUAAGAGAUUUCAGUACCAUCACUGCUCCUUUGAAUGAAUUAACAAAGAAAGGUGUUGACUUUAAAUGGGAAAAAUCACAACAAAAUGCAUUUCAAGAAUUAAGAAACGUUUGACUGAAGCACCUGUACUUGUUCUUUCUGAUUUCACUAAAACUUUUGAAAUAGAAUGUGAUGCUAGUGGAAUUGGGAUAAGAGGAGUUUUAAUGCAACAAGGAAAACUUGUAGCAUCUUUUAGUGAAAAACUAGGAGGUGCUCAACUGAAUUAUUCUGUGUAUGAUAAAGAAUUAUAUUCUUUGGUGCGUGUGCUUGAAACAUGGCAGCACUACUUAUAGCCAAAAGAAUUUGUUAUUCACUCUGAUCAUGAAGCUUUGAAAUACUUGAAAGGACAAGCAAAACUGAAACGUCGUCAUGCCAAAUGGGUUGAUUUCAUCGAAACAUUUUCAUACAUUGUGAAAUAUAAGAAAGUGAAUCACACAUUGUCAAUGUUGCUGCGAACAGUGGUCAAAAAGAACCUGAAGGUUUGGGAAGAAUGUUUGCCACAUGUGGAGUUUGCAUAUAACAGGGAAGUACACUCUACCAAUAAUAUGUGUCCUUUUGAAAUUGUAUAUGGGUUCAAACCUAUUGCUCCGAUAGAUUUGUUGCCCCUUCUAUUGCUGGAAAGAACCAAUAUGGAAGCCUCCAAGCGUGCUGCAUACAUCAAGAAGGUACACGAGAAGACCAAUGAAGCAAUUGAACUCAUGGCAGGAUGCAAGGCUGCAAGUAUGAACAAACAUAGGAAGAAGGUGUUAUUUGAACCCGGGGACUUGGUGUGGAUACACAUGCGCAAGGAUUGCUUUCCUCAGCAGCGCAAAUCAAAAUUGCUCCCACGAGGAUAUGGUCCAUUUCGUGUUCUUAAGAAGAUCAAUAACAAUGCAUACAAAAUUGAUCUUCCUGCAAGUUAUGGCGUGAGCAACUCCUUCAAUGUUGCUGAUCUCCCACCAUUCACAAGCAAAGACACUUUAGAGUCGAGGACGACUCCUUUUCAAGGGGGGGAGGAUGAUAUGACCACGUCACCAAGCAAGAUGUCACAAGCUCCAAGUCAAGCCACAUCCACUCAAGUUUCACCUACGCCGACACCAGCCCAUGUCGUCAAUGGACCGAUUACACGUAGUCGUGCAAAGAAGCUACAACAAGAGGUCCACGCGCUACUUUGUGAGAUUCAUUUUAACAUUAAUGAGAAUUAUACACUACCUAAGUGUUGUACCAUGAUUGUACUCAGGUAUAUAGAAGAAGAGAAUGAUGAAUCGGACCCUGAAGAACGGACCAGUGCCAGUUCCAGAAGAAGUCAAAAACGGACUAGUGGAAGUCAAAAACGGACCAGUGAAAAGAAAUCUUCAUAACUUUUAACUCACAAAAGCUAUGAAGGUCCAUGAGCACUUGUUGGAAAGCAUGACGAGUCUACUUUCCAAUGAAUCUAGUGGCGACUAGUUUGGAUACUCCAUAUUGCCUGCAGACCAGAAUUAGUACAGACUGCUCAGAAGGUCAACAGUCUGUCGUGACAGAAUGUUGGUACAAAUUGCCAAGUAAAACUGUACCAAUCUACAAUGUUUCGUACUGGUUGGCAUACAUUGCUAGAAAGCCCUUUGAGUCUAGUUUGACACCCAAGAAACGGUUCAUCAUUUGGACUUCCCAAUCAAAAGUUAUGGUAAGCUUAUUUGAAACUGCUCUGGAGGCCAACAGUCACGCGAAGCCACUUCGGGAAUCCAUUUCGAGGGGACCUUUCACAUUGCCUUCCCACAGAAACUCUAUUUCAUUUUCAUACCUAUCUAGCAGGGUUGUUGCUAGUAUAAAUACCCCCUAAGACUCAUUGUAAUCUCAGACUUUUGAGAAUUGAAAUACAGAACCCCUUUUGUUUAGCUGUGUGCUAGCAAAUAUUCAAAGAGUGAUCUCUACCCCUUUGCUCUUGUGAUUUCCUCGCGGGAUUACAUAGGCGGCGGCUUCAUCCGCUCCCAAUUGGUGCUCCUACUCCCUUCGAGGUAUUCCUUGAUUGAUUAUAGGCUGUGUUGGUUGGUUCUUUGAGAGUGUGGUUGGGCGAAUCCUCGAUUCAGGUUGCCAGUUAAAGACGGUGGUUGGGUUCGAGUUUUAUUUGCCAGGUUGCACUAGUUAUCGCUGCUUGCAGCAUGUUAUCUGGCUGUUCUUUAGCUAGUUAUCGGUGUUCUUCCUAAGUCGUGAAGAUCGGGACAACGUGUCGCAUCAGUUAAGGUUAGUAAAAUUGCGGCGUACCUUCUCAGAGGGGAAGUGCAUGUGGACUUCUCCGGUUCCAAUGUAGAUGAUUGCUUUAACGGUGCUGAGGAAUGGUCUCCCAAGGAUGAUGGGUGGAUCGUGCUUGUCUUCUCCCAUAUCAAUAACCUGGGUCAUCCUUUUUUGGUUAGGAACAGUAACUUAAGUCUACGAUCUUGACUUCCUUGAGCUGCAGUGACCAUCUUAGCUGACUCGGUUCACAUUUGCUUGUUCAUGUUCCUCCUGUUGGUCCUCUUCCUUGGUUCAUGUCAGGAUUGCUCUGAAAUUUGUGUAGUCUUGUUCUUGAAGGAAAGUCUCCUUCUUCCUCUUGAUGUAGAAACUGAUCUUGGCAGCACUUGCGUAGAUGACAGCUCUCGAGGUGUUCAGGAAUGGCCUCCCUAGGAUGAUGGGUGCCCUCUCAUCAGUACUAACCUCUAUCACCAUGAAGUCUGCUGGAGCGUACAAGGUACCAACUCGGACACAGAGGUUCUUCAAUAUUUCAUUUGGAAAACUGAGUGUCCGAUCUGCAAGCUAAGUAGUUAGGCCUCUGUUGAUUCCAACCUUGAUUUUGUUGAGGAUGGGUGUAGUAGUAGUUGUUGUUGUUGAUGUUGACAGGAUCAAGAUGCCCAAGAGAGGGUGAAUUGGGCUUCUCUAAAAAUUUAAGCAACCUAUAAGCUCUAAUUCAACCCCUUGUGCCUAUUGUGACUAGAGAGCUACCGGAUAAAUGUUUUGCAACCUAGUUCCAAUCCUAUUCUAGCAUGGCAAUUCUAAGAAUGUAAAAACACAAAGUAAAUGCUAGAAUGUAAAGGAGUAGUGGAAGAAACUGCUCGGUGAUGUUUUACCGAGGUAUCGGAGAGUCACCACUCUCCACUAGUCCUCGUUGGAGCACCCGCACAAGGGUCUUGCUCCCCCUUGGUCCACGCAAGGACCAAGUGCUCUCUACGGGCUGAUUCUUCGACACUCCGUCGCGGUGAAUCGCCCAAAACCGCUCACAAGCUUGACACGAGCCACCCACAAGAACUCCGGGCGGUCUUCGUGCCUCCAAUCACCACCGAACCAUCUAGGUGAUGGCGAUCACCAAGAGUAACAAGCAAAGAACUCUCACUUGACCCAAACAAGGCUCUAGAGAGUGGUGGAUGCACACUUGACUCUUGGAAUUCACUAGAGAAGGAUUCUCUCAAGAAAUCACUCAAAUCUCAAUCUUCUCUAGGCUCUUGCUACUCUCUUGCUCCACAACAAGUUUCUCAAAUGUUCAAAUGGGGAAGAGACCUCUCAUGGACGAGGUGGAGGAGUAUAAAUACACCCCACGAAGUUCAAAGGUCAGCCAACCGUUUAGCACUGAAAACAAGGUCACCGGACGCUGUUAAUGUUGCACCGGACGCUCUGCACCGAACGUCCGGUGACACACAAUGGCUAACUGUACCUGCGUCUGACAGGUCACCGGACGCUACCUCUUAGCGUCCGAUGGCACCGUCCGGUACUCCGGGGAGUUUUACAAACUCCCUGAGUAUGGGACCGAACGCAACCCGGUGCGUCCGGUGCUAGCGUCCGGUGCACAGGGGAAGUUUACAACCUCCCUAGGUGUGGGACCUAACGCUGCCCGGUGAGUCCGAUGCCAGCGUCCGGUGCCUAACCCUAAGCAAACCUCCAACGGUUAAGGACCUCACCGGACGCACUCACAGAGCGUCCGGUGCAGCGUCUGGUGCCUACUUAGGCACCCAAACUUCGUCGAAACGUGAUCGUUCAAAAACGAAGUUGGUUCCUCUCGAUCUAAGGACUAUCUCUGAGCUGCCUAGUGCUAGGUUUACAAAGUGUGCACCACACCUAAAUCUAAAGCCUUGCCUAAGUCAAGUUACUAGAUCAAAGCCCCUCUUAAUAGUACGGUCAAAGGAAAAACAAAGUCCUAAACUACUCUAAGUGCCCUUCUUCACCAUAUGGCACUUAGACCUAGUCUAGUCUUGACGAUGUCCAUCCAUCCUUUGAAAACCGAAAUGAUUUUCACUAUUAAGUAGGCAUUUACGUCCCUGUCCAUCGAGUACCUAUUACCAUGACCUCACUGAUGACUUUGCCUCUGCAAAACACACGUUAGUCAUAGUAAUCAACAUUGUCAUUAAACACCGAAAUCACUAGGGGCCUAGAUGCUCUUUCAAUCUCCCCCUUUUUGGUGAUUGAUGACAAUAACCUCGAGUAUGAAAGGAGUUGAGGUUUUCAAAUGUCUUAGUUUCAAUAAGCAUGAUACAAUAAGAGCAAAGGGAUUAUGCAUGCUUAUGUCAACCAAGUCUAACAUCCUGCAUCCAAAUAUGUGAGAUGUGUACAACAGGAUAUAAACACAAAUGGCUCAUAAGUACAUCGGAGUAAAACGCGGAAGCAUAUAUAAUAUGAGCCAAACACAUGACAUAGAGAUAUCACAAAUAAGCAUAAGUCAUGUCUCACAACCAAAGAGUAUCUCACACAAGUGCAAUGCAUAAAGGUAAACGUGAUGCAUGAUGAAGUAGCACACAAAAGAGUAUAUCAAAAGAAUAAAAAACCUCUCUAGCUCUCUGGCUCCCCCUAACUCUCAUACUCACAACUCUCUCCCCCUUUGGCAUCAAGCGCCAAAAACCUACAAAGACGGAGGUGGAGGCGGAGCAGUGGAGUCCCUCGGCAUGGCCUCAAAACGAGCUGCACCGUCUGAUCCAUCGGCCGUCGAGGCGGACGAGGUGGAGUGACCCUCUGAAGCUGCAAGUGCUGGCAAACUGGUCUGGGUCUGCUCUGGAGGCGCUGAAGCUGUCACAGGCUGUGCAGGCUGCUCAAGUCCUGCUGACAAGGCUGGCACGGACUCGGUCGCUGUAGUAGACGUCUCCGGCACGGUAGAAGACGGUGCAAGCUGCUCAGACGAGGCUACUGAUGAUGACAGGCGCUCAGUUGUGGUGACUGGUACUGUAAAAGCUGCAGGAGCCUGCAGGGGUGGAGGCGUAGGGUCACCAGUCAGAGCACUGUAAGAGAAACUGAGGUGAUGGCCUGCUGAGAGUCCAACACAAGCUGUGACGCUGUCGCUGACUGUGGAGUGAAACCUGAGCGGAGAGGCGUAAACUGUGGCACCUGCUCAAAGCCAGACGAGAUAGAACCCUGGGAGACCUGGUGCUGAGGCAUCGAGAAUGGCUGACUCUGAGCAGGGAGCUGUAGUGGCUGCUGAGACUGACUCUAGGGAGCUAGAGUGGGAGGUCUGACCGACGAUGUGCCUAGGAGCUGAAUCUGUGGAAGCUGAAUCCCUGAGGCGGCCAUAAGAGCUGCAAUCAUCGCUGUCUGCUGAGCCUGGAACGCAAGCUGCUGCUCCUUGAAGGUUAGAAGCUGUCUCUGAAGCUCGUCCUGCCUAGCUUGCAUGGCUGCAUUGAUGGCAGGUGUUGACGGUCCUUAAUUACUAAAAUUAAUAAUCAAAUAAACAUGGAAAAGGAUCAAUAUGAAACAAACAUCUAGAAUUAGGGUUUUAUCUGACAGAAUUCCACGAGCUUUGGUGUUUAUCUAUUUCUGCAGGGGGUUAUCAGAGAAUAUGGAGAGAAGGCCCACAUGUCAUGUUUACAACGAGAUAAUUGCGUGUCGCGCAAUUUUCUUCAAUCUAGAAGACUCCAGAAGCCACAAGACCGAAGCGGAGGCGAAACAGGGCCAAAGGCUGUGCGGUGCCCCCUCUGUGAGUCCAAUCAGGACUCUGUUUCGUGGGAGAUCUCCACCGACCUAAAGGAUCACUCUAAACCAUACAAUCAAUGUCGGUUUGAUCUGACGGCCCAAAUUCACUUGAAAGGACUAUAUAACCAAGGCCUCUCCACCCCCAGGGAGAGAGGAGAAGAGAAGAAAUCAUUCAGAGGUAGUCAUCAAAGUUAGGGUUUAGAGCUUCUCUCCCACAAAGAAUUAGAAUUAGCUACUCCCUAAUCCUUCAAGUUUAGAGGUUUGGUUAGAUAGCAAUUAGAGAAGUAGAGCACUACGCUCUGGAUUCGGAACUACGGUAAUAAAGUUUGGUAUUAUUCAUAUCUUUCUCUAAUUCUAUUGUUCUAAUUGCAUUAUGUCUCUAAUUAUUAUGUUCUUAGUUUGCUCUAGUUCUAUAUUUGAUAUAGUUAUGAUUGAUAAUGAGUUUAUGUAUAAGUUUGCAAAGCGCUUAGCUCUUGACGCGAGGGAGUUAGGUGAUAGAUCACAUGUGAGCAUGGUGCUUAGAUGUUAUUUAUCUGCAAAUGUAUCCUAUUGGCCGGGUCGUGUGGUAGUUCGCGAUAGUGACAGCUUCAUUGAUUCUUAUAUAGUCCACCCUCCGUUGAUAGGACAGGCAGAACUGCUAUUGUGGAGUAAGUCUUGCGAUGCUCUGAUUUACUUUAGCAAUGUUCCUUAUACAUGAAUGAAGAGUCUUUUAUGCUAUAUAUGAUCUUGUAGAUAACUAGAGUAGAUUAUGACUUAAUAGAUAGUAGAUAACUUAGAAUCCAUUCUCUAGCUAAUCCGACAUCACCUACAUAUAUGAGGAGUAGUCUAUUUUCGAAUCGCUGUGUUAUUUAUCCCUUGAACUUAUAAUUCAUUAUCAUUAUCUUUAUGGUUUACCCCCUGCUAAAGUAAGUGACUGUGUGACGAGUUUCUCGUUAGUAAUCAUGUUGUUGCAAAUUUAUCUCUAGUCUAUGCCUUGAUAGAUUUUGCCCUUAAUUUAAUCUCCUUAGUUCUCUUGAGCAAAAUUAUAAAUAACGAUACCUGGAAUACUUAUCCUGGUGAAAUGCUACAAUGAGGUGUUUUAUCUGUGCGCUUGCGGAUAGAAUAGAUUAUUUUCUAGAGAGCCUUUACAUUUAUAAAUACCUUUGUACACUCUGGCACCAUGCUGGGGAUGACAACCUAGUAUCUAAGUGGUAUUAGCUAGUGUCAACAGCAGCCUAGUCUCUGUCCCUCCUUGCCUGCUCCUCAGCUACCCUGCGCUGAUCUGCCCUCAUCCCCUCUAGAUUUGCAAGUAGAGCAGGGUCUGACGCACUCGAGGAACCUCCUGCCUCGUGGUCGUGUGCCCUAGGAGGAAGGUCUGGUACUGGGAGACGAUAAUCAUUGUCUGAGCUGUCUGAAGCAAAGUCAACCUCCUCCUCUACCUCUGCAUCUGCAAACGCCCCAAUGGCGAUAUCCUGCUCCUCCUCAGUCUCUGGUACUGCUCCUGAACUGUGAGUGCCCCUAGGAGAUGGUGGGGACACCUGACCACGUGGUGCACAAGACCACGUGGUGCCCAAGGAGGUGGUGGAGCUCUAAGGUCGUGGUGUGCUCUCAACAUCUGCUGGGGGUCGUAGUGGGGGAACACCGUGUCGGAGUCUGACAGCUCUCUCUGUAGGUGCGCUGGAAGGGGUACUGGCCUAGCACGGAGUAUAAUCAUGGUGAUCCAGUGUGCAUACCGCAACUGACGCCGUCCCCUGAAGCUCUCUGAGAUAGUGUCCUCAAUCUCUGAGACUAUCAGAUCCCACAAAUAAAACAGAGUCUUCGAUAUGUGGUGGGCUACCAACCACUGCUGUAUCCUGGUGAAGCCAUCCCUGUAGACUGUCCUGGGGAAGAGUGUCUUCCUCAACACAAAGUCGAGUGUCGGUGUUUUUCCCCCGGGGGGUCACACCAACGAGUAAAUUUGUAUGCGUGCUCCCUAUCCCGGAUGGUGAUGCAAGAAGACACAGAGAUUUAUCCUGGUUCGGGCAAGAGAAGGCCCUACGUCCAGCGGGGGGAGAGAGUUUGUAUUAUCUUGCACCUAAGUGCUUGUACAGGGGCGAAUACAAGCGUGGUAUGAAGUGUGUAGCUUUACUACGUGUGUGUGUGGUCUUGUGUUGUGAUGUCCCCCUCUUCUAUUCCUGAGUCUCUCCUUUUAUAGCUCCAAGGAGAGACACAGGGUACAUGCGUAGAUGUUAGAGUAGGGAUCGAUAGCCGCAUGGAGCGCUGACCUACUCGAGGCUUCCGUACGGCAUGGCCUCGAGCCGUCCCAUCUUGAUAGCCCGGUGAUGAUUACGCGUGCUCCUGCGUUCUGCCCUGCCAGCCGCCUUGUGCUGGUUCUGAGGUCGCAUGCUUGUACGGUAUGGUGGCGGAUCCGGCGGGGUAGCUGUGGUGUUGUUAGUCGACGCCCAACUUGUCCCUAGGAAGGGACCCGGUUCGGUCGAGGGUCGGACGCCGUGUAAUAUGCUGAUAUCUGGAGCGCUGACCUUGGGUGUCUCGAGGGGGUCCCGAUUAGAUGUUCCAUCCUUGUUUCCUGCGUCCUGACACGCCCUGGGUCGUUCGGUGGGAAGGCUGCAAAAAGAACGAUGGGACAGAAGCUUGUUCCCUAUCACGCCUUCCGUGACCCGUGUGUUAGGUGGGGAAGCGUCAGGUGCAUUUAAUGCUCCGGCCCGCGUGCGCGCGUCAGGCGGCGGACAGUGUCCUUGCGCCCGACGCCUCUCGGUUCGCUCGAGCCCGCUUCCGUUUUCGACGGCAGUCGUCGCUCGAGCCCUGACCGAUUCGCUCGACGCUAUUUCCGUCUUCGAGGCUGCGACCGUCGAUGGCGGCGCAUACGUAAGAUUAGAGCGUCGAAUUGAGGGUCUCGACCUUCGUACGGGCAAUCUCAUAAUGCGCAUCGCUGAGGGUACCCCCUACCGAUACCCUCGACAGUAGCCCCCGAACCCUCGGAGGAGUUUUUGACUCCUUCGAGGGUUAUGUUGUCUAAUUCGCAGAAACGCUUUCGACACCAGUGGUGGAAGAUUCUGACUGGCUCGUUUUUGACCGGGGGUUUCGACGUACCCUCGAUAGAGCGAGCGUCCUCCAUCCCAAAUUGAGUUCCUAGCGGGUAGUCCAAGUGAGAACCUGUGCCCCUUUUCGAGGGGGUCAGCUGUAGCCCGGAGGCGUCCUCAUAAAGCAGGGUCGACGUGGUCGGGGAUACCAGUCUCAUUCGAUAGAGACCGGCGGCUCGAUGCCUCCCGUCGGGGGGAUUCCUCUCGACUGUCUCGACCCUACCUUGAACAUCGCCAGCGAGUCCUCGAGGCGGGCCUCGAUCUUCGACCGCUCGCUGGGGAUCCCUGACUCUGGCGCUCGAGAUCGGCUGUCGAACCCUUUUGGCGGGCCAGCCAUCGACCUCUCGAGACUUUUGUGGUUACGUCCCUUGGCUUACGAGGGAAGGAAACGGCCGUGGCGGUUCGCCUUUCUGCCCGUUGGGCGCGCCUUUUUAGGCGGAUGACGUUACGACACCGUAUCGGCGAGGAAUUCGGAGAGUCCGGCCUGUGAGGAGAGAGAGAGGACUGUCAGGCGGCGCAUUUAUGGGGGGAGUUACCUUACUUCUCGGAUCUGUCCGUUGGCGGACAGCUGCCUAUAGAUACGUCGUCGCGUCACCGCCGUUCCUCUCCCUUCCGCCUUCUCGCUCUUAUUCCUUCGCUGCCUUUGCUUUCUCGCCAUCUGACGCGCACACGCCCCCUCGAGCUGUAGCGAACCCACCGUCCCUUUAGCCGAGAUGCCUGUAAGACUCGUCGCCGCCGACGACUGGCGCCCGUCGUCGAUGACGGAGCGCCGGCUGUUAGAGCUUGAGAAGGAGGGACUGCUGCGCUGCCGCACCUCGCUGUCGUCGCCAGAGUGGAUCGCACCGCCGGCGAGUCACAGGGCGCCUCAACUGCCCGAGGGCUACGUGGUGUCGUUCGCCAAGUUUCACCGCCACGGUCUGGGCGCGCCCCCAAGCCGCUUCAUGCGGGCCCUCUGCUUCCAUUAUGGGGUGGAGCUCCAGCACUUCUCUCCGAACGCCAUCACCGUAGCGGCGGUCUUCGCCGCCGUGUGUGAGGGCUUCCUGGGGAUGAUGCCGCACUGGGAGCUGUGGCUCCACCUCUACAGGGGCGAGCUGUUUCACGCCUCCACCGGAACCACGGGCGUAAGGAAGCCCGUGCGGGCGGGUUGCCUCAAUCUGGUGCAGAAGACGGGGAAGACGGACCGGCCGCGGGAGUACAUCCCGGUAGGGUUGUCGACCAACCACGCCGGCUGGGACUCCCAAUGGUUCUACCUGCGGAACGACGACAACCUCCUGCCUUCCUACUCGGGCCGUCUGAUCUUGGAGCGUCCAGCGGACUGGACGUACGGCGUCGUCCAAGCUCAUCAGUCUCGGCUCGACCCUCUCCUCGACGCCCUGAAGAAGCUUCGCCAGGAAGGUUUGACCGCCGCCCUCGUCCUCUCGGCCGUCCAUCAUCGGAGAGUUCUCCCUCUGAUGUCACGACCGUUGAGGAUGGACGAGAUGGGCCCUGGCGUCUCAUCUCGGGACCUCGAGGCAUGUCGGAUGUCCAACGAGCCUCCGGCGGACGACGAAGUCGCGGCCCGAGUCAGGGCCGCAAUUGCCGGUGAUUUUCAGCCGGAGCAUGUCAACGGCUUCCCCAUGAGACCUGACGCAGGCUCGAUCGAUCUGGUACGCUUUCUUCUUACGCGCAUCCCCGAUUCUGGGUUUCCUUUCUCCCCACCUUUUUUCUAAGUCUACCUUAGUUUUGGCAGGGUCGGAUUGAUGUCCGGUCCUCGAGGCCUCCGGUAAAGGAGGACGAGGUCGAUCGCGACAAACGGCGCCAAUCCGCCGAAAAGCUGAAGUCUGCCAAGGACUCCGCAAAGAAGGGGGAGAAGAAGAAGAACCUCGACCGCCAAGCAUUAGAGGCGCGUCGAGCCAAAUCCAGGCAGAGGGGGGAGCCUGAGGAAGAAUCCCCCAAUGAUGACGACGAUGACGACGAGGACAGCGACGACUCCGAGGGGAUGGCGUCGCGCCUCGAUCGGAUUCUCGAGGGCCCGCCUCGAGGCGACGCCGACGCCCCCCGGACAGAGGCGCCAGAGGAGGGUCCGAGCGGAUCUCGUCAUCCCUGGGCCGACACCCCUCCCGCGCCCAAGGCGGGACAAGACGCACCGCGCCCUCCCCCGGUGCCCAGGGAGAGCGAUCCGGCUAGGUCCCAGGCGUCGGGGCCGCUAACCCGUGGUCGCGCCGCGGCCUCUGAGAGAGGAGACGCCGGCCGUAAGAGCGCGGGUCCCUCCGGAUGUGCUUUUUCUAUCAAUGCGGCACCUGGCAUAAUCCGAAUCGGAAUAGCCUACAAGUUGGAAUCUUGCACCUUUGGGAUACCGCAAACCUAGGCAAGGUGUGUAUUUUAGAUACCUAAGAAUUCUCUUGACAGCAAUCAAGUGAGAUUCCAUAGGCAUUCCUUGAUAUCUAGCACACAUACACACACUAAACAUGAUAUCGGGCCUAGAUGCGGUGAGGUAGAGUAGACUUCCUAUCAUGGAGCGAUAGAGACUCUUAUCAAUUGGGUUACCUCCCUCAUCCAAGUCGAGAUGCCCAUUUGAUGCCAUGGGAGUCUUGAUUGGCUUGCAAUCCAUCAUCUUGAACCUCUUGAGAAGAUCUUCUGUGUACUUCUCUUGAGAGAUGAAGACUCCUUCCUUCAUUUGCUUGACUUGAAAUCCUAGGAAGAAGGAUAGCUCACCAAUCAUGGACAUCUCAAACUCCUUGGACAUCAAAUCACCAAAUUCCUUGCAAAAAUCUUCAUUAGUAGAGCCAAAAAUAAUAUCAUCAACAUAAACUUGGCAAAUGAAGAUUUCCCCAUUCAGUUUAUUGGUGAAGAGUGUUGUGUCAACUUUCCCAAUCUUGAAGCCCUUCUCAAUGAGGAAGUCCCUAAGCCUCCCAUACCAAGCUCUAGGAGCUUGCUUGAGACCAUAGAGAGCCUUGGACAACCGGUAGACAUGCUUGGGGUACCUAGGGUCUUCAAAACCGGGGGGUUGCUCAACAUAGACAAGCUCAUUAAUAUAGCCAUUCAAAAAGGCACUUUUCACAUCCAUUUGAAAUAACUUGAUAUCAUGACUAGAUGCAUAUGCAAGUAGGAUACGGAUUGCUUCAAGUCCUGCCACCGGUGCAAAGGUUUCACCGAAGUCAAGACCUUCCACCUGUGAAAAGACUUUUGCGACAAGCCUUGCCUUGUUGCGCACUACUUUGCCUUGAUCAUCCUUCUUGUUCCGGAAGACCCACUUUGUUCCAAUCACUCUUGCAUCUUUGGGUCGCUCUUCAAGUGUCCAUACUUGGUUGCGAGAGAAGUUGUUCAACUCCUCUUGCAUGGCCAUGAUCCAAUCCGCAUCACAAAGAGCUUCCUCUAUAGUAUUUGGUUCAUCUUCAAGAGACACAAAAGCGUGAUGUUCAAUAAAUAAAGCAUGUCUAGAAUGUGUAGUUACACCACGUGAUGGACUCCCGAUGAUGAGAUCUUGAGAGUGAUCUUGGAGGAGAUGUGAUGUUCUUCUUGGCGCCACUUGAGGGGUUGGUUGGGGAGCAUCAACAUCUUGUGCUUGUACCACCGCUUGCUCAUGUGUGGCUUGGGUGUCUUCAUGAGCAUCUCUCACAUCCUUGUCUUCAUCUUGUGGUACAUGUGAGGUGGAUGGUGGAUCAAUGACUUGCACAUCAUCAUCUUCUUUUGGCUUGAUAUCUCCCACCGGCAUGUUCUUCAUAGCAUCCCUCAAUGGUUCACCACCUACAUCAUCAAGAUUAUCAUUUGCUCCUUGGGAGCCAUUAGUUUCAUCAAAUUCAACAUCAAAUGUUUCUUCAACCAUGUUUGUGGCAUGGUUAAAGACUCUAUAUGCCUUGGACUUUGAUGAAUAGCCAACCAAGUAGCCAAUGUCACAUCUUCUUUGGAACUUUCCCAAGUGUUGGCGCUUCUUGUAGAUGUAGCAUUUGCACCCAAACACUCUAAAGAAUGAGACAUUGGGCUUCUUCCCAUUGAGCAACUCAUAUGGUGUCUUCUCUAGGAACUUGUGAGGAAAGAGCCGGUUUGAUGCAUAGCAAGCGGUGUUGAUUGCCUCGGCCCACAUCUUCUCUGAAGUGUUGUAAUCAUCUAGCAUUGUUCUUGCCAAGGUGAUCAAUGUCCGGUUCUUGAGGAGUGUAUGUUGAGGAGAACUCAUGUUUGAUUCCCACUUCAUCACAAUGCUCUUCAAUGUUGGUGUUGUCAAACUCUUUGCCAUUGUCACUUCUAAUUUUCUUGAUCUUGACUUCAAAUUGAUUUUGGGCAUUCUUUGCAAAUUUCUUGAAUAUGGAUGCAACUUCGUCCUUGUCUUGCAAGAAGAAUGUCCAAGUGUACCGGGAGAAAUCAUCAACAAUGACCAAGCAAUAUUUGUUGCCUCCAAGACUAGCAUAUGUGGUUGGUCCAAAUAGAUCCAUGUGAAGUAGCUCAAGCACUCUUGAAGUUGAGAGGUAGGCCUUGGUUGGAUGAGUGUUUGCAACUUGCUUGCCCGCUUGACAUGCACUACAAAGCUUGUCUUUUUCAAAUGUCACAUCCUUCAAGCCUCUAAUCAAUUCUUUCUUCAUCAACUUCUUGAGUGUGCCAAUUCCAACAUGUGCUAACCUUCUAUGCCAUAACCAACCAAGUGAGGUCUUGGUGAAUAAGCAAGUCUUGACAUCAACUUCAUCAGAUGAGAAAUCAACUACAUAUAAGUUGUUGUGUCGGAAGCCUUUGAAUACCAUUUCAUUGUCAUCCUCCUUGGUCACAAUUACUUCUUUCUUCUUGAAUAAGCAUUCAAAACCAAGAUCACAUAGUUGUCCAACCGAGAGCAAAUUGAAACUCAAUGAUUGCACAUAGAGCACAUUGGUGAUGGAGUUGUCAUUUGAUAUAGCAACCUUUCCUAGUCCCUUGACCUUGCCUUCUGAAUUGUCACCAAAUGUGAUCUUCUCUUGGUUGUCAACAUCUUCAUCAAGAGAGGUGAACAUCCGGGGAUCUCCGGUCAUAUGUUGAGUGCAUCCACUAUCAAUUAUCCAAUGUGAUCCACCGGUCUUGUAGUUCACCUACACACAAGAGAUCAAGCUUGAGAUUUAGGGACCCACAUUUGGUUAGGGCCCUUGACCUUCUCUACUAGUUGCUUUGGCACCCAAAUCUUCUUUGGCCUUUGCUUGUUGGGCGGCCCCAUGAAGCUAACCUUGACCUUGCCACUCUUGUCUUUCCUUACAAUGUAGUGAGCAUUGAAGGCAAAUGGUCUUGCAUGCUUGGGCAAGGGUGGUGGUAGUGGUGCCUUACACUCAUGAGCAAAGUGUCCUUCUUGACCACACUCAAAGCAUCUCUUUGGCUUUGGCUUGCUUCGUUGAUCAUGGGUGGCUAGUGACUUGAUGAGAUUUGUUUGAUGAGCCUUGUAGGCAAUCCCACUCUUAUCCAUCUUCAUGACGGUGUUCAUGAGAAGCUCACUUUGAAGAUCCUUCCCUUUUGUGAACUUUGCUAACCCCAUGGUUAGAUGUUCCUUCUCUUUCUUGAGCUUGCUAUUCUCUUGAGUUAGCUUCUUGAUGAUUGGGUCAUUGUUGCUAGCUAACUCAUCCAAGAUGAAUGUCUCAUCUUCUUCUUGCUUGUCAUACAUCAAACCAAGCUUGAGAUAUUGGUUUUCUUCCUUGAGUAACUUGUUCUCAUAUGCAAGGUUCUUGUCUUCAUGAAGUGACUCAAUCACAAUAGUCUUGUGCUUGGCUUGCUCUUGCAACUCUUUCUUGAGCAUGACAAUUUCAUCCUUGAGUUUGAUAGUGUCCUUGUAGCUUUCAGUCACUACCACUUUCUUGCCCUUGCAAUCAAUACAUUUGCUUGUGCUCUCCACAAGUAAGUCAUCACAAGAUGUGGCUACAUCAAGCUUAGCAACAUGAUUAGUAGCAACAUGUGUUUCAUCAAUUGCAUGCUUAUAAGCAAUCUCAAGGUUGUCAUAGUUGGCUUUUAGAGUUGUUAGCUCUUCUUUCAUUGCUCUAUAUCUAGUGAUAAGCUCAUCAUGAACACUCUCAAGUUUAUCAUAUUUUUCUUUGAGCUCUUUUAAAGAGAGUUUGAGCUCCUUCAGCUUAGUGGUCAUGAUCUCAUUUUGAUCCCUAAGCUCAUCACUAGACUUAAGCUUUGCUAGAAGUGUUUCAUUUUCAAGUUCAAGCUUUUCAUUUUCACUUCUAGUCUUUCUUAUGACUUUUGUGUAUUUGUUUAGCAAUUUUACAAGUUUGUCAUAAGAGGGUGAUUCAUAUUCACUAUCACUUUCACUACUCCCAUCCUCACUUUGUACCUUCCGGUCACCCUUAGCCAUGAGGCAUAGAUGUGUAGAGGAUGUAGAUGGUGGUGAAGAUGAUGGUGAUGGAGCAUCAAUGGCAAUGGUGGCAACCUUCUCAUCAUCACUCUCAUUGCCGGAAGAGUCACCACUUGAGCUCUCAAUGUCGGUGAGCCAAUCACCAACAAUGUAAGCCUUGCCAUUCUUCUUCUUGUAGUGCUCCUUCUUCUUGCUACCUUUCUUCUUGUAUGGCUUCUUUUCAUUCUUCUCAUCAUCACUUGAAUCAUCUUGUUCUUUGUUCUUCUUCUUGUAUUUGUCCUUCUUGGGCUUUGGACAUUGAUGAGUAAGAUGACCAAGCUCACCACAAUUGUAGCAAUCCAUCUCGGAGAUGGGCUUUCUCUUGCUACUUGUGAAGAACUUCUUCUUCUUGGAGUCAAAGUUGACUCCAUUCUUGUUGAGCUUCUUCAACAUCUUGGUGGUUCUUCUCACCAAGUGGGCAAUGGAAGCAUCAUCAUCACUUGAAGUUGAUGACUCAACUUCAAUCUUCUUGGCUAUGCCCUUGUGAGAAGCUUUGAGGGCCAAGUCCUUCUUCUCCUUCUUGACUGAUGAGGAGCCAUCUUGGGGGUUCAUGUGCAUAUACAUCUCAUGAGCAUUGAUCUUCCCCAAUAUGGCGGUUGGUGUAGCGGUGCAAAGAUCGCCUUGAUGAAGCACCGUUACUAUGUGCCCAUAUUUCUCAAUGGGGAGCACACAUAGUAUCUUCCUUGCGACAUCCGCCGCACUCAUUUGAGUGAGCCCAAGUCCAUUAAGCUCCUCUACAAUGACAUUCAAGCGAGAAUACAUUUCAUUAGCAUUUUCUUUGGGAAGCAUUUCAAAUGUAUUAAGCUUGUUCAUCACUAAGUGAUAGCGUUCCUCGCGUACACUCUUUGAUCCCUCAUGGUGCGCACAAAGUUCCUUCCAUAGAGCAUGGGCGGUUUUGUGGCUCCGAACGCGGUUGAACACCUCUUUGCAAAGACCUCUAAAGAUGUGGUUUUUGGCCUUUGUAUUCCACUUCUCGUUUUCAUGCUCUUGUGGAGUAAGAGCGGUGUCCUUUUCUGGAGGGGUAAACCCUUCGGUCGCGGAUUUUAGGCACUUUAUAUCACAUGCCUCAAGGUAUGACUCCAUCUAUAUUUUCCAAUACGGGAAGUCAUCCGCAUCGAAUAUGGGUGGCGGUCCAUCCCCGUUAGACAUCUUUCUCUAGGUGGUGAAGCCUAAAUAAUGAGCACUAGGCUCCAAUACCAAUUGAAAGGAUCAAGAUGCCCAAGAGGGGGGUGAAUUGGGCAUCUCUAAAAAUUUAAGCAACCUAUAAGCUCCAAUUUAACCCCUUAUGCGUAGUGUGACUAGAGAGCUACCGGAUAAAAGUUUUGCAACCUAGUUCCAAUCCUAUUCUAGCAUGGCAAUUCUAAGAAUGUAAAAACACAAAGUAAAUGCGAGAAUGUAAAGGAGUAGUGGAAGAAAGUGCUCGGCGAUGUUUUGCCGAGGUAUCGGAGAGUCGGCACUCUCCACUAGUCCUCGUUGGAGCACCCGUGCAAGGGUCUUGCUCCCCCUUGGUCCGUGCAAGGACCAAGUGCUCUCUACAGGAUGAUUCUUCGACACUCCGUCGCGGUGAAUCACCCAAAACCGCUCACAAGCUUGACACGAGCCACCCACAAGAACUCCGUGCGGUCUUCGUGCCUCCAAUCACCACCGAACCGUCUAGGUGAUGGCGAUCACCAAGAGUAACAAGCAAAGAACUCUCACUUGACCCAAACAAGGCUCUAGAGAGUGGUGGAUGCACACUUGACUCAAUUCACUAGAGAAGGAUUCUCUUAAGAAAUCACUCAAAUCUCAAUCUUCUCUAGGCUCUUGCUACUCUCGUGCUCCACAACGAGUUUCUCAGAUGUUCAAAUGGGCAAGAGACCUCUCAUGGACGAGGUGGAGGAGUAUAAAUACACCCCACGAAGUCCAAAGGUCAGCCAACCGUUUUCCACUAAAAACGGGGUCACCGGACGCUGUUAAUGUUGCACUGGACGCUCUGCACCGAGCGUCCGGUGACACACAACGGCUAACUGUACAUGCGUCUGACAGGUCACCGGACGCUACCUCUUAGCGACCGGUGGCACCGUUCGGUGCUCCGGGGAGUUUUACAAACUCCGUGAGUAUGGGACCGGACCCUACCCGGUGCUUCUGGUGCUAGCGUCCGGUGCACAGGGGAAGUUUACAACCUCCCUGGGUGUGGGACCGGACGCUGCCCGGUGAGUCCAGUGCCAGCGUCCGGUGCCUAACCCUAAGCACCGAAAACCUCCAACGGUUAAGGACCUCACCGGACGCACUCACAGAGCGUCCAGUGCAGCGUCUGGUGCCUACUUAGGCACCCAAACUUCGUCGAAACGCGAUCGUUCAAAAACAAAGUUGGUUCCUCUCGAUCUAAGGACUAUCUCUGUGCUACCUAGUGCUAGGUUUACCAAGUGUGCACCACACGUAAACCUAAAGCCUUGCCUAAGUCAAGCUACUAGAUCAAAGCCCCUCUUAAUAGUACGGUCAAAGGAAAAACAAAGUCCUAAACUACUCUAAGUGCCCUUCUUCACCAUAUGGCACUUAGACCUAGUCUAGUCUUGACGAUGUCCAUCCAUCCUUUGAAAACCAAAACGAUUUUCACUAUUAAGUAGGCAUUUACGUCCCUGUCCAUCGAGUACCUAUUACCAUGACAUCACUGAUGACUUUGCCUCUGCAAAACACACGUUAGUCAUAGUAAUCAACAUUGUCAUUAAUCACUGAAAUCACUAGGGGCCUAGAUGCUCUUUCAGAUGUAAUUUAUGUCCUCAAGCAUCUUAGGGCAGUGAUUGCCUGAGUGUCCAGUAUCUCCAGUGUCUUUGUGCUCGUAGAUCUAGGUCCUUCACUUGGAAGAAUCUAGCAGUUGUAAAACUCCUUCAGAUUUUGCUCAAAGUGUACCUACUCAUAAAUACAAGGCAGAGAUCAAGUGCAUGGGCCCUGUUGGUGUAAAACACCAAUAGAACCAAAAGUGUAUUUGUUCUUCUCUAACCUUAAGCAUAGAGAGCAAGACAAAGUUGAUGGAUAAUAAGAUCAUGAGUGUAGCAUUUGAAACAUUUGUCAGAUCAGAUCGCUCGACCUAAUGGAAAGAUAAUCUAUCUAUAUUUAUGUUUUGUUUAUAUCUUCCAAAGAUUGAAUGUGCACAUUUUAGCUUAUAUGAUUAGGAGUGUGGGAUCACGAAGGUAGUACUAAGAACAAAGAUUAAAGGACUAAACAUGUUGAAUUAAUUGGGUUGGUUAAUUUGGAGUUACAAAUCAUACAUGUUUGUUUCUUUUAUUCAUGUGAACGCCAGAACCAAGGAGAAGCUUAUAAAAGCGAUAGUCAAGUACCUUAAGAUGUUACCUUACCUGAAGAGUGAUGGUACAGUAUUACCUAGUGGAAGCUUUCCUUUCCUAGCGGUUGUGCAUCGUGUUUGUGGCACCCUCCAUGCAUCAUCUCUUAUGAGCUAUGUCUUCCUUGUGUAAAUUGUUAAACUUCAUGUGUCUCUCUCUUUGUCUCCAAUGUGAGUUUAUCUUAGGACUUCCUAGGUCGAUAUUGAAAGUUUUCCUGUAGGGGUUGGUCCAACAAAAUAUCCCAUAUCUACUAUAGCAUACUAUCGGCUCAAAAAUCAACCUAGACACCAUGUCUAAUUUGAUUUAGGAGGGUGUUGACGGUCCUUAAUGCUCACAUUUAACCGUCAACUAAUCAUGGAAAAGGAUCUAAAUGGAACCAACACCUAGACUUAGGGUUUUACCUGACAGAAUUCCACGAGUUUUGGUGUUUGUCUAUUUCUGCAGGGGGUUAUCAGGAAAUACGGAAGAAAGGCCCACACGUCGGGUUUACAUAGAGAUAUUAACAUGCCGCGCAAUUUUCUAUCAUCUAGAAGACUCCAGAAGCCACGGGACCGAAGCGGAGGCCGAGGGGGCUCAGGGACAGGGCGCCCGCCCAAGUCCUGAGGGUGCCCGCCCACCUAUUCUGACCAAUCAGAGUACAACUCAGGGAUCAUGCUCCACCAACCUAAAGGAUCAAGGAUAACCGUUCAAUCAAAGUCGGUUUGAUCCAACGGCCCAUAUUCACUUGAAGGGACUAUAAAACCAGAUCCCCUGGCCCCUGGAGAUCAUACCUCUUCUACAGAAUCAAAGUUAGGAUUUCAAUUCUUCAUCCAAGUAGAGAGGAUCCCUCUAGUUCUUCUAGUUCUACCUCUAGUUCUUCUAGAUCUAGUUCUAGUUCUUCUAGUUCUAGUUCUAGUUAGUUCUAGUUGUAAUCUAAAAAAAUAGGUAGAGAUAAGAGGAGAGCGCAGGAGGAGCCGGAUCUGUCGGAUCUUCCUCAACAUUGUACUUUCGCAGCAACUGGUUCGUUCUUCAUCGUUCUCCAGGUUCUUCAACUCAUAAUUCCUGAGUUCUUUAAUUACUUUUAUUUACAUUCAAGUUAUUUAUUGGAUUCCCGCUUGCAUCAAGUGCUCUAAUCUUUGCAACAUUAGAGUAGUAAUUAAUAGAUUAGACGUGGUGUUUAGUCUUGCAAUUACCUAGAAUUGCACCCAAUCCUGCGGAUUGUUGUGGUAGCCUUAGGGUAGUGACAGCCCUAACGGUUGACGUAUUCCACCUCGUUCGGAUCGGUGUUUGUAGGACCGUAGUCAGACCUUCCUAGCCCCCUUCUCAUCUCUUUCUGUGGUUAGUGCUCUGAUGUCCCGAUAUAGAUAAUCUUGAAGUAAUUCUUGAUUCUUAGAUCAACUAGAGAACUCUCAGGAAACUUCCUCUCUUCCCACCAAAAAUAAUUAUAUAGUUAUCCUUGGGCGAUCUUGGAUCUUAAUUAGUACACUCACGUUCUCUGUGGAAAAUCGAUACUCUGGAAUACUCUCGGGUGAAAGCUACAUCGGUAUCCGUGCGCUUGUGGAUUUUUCUGUUUGCGUUUAAAAUACCCAACAAGCUUUCUGGCGCCGUUGCCGGGGAAUGGUAGCUGUGCUAGUUUCGAACCAAGUCGUCCGUGUAUCCUUUUUCUUUUCCUUUUUUACCACACUCACCUUACCAUUUUCAUCACACCACAUGGAUUUCACUCCAAGCAUUAAUGAGCAUGGAAUUUAUUUCAUAGCCACUUCAUUUACUCCAUACUCAUAUGCAACAUCUUCACAAUCCAUUGGUCUCUCCAACAUCACCACAUUCGAGAUCUCCAACCCCCUCAUCCUUUCUAUUUAUAAAAACUUUAAAAGGGCGGUUGUCGAUGCAUAUGUCUAUAAUAAAUUUUACAGAUCUCGUUGAGUUGAUCUUGAUAUAGGUUAGAGUUGGAGGGGAAACCACUUCGCUGACAUAAAUUAAUGGUUUCCCAAGGACAAGCUUAGUGUCCUAGAAUAAGCACUGAUCAGAUCGUAACAUGAGCUUUUAAUUAUUUGCAACAUUACCUUGUGUGUUGAGUAUAUAAGGAUAAUUGUAAAAAUAUUCCUUCGGGUAUUCUUGUCACUAACCUUUCCAGGAUUGGAGCGAGAAGAUCGGAUGAAUGACAAGCACAAGGUAUGUCCAAACAAUCAUCAUACAACAUUGAAUUAAAUUCAUCCAAACUUGAAUUUUGCAAAAUUCAAGCUUGGGGGAGUACUUUACAUAAAAACAUCCUUUGCCAUGUUGCUAUGUUGGUUGUUGCUACCUUUAAGACACGCUCAAUUUUGUUAAAUACUAAUCACACUACUUCAUCUCCACUUGAGUAGAUCUCUAUAAAUGCUUUCAUGCUACCUUUAUUUGCUUUAUUAUAUGUCUACGCUUGGAGUAGUUUUAUUUAUCUCUUAAUUAAGCAUGGUGCUUAGUUUAGGAAUGAUGAUCUUACUUAUAAGGGAGUUUAAAUUAAGCAUGAUGCUUAGGUUAAAAUGCCCUACUAAAUCAAACUAGACAUGGUGUCUAGGUUGAUUUUUGAGCCAAUAGUAUGCUAUAGUAGAUAUUGGAUAUUUUGUUGGACUAACCCCUGCAGGAAAACUUUUAAUAUUAACCUGGGAAGUCCUGAGAUAAACUCACAUUGGAGACAAAGAGAGAGACGCAUGAAGCUUAACAAUUUACACAAGGAAGGCAUACCUCUUUUUCUAUCCAACGGCCCAUAUUCACUUGAAGGGACUAUAAAACCAGACCCCCUGGCCCCUGGAGAUCAUACCUCUUCUACAGAAUCAAAGUUAGGGUUUCAAUUCUUCAUCCAAGUAGAGAGGAUCCCUCUAGUUCUUCUAGUUCUACCUUUAGUUCUUCUAGAUCUAAUUCUAGUUCAUCUAGUUCUAGUUCUAGUUCCUCUAGUUCUAGUUCUAGUUAGUGCUAGUUGUAAUCUAGAAAAUAGGGAGAGAGAAGAGGAGAGCGGAGGAGGAGCCGGAUCUGUCGGAUCAUCCUCAACAUUGUACUUUUGCAGCAACUGGUUCGUUCUUCAUCGUUCUCCAGGUUCUUCAACUCAUAAUUCCUGAGUUCUUUAAUUACUUUUAUUUACAUUCAAGUUAUUUAUUGGAUUCCCGCUUGCAUCAAGUGCUCCAGUAUUUAUAACGCUAGAGUAGUAAUUAAUAGAUUAGACGUGGUGUUUAGUCUUGCAAUUACCUAGAAUUGCACCCAAUCCUGCGGAUUGUUGUGGUAGCCUUAGGGUAGUGACAGCCCUAACGGUUGUCGACGGUCCUUAAGUAUCAAAUUUAAUUAUCAAAUAAACAAAGAAAAGGAUCCAAAUGAAAUCAACAUCUAGACUUAGGGUUUUAUCUGACAGAAUUCCACAAGUUUUGGUGUUUGUCUAUUUCUGCAGGGGGUUAUCAGGAAAUAUGGAAGAAAGGCGCACACGUCGGGAUUACAUAGAGAUAUUAACGUGCCGCGCAAUUAUCUUAGAUCUAGAAGACUCCUGAAGCCACGGGAAGAAAGCGGAGGCCGAACGGGGCCAGAGGCAGGGCGCCCGCCCUCCUGCCCUAGGCGCCCGCCCUGACUUGGAGCCCAAUCAGGACUCUUUCUCUCGGGAGAUCUCCACCGACCUAAAGUAUUAAGAAUAACCGUUCAAUCAAUGUUGGUUUGAUCCGACGGCCUAGGUUCACUUGAGGGGACUAUAUAACCAGACCCCCUGGCCCCUAGAGGAGGCAUCCCUUGAUCCCUAUUCAUUAUUCAUAGACAGAGCAAAAGCUAGGGUUUAGAGAUGAGAGCUCUCCUCUCUUCUCUAAACUAGAGUAGAUCUAGAUAGUAGCGAGAUGGAGAGCGAGGGAGGAUUGGAGGAGAGGCCGGCCUGUCGGUUCUUCCUUUGGUUGUACUUCGUCAUGAUCAAGCUCUAAUCAAGCUUGCUCAUGGGAUGACUCUGGUAAUCUACUUCUAAUUCAUUAUGCAAUUACUAAUUAUGUAUGUUCUGGUUCACAACUCUUUUGAGUAUUCUAAUCUAUAGGACGCUAUAGGUGAGAGUUGUAGUAUAGGUGUAAGCGAGGUGCUUAGAUCUAGAUUACUUGUGGAUAUCCCCUGUCUAGCUGGAUCGUGUGGUAGGCCGCGUAGGUGACAGUUACGUUGGUCCCCUGUAGUCCACCUCUUGUUAGCAGGACGGGUAGGGUUUAUCGGCGUAUGGAUAAGCAUCCUUUGUGGUGUACUCUUAUCACGUGGUUCGUCCCAGACAUAGACAUACCCCUUUGAAGUAGAGAAACCAUAGUUAUCCUCUCUAUUCUGCUACCAUCGCCCAUAUACUAGAAUUGCUCUAUUCUCUAUUCCCAUAUUAUCACUCACUGUUAUCUUACCUUUAAUAUUGUUCUUAUUCGAUUCUACCAUCUUUCCUAUUUACACCUAUUUACUUAUCUUGGUUAAGUUAGAGCGUAGAUCAGUUCUCCCGUUUCCCUGUGGAUACGAUAAAACCUUUGACCGGGUAAAAGCUUCAACGGUAUCUGUGCGCUUGCGGAUUGUCUGUGUGCGUAUAAAUACCAUAGUACACUCUAGUGCCAUGCUGGGGAUGACAACCUAGUAUUCAAGUGGUGUUAGCAAGUGUCAACAAGCAUUUUUGGCACCGUUGCCGGGGAAACGGUUGCUGAGUUGACUACGAACUAGCUUAAUCAUUUUCUAAACAAAAAUAUUUUGCUUUUAUCCUUUGCCUCAUCUCUGCUAAUCUUUCUUCUUAUCUAAUCCUUGAUCUCUAGUCUAUCGUGAAUUCAAGCAUGUCCAUCUAUGAAUUUCAUAGACCUACGGGCACACAUCUCGAACCACCAAAAUCUUCAAAUCCUAUCAUAGCAUCUAGUUUUGAGAUAGACCCCGAAUACAUAGAAUUUGUUCAAAAACAACCUUUCUCAGGAGAAGGUGAGGAAAACCCAUACACACACCUAAGGGAGUUUUAUCGAGUCUGUUGUUGGGUAUUUUAAACGCAAACAGAAAAAUCCGCAAGCGCACGGAUACCGAUGUAGCCUUCACCCGGGAGUAUUCCAGAGUAUCGAUUUUCCACAGGGAACGUGAGUGUACUAAUUAAGAUUCAAGAUCGCCCAGGGAUAACUAUAUAAUUGUUUUUGGUGGGAAGAGAGGAAGUUUCCUGAGAGUUCUCUAGUUGAUCUAAGAAUCAAGAAUUACUUCAAGAUUAUCUAUAUCGGGAGAUCAGAGCACUAACCACAGAAAGAGAUGAGAAGGGGGCUAGGAAGGUCUGACUACGGCCCUACAAACACCGAUCCAAAUGAGGUGGAAUACGUCGACCGUUAGGGCUGUCACUACCCUAAGGCUACCACAACAAUCCGCAGGAUUGGGUGCAAUUCUAGGUAAUUGCAAGACUAAACACCACGUCUAAUCUAUUAAUUACUACUCUAAUGUUGCAAAGAUUAGAGCACUUGAUGCAAGCGGGAAUCCAAUAAAUAACUUGAAUGUAAAUAAAAGUAAUUAAAGAACUCAGGACUAUGAAUUGAAGAACCUGGAGAACGAUGAAGAAUGAACCAGUUGCUGCAAAAGUACAAUGUUGAGGAAGAUCCGACAGAUCCGGCUCCUCCUCCGGUCUCCUCUUCUCUCUCCCUAUUUUCUAGAUUACAACUAGAACUAACUAGAACUAGAACUAGAGGAACUAGAACUAGAACUAGAUGAACUAGAACUAGAUCUAGAUGAACUAGAAGUAGAACUAGAAGAACUAGAGGGAUCCUCUCUACUUGGAUGAAGAAUUGAAACCCUAGCUUUAAUUCUGUAGAAGAGGUAUGGUCUCCAGGGGCCAGGGCGCCUUGCUUAUAUAGUCUUUUCAGAUGAAUCUAGGCCGUCAGAUCAAACCGACAUUAAUCGCACGGUUUUCCUUGGUCCCUUAGGUCGGUGGAGCACGAUCUGCGAAGUUGAAGCUGAUUGGUUACUGUAGCUGGGCGGGCACCCAAGGGACUUGGGCAGGCGCCCUGCCCCGGGCCCGAUCGGCCUCCCGUUCGUUCUCGUGGCUUGUGGAGUCUUCUAGAUGGUAGAAAAUUGCGCGCCACGUUAAUAUCUCUAUGUAAACCCGACGUGUGGGCCUUUCUUCCUUAUUUCCUGAUAACCCCCUGUAGAAAUAGACAAACACCAAAACUCGUGGAAUUCUGUCAGAUAAAACCCUAAGUCUAGGUGUUGGUUCCAUUUAGAUCCUUUUCCAUGAUUAGUUGAUGGUUAAAUGUGAGCAUUAAGGACCGUCAACAAGCUCCCCCAAGCUUAACCUUUGCUCGUCCCUGAGCAAAGCUAAAAUCAGCAAGAAAUCAGGGGUUACUUUUAUGCCUCUUACAACAGGGUUUUUAAGUUAUUACUAAGGUCUUAAGUGAUUGAAAAAUAGAACGAUCAAGUGAAGCACUAUGUCUCAAGUUCUUCUGUCUUACCUUUGUUCUGGAGUUUUUUAUAAGUCUGCAAAAUAAAACUGAGGCAUUUGCCUUCUUCUCGAAAGAUAUAUAAGUAGAGCUUUAAAAGUUUUAGCAUACUUACUUUGCAUUUUGCUAGGUCAACGCUUGGAGUAAGGGAGAGGAAUGUCAUACUCCUAGAUCAAGACUUUUGACCUUUUUGAAAAGUUUGUCAUCUCUUACUGGCAUAUUGCUUAUUAGAGGGACCAUGGGCUAUCAUUUUUUUUCUUUUUUUUCUCUUUUUUUCAGUCUCUUUUUUUUCAAGUGGGUAGCAAGUACCCCUAAUUCUACUGUCGAACACUUGUCCAUUUUUUCCACUCAGGUGGGUAUCUUUGUACCCCUAAUUCUACUUCGGACACUUGUCCAUUUUUACCUCUCGUCUCACUCCUUUUUUUGAAUCAAAUUUUUGCAUAGUCCCAUGCCUCUAACGCAAUAAUACUUCGGAAGAGUGAAUCUUUUAUAUUUUUAAAACAAAAAGAUCUUGAUCUUGGGAGCAUGAUAAUUCUCUCAACCAAAACUACAAGAAUUAACAAUGGCUUGAACAAAGCAAGUGCCCACAGUUUUAAUAUUUAUAUCUUAUAAGACUCUAAGUAUUAUGAUCUCAUAUUUUUUUUUAUGAAUUUUUUAGAUUUUCAAAAGAUAAAAUCUCGAGAACUCUAGCAAAACUUGGAACAAGUUAAAUAGUAGCUCAGACCUUAUCAUAUCAUGUUUGUCAAUUACCUAGACUUGAAUCAAACUUUCUUUUUAUUUUAUUUAAAACUUAGGAUUACACAAAACUACUGUAAAUUACUCAAAAGAAAAACAUUGUUUGGUUUCAUGGUUAUGCAUUUAUUUAUUUAUUUAUUUCUGAAUACUAGUAAAUAAAACCAAGAAAGAAAAGUAAUACUUAUCUAGAUACACGUGGGGGUGCCUCCCCCAAGCUGGAUGUUGACAUAGUCGUUCACUCUUGUAGCCUGCAUGUUUGGUCUCACUCUUCCUAAGCCUCAAAAUCCUGCACAACCCAAAUAGACAACAAAACUUGUGGAGCAUGUUAAGGGUUAGGUAAUUAUCUAGAGCUUAUGAGAGCUUAAUAUGAGAAUUCUAUGAACUCAAUCACAUCAAGUUCCUCUACCAGGUUGUUUUGUGGCUCAAGAUAGAUUUUCAAACGUUGACCAUUUACCUUAAAAGUGUUACCUAUGUCAUCUUGGAUGGUAAUGGCUCCAUGAGUUGAAGUGUCAAUAACCUUGUAUGGUCCAUCCCACUUACUUCGUAGUUUACCAUGCCCAAAGAGCUUAACUCUUGAAUUGAAUAGUAGAACCUUAUCUCCAGGCUUAAACUCCUUGUGCUUGAUUCUCUUAUCAUGCCAUCGUUUUGUUCUCUCUUUAUAGAUCCUUGAAUUGUGGUAGGCUUUCUCUCUCCAUUCUUCUAGCUCAGAUAGUUGCAUCAGACGAUUCUCGCUAGCGAGGUGGAGAUCCAUGUUCCAUUUCUUGAGUGCCCAAUCAGCCUUACACUCUACUUCCACAGGCAAGUGACAAGUUUUUCCAUAUACAAGUUGAUAAGGUGACAUGCCUAUGGGUGUUUUGAAUGCAGUUCUAUAUGCCCAAAGUGCAUCAGGAAGUUUGUCCUUCCACCCCUUACCCAUCGCAUUUAUGGUCUUUUGUAAAAUAUUUUUGAUUUGUUUGUUAGAUGUUUCGGCUUGACUGCUAGUCUGAGGAUGGUAUGGUGUUGUGACGUUGUGUCGAACUCCAUGAUCGGCUAGGUACUUCCGGAAGAUUUUGUCGAUGAAGUGGGAACCUCCAUCGCUUAUAACUAUCCGGGGUAUACCAAAACGAGGAAAGAUUACUUCAUGGAACAUUCUCGUGGCAUGUUUUGAAUCAGCUGAUCGACAAGGUAGGGCUUCUACCCAUUUGGACACGUAGUCCACAGCUACUAAGAUAUACUCGCAAUUCCCGGACAUAGGGAAUGGCCCCAUGAAAUCAAUGCCCCAUACAUCGAAAAGUUCUACUUGAAGAUUAUUUGUGAGAGGCAUUUCAUUUCGUGAGUUGAUAUUCCCAUGUUUUUGACAUCGGUGGCAUCUCCUGACAAAGUCCUAUGUAUCUUCAUACAUCGUUGGCCAGAAAAAGCCACUUUGCCAAAUUUUAGCAUGUGUCCAGAAUGCUCCAUAGUGUCCUCCAUAUGGCGAGGCAUGGCAUCUUUCCAUAAUUUGAGUAGCCUCAGCCAUAGGAACACACCUUCUCAAGAGUCCAUCAGCGCAGACUCGGAAAAAAUAUGGCUCAUCCCAAAGGUGGAAACGACUAUCGUGAAGCAACUUCCUUUUGUUUGCACCAGGUGGGACAUAGCCUUUUACUAUUAAGUUUACGAUGUCUGCGUACCAUGGAUCUGCAUGUGUUAUCUUAAGAAGGGUGUCAUCCCUUAGGUAGUCAUUUAUGGGAAGCUCAUCAUGUGUUUCCUUAUAUUGAAGCCUAGACAAGUGGUCGGCUACGGAAUUCUCAACUCCCUUCCUAUCUCGGAUUUCUAUGUCAAAGUCUUGGAGUAGAAGAAUCCAUCGAAUUAGACGAGGCUUAGCAUCUUUCUUAGUGAGGAGGUACUUGAGAGCAGCAUGGUCUGAAUAGAUGCUUAUCUUUGCCCCCACUAAGUAAGAUCUAAACUUGUCUAUAGCAAAGACAACAGCUAAAAGCUCUUUUUCAGUUGUAGUGUAAUUGAGCUGUGGUCCAGAUAAGGAUUUGCUAGCGUAGGAUAUGGCAUAAUGCAUUUUAUCCUUGGUUUGUCCUAAAACGGCACCAACCGCAAAAUCGCUAGCAUCACACAUGAUCUCAAAAGGAAGAUUCCAAUCAGGUGGUUGGAUCAUCGGGGUUGAGAUGAGUGCUUUCUUAAGAGUUUGAAAAGAUUCAUGACACUCAUCACUAAAGAUGAAAGGUGCGUCCUUAGCUAGGAGAUUAGUUAGGGGUCUAGCAAUUUGAGAGAAAUUCUUGAUAAAGCGUCUAUAGAACCCUGCAUGUCCCAAAAAGCUACGGAUUCCUUUCACAUUCGUGGGAGGUGGAAGUUUUUCAAUAACUUCAAUCUUUGCUUUGUCCACCUCUAUACCACGUUCGGACACUUUAUGUCCUAGCACUAUUCCUUCCUGAACCAUAAAAUGGCAUUUCUCCCAGUUCAGGGUUAAGUGCUUUUCUUCACAUCGCUGCAAGACUCUAUCUAAAUUCUCCAAACAAUGAUCGAAGGUUUUGCCAUAGAUGGUAAAAUCAUCUAUGAAAACCUCCAUGAUCUUCUCAAUCAUGUCUGAGAAAAUAGACAUCAUGCACCGUUGGAAAGAAGCUGGAGCAUUGCACAAUCCGAACGACAUUCGUCGGUAUGCAUAAGUUCCAUAUGGGCAUGUAAAGGUAGUCUUUUCUUGGUCAUCUGGGUGGAUUGGGAUUUGGUGAUAUCCAGAAUAACCAUCAAGGAAGCAAAAGAAAGAGUGGUUUGCAAGCCGUUCCAACAUUUCAUCAAUGAAGGGUAACGGAAAAUGAUCUUUCUUUGUAGCCUUAUUGAGUUUUCGAUAGUCAAUACACAUACGCCACCCAGUGACAAUUCGUUGAGGGAUGAGUUCAUUUUUCUCAUUCCUAACAACCGUCAUUCCUCCUUUCUUUGGCACUACUUGGACAGGGCUAACCCACUCACUAUGUGGCACAGGAUAAAUAAUCCCAGCACGAUAGAGUUUGAGGACCUCUUUCUUAACAACCUCUCACAUAGCAUUGUUAAGUCUCCGUUGUGGUUCCCUUGAAGGUGUAAAAUUAGGAUCAAUAGGGAUACAAUGAGUGUAGAGAAUGGGACUAAUGCCUGUGAGAUCCUCGAGAGAGUAGCCAAAUGCUGAUCUAUGUCUUUCAAGAACAGUGACAAGUUGUUGUGUUUCAUAAUCGGAAAGCUUGUCACUGAUAAUUACUGGAGUUUUUGAGUUGUUGUGCAAAAAGACAUAUCUAAGGCCAGAAGGAAGAGGUUUUAAUUCUAUCGAAGGAGGUGAAGGUAGUUCAUUUUUGUCUAGCUCAACGGGUUCUACCAACUCUUCUUCUUCUUGAACAAAGUGUUCAUGAUUAAAGAAUGGUUGGGUCAUCUCCUCUUCAGUCACCAUUAAGACCUCCUCAAUAGGAUCUGGGUCAAGUUUGGGUUCCACUAUCGUGUUAAUUGAUCUAGCAAGAGGAACAACAAUAGUGGAAUUCCCAACCUUGAAGUCUAAAUGACCUCGUUGUGGUUGUUCCUGUAGAAGUUUCAUGAUUGGUCUGCCAAUCAAGAGAGGAAUCUCUGGUAUGUCAAAAAUGUGAAAGUCUAGACAUAUUCUAGAGUCCUUGAUUCUAACAGAAACUGCCCUUAAUACCCCAUGGCUUUCUAGAAUUAAUCCAGAUGGACUGUGUAAAAGUUUUUGAGAUGGGGUUAUGGACUCGUUGGGAUAAAGAGUGUCAGCUAACUCCUUGGAAAUAACAUUUAUCCCAACAUAUGGAUUGUAGUGGACCUUCCUAACGGACCGUCUAAUUUGGCACAGAAGAAUGGUUGAAGGAGUGAUGAUCCGAGCUACCUCUGGAGACAGCUCUGCUUCUGUUAGCCAUUCAUAACUCAGAAUAGCCGAAAGGCUUUUGAUGUGUUCUAUGUCAACAUAUUCUACUCUUAGAACAGAUUGAGUGGUCCUUGCUAGAGGUCGUGUUUGGAUAGGAAAAUUCGAGGUGUUUCCAUAAUCUUCAAAAAGAUGUUCCUCGAAUUCAAAGGGAUGCUCUAUAGGUGGUGGUUCAUCAUCCUUUAGUUGGUUUUGCAUUCCCUUAUCAGGAGGUUUCUCUACAACCAAAUUAAUAGGUGGGUCAGGUGGAAUUUCUAACUCGGUUGCAAGUUCCUCAUCUUUUGGUUUUGGAUCAGGCUCGACUUCUUUUUCUUCUUCAGGAAACUCAUCAUAAAUGCCUGUGUAACGGGUAUUUUCAAGGAUUCUCUCUAGGAUAGCUCUCCCCUCAUCUGUGAGUUUGUGUGUGAAUGAGCCUCCUGAAGCAAUGUCGAGGUGAAGAGCAGCCUCCUUGCUUAGACCACGAUAAAAGUGGUAGUACAGUACAUGGUCAGGCAGGGAAAGGUUUGGACCGGAAUUGGUAAGGCUUGUGAACCUAGCCCAAGCUGCUCCUAAAGUUUCCUUCUCUCUUUGUUUGAAUGUAAGAAUUUCGAUUAUAAGGUCAGCGAUUCGAAAGAGUGGGAAGAAAGCGAAACAAAAGUUGUCCCGAAGUUCGUCCCAAUUUCCAUUAACGCCUUCUACAGAAUGAGCAUACCACUUCUUUGCUCUUCGCAAAAGGGAGAACAGAAAUAAUUUCCAUUUAAGGGUUUCUUGUGUCAUGCCAGAAAUAGAUCGGCAAGAGCACAACUGCUCGAAUUAUCUAAGGUGGGUGUAUGGAUCUUCAUCUACUUGCCCAGAGAAGGGUUGCUCCUGAAUCAUGUCUAUUAGAUCAGGGCCGAGGUCGUAGCCAUCUGUAAGAAUUGGAUGUGAUGAUGGUGGUGGCUCUAAUAACUCACCCUUUGGAGCAAAGAAUUUAUAGAUAGGAGUGAAAUCCAUCUGGUGUGGUGAAAAUGGUAAGGUGAGUGUGGUAAAAAGGAAAAGAAAAAGGAUACACGGACGACUUGGUUCGAAACUAGCACAGCUACCGUUCCCCGGCAACGACGCCAGAAAGCUUGUUGGGUAUUUUAAACGCAAACAGAAAAAUCCGCAAGCGCACGGAUACCGAUGUAGCCUUCACCCGGGAGUAUUCCAGAGUAUCGAUUUUCCACAGGGAACGUGAGUGUACUAAUUAAGAUUCAAGAUCGCCCAAGGAUAACUAUAUAAUUGUUUUUGGUGGGAAGAGAGGAAGUUUCCUGAGAGUUCUCUAGUUGAUCUACGAAUCAAGAAUUACUUCAAGAUUAUCUAUAUCGGGACAUCAGAGCACUAACCACAGAAAGAGAUGAGAAGGGGGCUAGGAAGGUCUGACUACGGUCCUACAAACACCGAUCCGAACGAGGUGGAAUACGUCGACCGUUAGAGCUGUCACUACCCUAGGGCUACCACAACAAUCCGCAGGAUUGGGUGCAAUUCCAAGUAAUUGCAAGACUAAACACCACGUCCAAUCUAUUAAUUACUACUCUAAUGUUGCAAAGAUUAGAGCACUUGAUGCAAGCGGGAAUCCAAUAAAUAACUUGAAUGUAAAUAAAAGUAAUUAAAGAACACAGGAUUAUGAAUUGAAGAACCUGGAGAACGAUGAAGAACGAACCAAUUGCUGCAAAAGUACAAUGUUGAGGAAGAUCCGACAGAUCCGGCUCCUCCUCCGCUCUCCUCUUCUCUCUCCCUAUUUUCUAGAUUACAACUAGAACUAACUAGAACUAGAACUAGAGGAACUAGAACUAGAACUAGAUGAACUAGAACUAGAUCUAGAUGAACUAGAUGUAGAACUAGAAGAACUAGAGGGAUCCUCUCUACUUGGAUGAAGAAUUGAAACCCUAGCUUUGAUUCUGUAGAAGAGGUAUGGUCUCCAUGGGCCAGGGGGCCUUGCUUAUAUAGUCUUUUCAGAUGAAUCUAGGCCGUCGGAUCAAACCGACAUUAAUCGCACGGUUUUCCUUGGUCCCUUAGGUCGGUGGAGCACGAUCCGCGAAGUUGAAGCUGAUUGGUUACUGUAGCUGGGCGGGCACCCUGCCCCCGGGCCCGAUCGGCCUCCCGUUCGUUCCCGUGGCUUCUGGAGUCUUCUAGAUGGUAGAAAAUUGCGCGGCACGUUAAUAUCUCUAUGUAAACCCGACGUGUGGGCCUUUCUUCCUUAUUUCCUGAUAACCCCCUGCAGAAAUAGACAAACACCAAAACUCGUGGAAUUCUGUCAGAUAAAACCCUAAGUCUAGGUGUUGGUUCCAUUUAGAACCUUUUCCAUGAUUAGUUGAUGGUUAAAUGUGAGCAUUAAGGACCGUCAACAUCUGUGACCUCCUUCGCAUAGAAGGAAGGUCCGAUGAGACCCUUAAAUGGAAGCUCUUUCCGUUCUCUUUAACAGGAAAAGGUAGACAUUGGUACAAACUCAAAAUAGGAAGUGUUCAUGGAGAUUGGAAGGAGUUAUAUAGUAGUUUUCUUUCUAAAUAUUUUCCAAUUUCCAAAGUGGCGGAACUUCGGCAUGAGAUUAUUUCUUUUAGAUAACUGGAAGAAGAAUCUCUUAGGAAAUCAUGGGACCGCUUUAUUAACCUUACUCUCACUGGCCCAAAGCUUUCUAUUCCAUAAGAAGUUCUUCUAAUUCACUUUUUUGAGGGCCUUAGUGGGGAAAAUAAGCAAACCUUGAAUACAGCCUCUGGAGGAUCCUUCUAUCACCUACCUACUAGUGAAGCUUGGAAUUUGAUUGAUUUAUUAAGUGGAAAGUCUCCUAGCUUUUAUAUCCCUGAGAAAGAGACAGGACCAGUUCCUAGACAAGAAGAAGAAGUUUCGAUAGCCAGAUCACAACCACUUCAAUUCCAAACUUUAGCUAUCGAUCCUAAACCAUCAAUACCCCAAAAUUCUCCAAGGGAGGAAGGAAUUCCGACCUUAAGUCUUUCAGAUGCUGAUGGUUUAGACUUCUAGCUCCAUAAGAGACCUUCAAGCAGGGAUAAUUCAAAUCCUCGCAAUAAUGGUUCUCUUAGAGAAUGUCCUGGUUCCUGUUAUGAAGAAGUCGAGGAUGACACAUCAAGUAAAGGAGAGCUAAGCCAUAUUGAAAAUUCUAACACCUCCUCUUUCCUGAUCACAAGUUCUAAAUGGCUAGAAUGUGUAGAAUGGAUGGAUAAGGAAGAAGCCUUAAUGAAUUCUGACUUUGGUUCAAUUUCAAAUGGUGAGUUCUUGACUCCCUUUGAAGAUGGGAUUCAUCCAACUAUAGAAGAGGACAUAAGUGAGACCAAUCCAAGAGGAACUCUAAACAUUCAGAUUGGAGACGAAGAUAACACUAAUGAGCAUGGAAUUUAUUUCAUAGCCACUUUGUUUACUCCAUGCUCAUAUGCAACAUCUUCCCAAUCUAUUGGUCUCUCCAACAUCACCACAUUUGAGAUCUUCAUCCCCCUCUUCCUUUCUAUUUAUAAAAACUUCUAAAGGGCGGUUGUCGAUGCAUAUGUCUAUAAUAAAUAUUGCAGAUCUCGUUGAGUUGAUCUUGAUUUAGGUCAGCGUUGGAAGGGAAACCACUUCACCGACAUAAAUUGAUGGUUUCCCAAGGACAAGCUUAGUGCCCUAAAAUAAGCACUGAUUAGAUCGUAACAUGAGUUUUUAAUUAUUUGCAACAUUACCUUGUGUAUUGAGCAUAUAAGGAUAAUUGUAAAAAUAUUCCUUCAGGUAUUCUUGUCACUAACCUUUACAGGAUUGGAGCAAGAAGAUCGGAUGAAUGACAAGCACAAGGUAUGUCCAACCAAUCAUCAUACAACAUUGAAUUAAGUUCAUCUAAACUUGAAUUCUGCAAAAUUCAAGCUUGGGGGAGUACUUUACAUAAAAACAUCCUUUGCCAUGUUGCUAUGUUGGUUGUCCCUACCUUUAAGACAUGCUCAAUUUGUUAAAUACUAAUCACACUACUUCAUCUCUGUUGGGUAUUUUAAACGCAAACAGAAAAAUCCGCAAGCGCACGGAUACCGAUGUAGCUUUCACCCGGGAGUAUUCCAGAGUAUCGAUUUUCCACAGGGAACGUGAGUGUACUAAUUAAGAUCCAAGAUCGCCCAAGGAUAACUAUAUAAUUAUUUUUGGUGGGAAGAGAGGAAGUUUCCUGAGAGUUCUCUAGUUGAUCUAAGAAUCAAGAAUUACUUCAAAGAUUAUUUAUAUCGGGACAUCAGAGCACUAACCACAGAAAGAGAUGAGAAGGGGGCUAGGAAGGUCUGACUACGGUCCUACAAACACCGAUCCGAACGAGGUGGAAUACGUCGACCGUUAGGGCUGUCACUACCCUAGGGCUACCACAACAAUCCGCAGGAUUGGGUGCAAUUCCAAGUAAUUGCAAGACUAAACACCACGUCCAAUCUAUUAAUUACUACUCUAAUGUUGCAAAGAUUAGAGCACUUGAUGCAAGCGGGAAUCCAAUAAAUAACUUGAAUGUAAAUAAAAGUAAUUAAAGAACUCAGGAUUAUGAAUUGAAGAACCUGGAGAACGAUGAAGAACGAACCAGUUGUUGCAAAAGUACAAUGUUGAGGAAGAUCCGACAGAUCCGGCUCCUCCUCCUCCGCUCUCCUCUUCUCUCUCCCUAUUUUCUAGAUUACAACUAGAACUAACUAGAACUAGAACAAGAGGGACUAGAACUAGAACUAGAUGAACUAGAACUAGAUCUAGAUGAACUAGAGGUAGAACUAGAAGAACUAGAGGGAUCCUCUCUACUUGGAUGAAGAAUUGAAACCCUAGCUUUGAUUCUGUAGAAGAGGUAUGAUCUCCAGGGGGCAGGGGGUCUGGUUUUAUAGUCCCUUCAAGUGAAUCUGGGCCGUCGGAUCAAACCGACAUUGAUCGCACAGUUUUCCUUGAUCCUUUAGGUCGGUGGAGCAUAAUCCGCGAAACGUGUCCUGAUUGGGCACUGUAGCUGGGCGGGCGCCCAGGAGAGUUGGGCGGGCGCCCUGCCUCCGAGCCCGAUUUCCUUCCCGUUCGUUCCCGUGGCUUCUGGAGUCUUCUAGAUGAUAGAAAAUUGCGCGACACAUUAAUAUCUCUAUGUAGACCCGACGUGUGGGCCUUUCUUUCAUAUUUCCUGAUAACCCCCUGCAGAAAUAGACAAACACCAAAACUCGUGGAAUUCUGUCAGAUAAAGCCCUAAGUCUAGGUGUUGGUUGCAUUUGGAUCCUUUUCCAUGAUUAGUUGAUGGUUAAAUGUGAGCAUUAAGGACCGUCAACAAGCUCCCCCAAGCUUAAGCUUUGCUCGUCCCUGAGCAAAACUAAAAUCAGCAAGAAAACAGGGGUUACUUUUAUGCCUCUUACUAUAGGGUUUUUAAGGUCUUAAGUGAUUGAAAACAAAACGAUCAAGUCAAGCACUAUGUUUCAAGUUCUUUUGUCUUACCUUUGCUCUGGAGUUUUUUUAUAAGUCUGCAAAAUAAAACCGAGGCAUUUGCCUUCUUCUCGAAAGAUAUAUAUAAGUAGAGCUUUAAAAGUUUUAGCAUACUUACUUUGCAUUUUGCUAUGUCAACGCUCGGAGUAAGGGAGAGGAAUGUCAUACUCCUAGAUCAAGACCUUUGACCUUUUUGAGAAGUUUGUCAUCUCUUACUGGCAUAUUGCUUAUUAGAGGGACCAUGGGCUAUCAUUUUUUUCAUUUUUUUUCUUUUUUUCUCUCUUUUUUUUCAAGUGGGCAGCAAGUACCCCUAAUUCUACUGUCGGACACAUGUCCAUUUUUUCCACUCAGGAGGGUAUCUUUGUACCCCUAAUUCUACUUCGGACACUUGUCAAUUUUUACCUCUCGUCUCACUCUCUCUUUUUUUCAAGUCACAUUUUUGCAUAGUCCCAUGCCUCUAACGCAAUGAUACUUCGGAAGAGUGAAUCUUUUAUAUUUUUAAAACAAAAAGAUCUUGAUCUUGGGAGCAUGAUAAUUCUCUCAACCAAAACUACAAGAAUUAACAAUGGCUUGAACAAAGCAAGUGCCCAUUGUUUUAAUAUUUAUAUCUUAUAAGACUCUAGGUAUUAUGAUCUCAUAUAUUUUUUUAUGAAUUUUUAGAUUUUCAAAAGAUAAAAUCUCCAGAACUCUAGCAAAACUUGGAACAAGUUAAAUAGUAGCUCAGACCUUCUCAUAUCAUGUUUGUCAAUUACCUAGACUUGAAUCAAACUUUUUUUUUAUUUAAAACUUAGGAUUACACAAAACUAUUGUAUAUUACUCAAAAGAAAAACUUUGUUUGGUUUCAUGGUUAUGCAUUUUUAUUUAUUUAUUUAUUUCCGAAUACUAGAAAAUAAAACCAAUGGAAGAAAAGCAAUACUUAUCUAGAUACACGUGGGGGUGCCUCCCCCAAGCUAGAUGUUGACAUAGUCGUUCACUCUGGUGGCCUACAUGUUCGGUCUCACUCUUCUUAAGCCUCAAAAUCCUGCACAACCCAAAUAGACAACAAAACUUGUGGAACAUGUUAAGGGUUAGGUAAUUGCCUAGAGCUUAUGAGAGCUUAAUGUGAGAAUUCUAUGAACUCAAUCACAUCAAGUUCCUCUACCAGGUUGUUUUGUGGCUCGAGAUAGAUUUUCAAGCGUUGACCAUUUACCUUAAAAGUGUUACCUAUGUCGUCUUGGAUGGUAAUGGCUCCAUGAGUUGAAGUGUCAAUAACCUUGUAUGGUCCAUCCCACUUACUUCGUAGCUUACCAUGCCCAAAGAGCUUAACUCUUGAAUUGAAUAGUAGAACCUUAUCUCCAGGCUUAAACUCCUUGUGCUUGAUUCUCUUAUCAUGCCAUUGUUUUGUUCUUUCUUUAUAGAUCCUUGAAUUGUGGAAGGCUUUCUCUCUCCAUUCUUCUAGCUCAGAUAGUUGCAUCACACGAUUCUCACUAGCAAGGUGGUGAUCCAUGUUCCAUUUCUUGAGUGCCCAAUGAGCCUUAAACUCUACUUCCACAGGCAAAUGACAAGUUUUUCCAUAUACAAGUUGAUAAGGUGACAUGCCUAUGGGUGUUUUGAAUGCAGUUCUAUAUGCCCAAAGUGCAUCAGGAAGUUUGUCCUUCCACCCCUUACCCAUCUCAUCUACGGUCUUUUGUAAAAUAUUUUUGAUUUGUUUGUUAGAUGUUUCGGCUUGACCGCUAGUCUGAGGAUGGUAUGGUGUUGCGACGUUGUGUCGAACUCCAUGAACGGCUAGGUACUUGCGGAAGAUUUUAUCGAUGAAGUGGGAACCUCCAUCGCAUAUAACUAUCCGGGGUAUACCAAAGCGAGGAAAGAUUACUUCAUGGAACAUUCUCUUGGCAUGUUUUGAAUCAGCUGAUCGACAAGGUAGGGCUUCUACCCAUUUAGACACAUAGUCCACAGCUACUAAGAUAUACUCGCAAUUCCCGGACAUAGGGAAUGGCCCCAUGAAAUCAAUGCCCCAAACAUCGAAAAGUUCUACAUGAAGAUUAUUUGUGAGAGGCAUUUCAUUUUGUGAGUUAAUGUUCCCAUGUUUUUGACACCGGUGGCAUCUCCUGACAAAGUCCUUUGUAUCUUCAUACAUCGUUGGCCAGAAAAAACCACUUUGCCAAAUUUUAGCAUGUGUCCGAAAUGCUCCAUAGUGUCCUCCAUAUGGCGAGGCAUGGCAUCUUUCCAUAAUUUGAGUAGCCUCAGCCAUAGGAACACACCUUCUCAAGAGUCCAUCAGUGCAGACUCGGAAAAGAUAUGGCUCAUCCCAAAGGUGGAAACGACUAUCGUGAAGCAACUUCCUUUUGAUUGCACCAGGUGGGACAUGUCUACGUACCAUGGAUCUGCAUGUGUUAUCUUAAGUAGGGUGUCAUCCCUUAGGUAGUCAUUUAUGGGAAGUUCAUCAUGUGUUUCCUUAUAUUGAAGCCUAGACAAGUGGUCGGCUACGGAAUUCUCAACUCCCUUCCUAUCUCGGAUUUCUAUGUCAAAGUCUUGGAGUAGAAGAAUCCAUCGAAUUAGACGAGGCUUAGCAUCUUUCUUAGUGAGGAGGUACUUGAGAGCAGCAUGGUCUGAAUAGAUGAUUAUCUUUGCCCCCACUAUGUAAGAUCUAAACUUGUCUAUAGCAAAGACAACAGCCAAAAGCUCUUUUUCAGUUGUAGUUUAAUUGAGCUGUGGUCCAGACAAGGUUUUGCUAGCGUAGGAUAUGGCAUAAUGCUUUCUAUCCUUGGUUUGUCCUAAAACGGCACCAACCGCAAAAUCGCUAGCAUCACACAUGAUCUCAAAAGGAAGAUUCCAAUCAGGUGGUUGGAUAAUCGGGGCUAAGAUGAGUGCUUUCUUAAGAGUUUGAAAAGAUUCAUGACACUCAUCACUAAAGAUGAAAGGUGCGUCCUUAGCUAGUGAUGAGGACAUCCCAACCAAGCAUGCUCCCUCUAAUUCCACGCAAACCUCUACACCGACUACACCGGCACCAGCCCAAGCCAUUGAUGGAGCAAUUACACGUAGCCGAGCCAAAAGCUACAACAAGAGGUGAACGCGCUACUUUGUGAGAGUUCUAUUAAUGUUAAUGAGAAUAUUAUACUACCUAAGUGUUCUACUUUGGUUGUGCUUAGGUAUACACAUGAGGAGGGAGGUGACCUGGAUCGCAAGGAUUGGAACAACACGGUGCAGAACGGACCAGUUGAAAGAAGGGCAGAUCGGACCAGUGCGGUGCAGAACGGACCAGUUGAAAGAAAAGAUCAUAACUUUCACUUUCGAGAUGCUAUUAAGGCCCAUGAGCACUUGUUGGAAAGCUCUUCGAGUCUGCUUUCCAAUGAAUCAAGUGGUGACCAGUUUGAUUACUCCAUACUGCCUGCAGACCAGAAUUAGUACAGACUGCUCAGAAGGUCAACAGUCUGUCGUGACAGAAUGUUGGUACAACUUGCCAAGUAAAACUGUACCAAUCUACAGCGUUUCGUGGUGCAUGGCAUACGUUGCUGGAAAGCUCUUGGAGUCUAGUUUCACACCCAAGAAACAGUUCAUCAUUUGGACUUCCCAGUAAAAAGUUAUGGUCAGUUUAUUGGAAACUGCUCUGGAGGCCAACAGUCACACGAAGCCACUUCGGGAAUCCAUUUCGAGGGGACCUUUCACAUUGCCUUCCCUCAGAAACUCUAUUUCGUUUUCAUACCUAUCUAGCAGGGCUGUUGCUAGUAUAAAUACCCUCUAAGACUCAUUGUAAUCCAAGACUUUGAGAAUUGAAAUACAGAACCCCUUUGUUCAGCUGCGUGCUAACAAAUUCAGAGAGUGAUCUCUACCCCUUUGCUCUUGUGUUUUCCUUCGCGGAGAUUACAGAAGCGGCCGCGUCAUCGGCACCCAAUCCGUGCUCCUGAUCCUCAAGUUCAGGUUGCGUAGGUUGGUUCUUUGAGAGUGUGGUUGGGCGAAUCCUUGGUUCAGGCUGCCGUAUAGAGACGGUGGUUGGCUCCUUGUGCGUGUCGUCAGGUUGCACUAGUUAUCCUCGCUGCUUGCAGCAAGUUAUCGGCUGAUCUUCAGCUAGUUAUCCAUCCUACGUCGUGAAGAUCGGGACAACGACCUCACCAUUUGGUAUCAAAGCUCAAGUUUCCACGGUAGGAUUUUUACCCUUAGCUAUAUAUAUAUAUUGUUCGUCCUAUCCACCAAAAAGCCAUAAAAAAAAUUUGCAUUAGCCCUUUGUUUCAGUCUGUUUUUCUUGUGAGUUUGGUUAAGUUUCAGUCCAUUAGAGUUUUGUUUAGUUGCUGAUUAUCAUAUCCUUUGUGUGUCCUUUGUGCCUCUUUUAUAUCUACAAAUCCCUAAAGAAAAUCUAAAACCGGUAUCAUCCUUCGCGUAAACUUUGAGCCUAUCAAGUUAGAACGCUGACGGUUGUGUCUUGUUUCAAAAAAAAGUGUGUUUAAGUGUUAUAUCUGCUCUUGUUCUUAGUUAUAAAAAAACAGAGUAUCAAAAAAAAGGAAACUGAAAAAAAAGGAGAGUUGAGGAAGAAAAGUUGUGAAGAAAGAGUAGAAAAUUCACUCUGUUUAUGUGCUCAAGUUCUGAAUUUUAUAUCAAGUCACACAAUCAGUCAUUAUCCUUCUUUGGUGCAAAAUUUUGCUUGGGUUUGAUUGCAACACUUGCAUCCUAGGCAUACUCCUUGUUUGCAUCAAAUCUGAAUUAUCUUUGCGCGUGUGUUUGAUCUAUUUACAUCACUCAUAUCUUGUGGUCAGCACUAGGCAUUGAACUUCUAGUUUGGAUUGUGGUUUAACUUUAUAAUAUCAAGAAUUCAGACUGCAUUCCUUGUGAAAUAUAUCCCCACCAAGCUCCACAAAUAACCCACCAUCAUAGGAAAAUACUGAUCUUGGAUUCUCCCAACCAUCAUUCUCGGUUACCACCUCGCAUUGGCCGUUGUAAUCUGCAGGGAACUCACAUGAGCUUUGGUUGGUAAGAGAGGUGAGAUUGUGAGAUUCCACAUAUAAUUCCCUAUUCUACAUAUAUUGUUGCUUUGCCUUCACUAAUUUUUUAUAGCAAGAUGACUGAGCAUCCGGAGAUUGAUGAUUGUGUCACCAUGGCACAAUUCACUGAGAUGAAACAAAGCAUGGAGACGCUAACAAACAAUGUUCAAGCACUCAUAAACUAGUUGCAAAUCCAUCCUCAUGAUAAUGCAAAUGGCAAUCACCAUGAAGAUUGUUGAUAUUUGAUAACGCAAUUAGAAAAUGAUCCGCAAGCGCACGGAUAUCGGUGAGCAUUUCACCCGGGAGGUUUUCCAGAGUAUCGUAUUUAUAUUUUUACCACUAGGAGAAAGGGUGCAUCUGACUAACCAAAUCUAUUGCUACUAUCCCUUUAGGCUACAAAGAAUGUCUCUCGAUGUGAGUGAUGUAUAGAGAAGACUGCAACCUUAGUCUCGUUCUAACCUUGGUAAGGAUGAUCUACUGUUCUAUUGGGGAGGCUCACGGAAUCUAGACAACACAAAGGAUGUUCGACCCGCACCUAUAAACCUACCCGUCCUGCUAACGAGAUGUGAUCUGCAAAGUUAACUCGGAAAUGUCACGUUCCUCGCUACUACCACGGUCCAGCUAGUCAGGGGAUAUCUAUGAGUACCCUAGCCUAAACACCACGUUUACGCUAACAAGUGAUUACUCUAAUACUCAACCGGAAGAGGAUUAAAGUAAACUCAUAAACCAAAGAACAUUAAAACAAGAACUUACUAGUAUUAGAAGUCGAAUUACUGAAGAAUCUUAGAAGCAAGCCUCGGGUUAGGAGACUUGAUCCCGUAGGUACAACUCGGAGUAGACACCGACAGGCCGGCCUUCCUCCGAUCCACACCUCCACUCUAUCUCUCUCAAUCUAGUAGAAACUAGAAGAUCUAUUUCUACUUUACAUUGGUUGCUAAGCCUAAAAAGAAAUAUUAUUUAGAGAAGAGGUUUUCCUUCGAGGGCACCCCUCAAUCUCUAUGAUAAUUCCUUGUCUUCUCCAGGGCCAGGGGGGCCUUGCUUAUAUAGUCCUCCCCUUCUAUGCGUUUUUGGGUCGAUAGGCGAGGAGGUACUAUGUUUUCCUUGAUCCAAUAGGUCGGUGGAACAUCCCGAGCGAAAGAGUCCUGAUUUGGCUCCAACAGGGGGGCGGGCGCCCAGGCUACCAGGGCGGGCGCCCUGGGCCUGGCCCAGUUUCGCCUCCGCUUCGGUCUCGUGGCUUCUGGAGUCUUCUAGAUGAUGUAAAAUCGUGUGGUGCGUUGAUAUCUCUAUGUAAUCCCGACAUGUGGGCCUUUCUUCCUUAUUUCCUGAUAACCCCCUGCAGAAAUAGACAAACACCAAAACUCAUGGAAUUCUGUCAGAUAAAACCCUAAGUCUAGAUGUUGAUUUCAUUUGGAUCCUUUUCUUUGUUUAUUUGAUAAUUAAAUUUGAUACUUAAGGACCGUCAACAAACUCCCCCAAGCUUACCUCUUGCUCGUCCCUGAGCAAGGAUAGAUUCAGCUAUGGAUCAUAAAUUUUUGCAAUAUUUUUAAAAAUUGAUGUACACAUGCUUUUUAAAUAAGAUCUCAUCUCUGAGUUAGAGUAAACUGUCAAGACUUAAAACUUACUUACUUUACCUUUACCAUGGGACUUGUAACUGUCACUUCUGUCUUGAGUGGUUAAAAGAUAGAACAGUCUAGCCAAGUGCCAUGUCUCUUAUUCUUGAUCAGCUAUAGCUCUGGGGUUUUUGCAGAUUUUCAAAUAAAACUCAGAGAUUCCUUGUAUGAUUCUCUCAGAUCUCUCUUUUGUGGUAUUUUUGGAUCCUUACCAAGGCAGUGAUGGUAUAUGCCUUCUCCCAAGAUAUGUAGUAUUUGUGGUAUAAGGCAUAGUGACAUUGCCUUCUCUCUCACCCUACUCUAAUAAGGCUUUAAUAUCUGGAGCUCAUAGGUGGGAGAUAAAAUAUACAUACUUACAAGACAUUUAUUGCAUAGUCAAACCAUGGAUCCAAAGAAACAAAUCAAUAAGCCAAAUCAAGAUGUGCAUGUGUGGCGAAUGAAUGGUGUAUGGUGAUGAUGGUGAUAACAAUGGUGAAAACAAUGGUGGUGGAAGUCUAAUUCUACUUUUGCUCUUUGAGGGGAUACAUACCUUCCUUGCUUUUGAAACUUUAUGAGGAGAAUGAGAUGCUCUUCUUUUUCUUUUCUCUCAGGUGGGUAUCUUGCACCCCUAAUUCUAUUGUCGGACACUUGUCCAUUUUUACCUCUCGUCUCACUUUUUCUUUUUCUUUCGAGGUUCCGAGCACUUGCUCUCUUUUUAUUUCCUCGUAUUUAUUAUUUUUUUCUUUCUUUUUUUUAGAGCACUCAUCUCUUGAGAUAAUAUAGCAAGUGGUAGUAACCAAAAUAACUGGAGCAUUUAUUUCACAGGGAAUAACAGGGAUAGGAAAAUGUUUUUGGCUAUUCUCUCCCGGAUUAGGAGUAGAAUAAUUUUGGGUAAAACUGGAGAUGGAAAUGAGUGGAUAUAUGUGGAUGGUACUUCCGGAGUAGAAGUAGCAUGUAUGAGUAAUCGUGCAAGUGAAUCUUGAUUUUAACCACAUGACAAGCUCCUAAGGGUCUACACAGCUUGACCACACUCAAUGCUCAUAAGCAGUAAAAAGUAAAUGUGUGGCUCAAAGUCUAAUAAGCAUGUAUAUAUGGCUGUGGUAGGAAUUUAAACUCUCAUCAUACAGGAACUCAUCAUGUGUUAUUUUAAAGAUUUUUCAAAGAUAAAAUUCUCCAGAAUUCUAGCAUCUCUAGGAACAGAUAAACAGCAGCUCAACCUUCCCAUAUUGUAUCCGUUAACAACUUAGACUUCAGAUCAAGUUUUCAUCCCACAAGUUUAGGUCUAGAGCAAGCCUUAAAUUAUAACAGUUAUAUCUAAACUUGAGAGAGAACUUCAAAUUUGCAAAUUAGGCAGAGCAACUAUUCAUCAUAUCCAUGCUUAAGUUUUAUUAUUAAGAUUCAGAUUAGCAUAGCCACUUUAUUAAACACACUAAGCAAAAGACAAAUAAGCAUGAAAUCUUUUUUUGGUUUUUCAUAGUUUAUGUAUUUUAAUAUUCUAAUAUAAUAUAAGUAUAAAGAUAGAUAGAUAGAAAUACUUAUCGAGAUAAAUGGGGGUGCUCUUCCCCAAGCUGAAUUUUGACGUAAUUUCUCUUGAUGUAGCUAGCAGGUGGCAGAGGUGUUUUUGAAAGUCAGCAGCAUUCUGACAGCGAUUAGAAUGUCCUCCGUCUGCUAGUCUUCUUGAUUCUUAAAUUCUGUGGAGCUCAAAUAGACAACAAAGCUUGUGGAACUGAUUAAGUGUUAGCAUAAAUAUCUAGCCUUUAUCAUCUUGAGACUCCUUAAUAAUUAUUACUCCCUGUUUUUUUUAUAUUUUCAUUUUAUAAAGCAGAAAAAUAUUUAUUUUAUUUUUAUGCCACCACAGUGAAUGUACUUAUGGGUUUUAUGCCACUCGUAUACUCACAUGGGGCUUACUGUUUUUCACAUUUUUAUUUUCUUUUAUUUUUAAGAUAGUAUGAAUAUGAUUAACUAAGUAAACUAUUUAAAAUAAUUGAAAGGGAAAGGAUAACUACCAAGUUUACCUCUUGGCAAGGCGUUCGGUAUUUUUAAGUCCUCCGAACGGGACUCUCCGUUUUCUUAGUCGUCCUGGGAUUUGCUGGGUGGCGUAUUCGGUGGUUCCGGCGGCGCCUCCUCUUCGUGUAUAACUAUCUUCUCUUUCCACACCUGACUCGGUGCUACGGUCUCCUCAGGACAGUUCUGUUCAAGUUGUAUGUCUUCAGUCCUUAUCACUUCUCCUUCGUAGUCUACCCAUCCGUCCGAUUUGCCUCCUCUGGUUGCGGUUGCGUUGUCUUCUUCUUGUCCUGACCUGCUUAGAAUCUUCAACUAUAUAGUUAGAAUCAUUAAAGUAGUGGCGUACCUUCUUAGAGGGGAGUGCAUGUGGACUUCUCCGGUUCCAAUAUAGAUAAUGGCUUUGAUAGUGCUGAGGAACGGUCUUCUAAGGAUGGUGGAUGGAUCAUACUCGUCUUCUCCCAUGUCAAUGACCUGAAAAUUGUCUGAAGCUGAAUGUAGGGGCAUGGUUUCAUGCAGGAGCUGAUAAGUGACUACGGCCAUUAUGUUGACGUCAGAUCCAGUGUCGUAGAGUGUCUUCUGAAAAGAGUAUCUGUUGAUUGUGCAUUCGAUGCUUGGAACACCAGGGUCGUCCUUCUUGAUUAGGAAAGGCGACUUGAGUCGACGAUCUUGACCUCCUUGAGCUGCAGUGACCAUCUUAGCUGACUCGGUCCACAUUUGCUUGUUCCUGUUCCUCCUGUUGGUCCUCUCCCUUGGUUCAUGUCGGGAUUGCUCUGAAGUUUGUGUAGUCUUGUUCUUGAAGGAAAAUCUCCUUCUUCCCCUUGAUGUAGAGACUGAUCUUGGCAGCAUUAGCGUAGAUGACACUUCUGGUGUUUAGGAAUGGCCUCCCUAAGAUGAUGGGUGCCCUCUCCUCAGUAUCAGUCUCUAUCACCAUGAAGUUUGCUGAAGCGUACAAGGUACCAACUCGGACACAGAGGUUCUUCAAUAUUUCCUUUGGGAAACUAAGUGUCUGAUCUCCAUUGUGUUUGUGCUCGUAGAUCCCGGUUCUUCACUUGAUGGAAUCUGGGAGUUGUAAAACACCUUCACGUUUCUCAAAAUAUGUCCUAAUCAUAGAGACAAGGCAGAGAUCAAGUGCAUGGGCUCUGUUGGUGGAAAACACCAACAGAACCAAAAGUGUAUUUGUUCUUUUCUAACCUUAAGCAUAGUGAGCAAGACAAAGUUGAUGGAUCAUGAGUGUAGCAUUUAAAACAUUUGUUAGAUCAGAUGGCUCAACCUAAUGGAAAGAUAAUCUAUCUAUAUUUAUGUUUUGUUUAUAUCUUCCAAAGAUUGAAUGUGCAAUACUUUAGCUUAUAUGAUUAGGAGUGUGGGAUCACGAAGGUAGUACUAAGAACAAAGAUUAAAGGACUAAACAUGCUGAAUUAAUUGAGUUGGUUAAUUUGGAGUUACAAAUCAUACAUGUUUGUCUCUUUAUUUUAUGUGAACGCUAGAACCAAGGAGAAGCUUAUAAAAGUGAUAGUCAAGUACCUUAAAAUGUUACCUUACUUGAAGAGUGACGGUACAGUAUCACCUUGUAGAAGCUUUCCUUUCUUAGCGGUUGUGCAUCGUGUUUGUGGCACCCUCCAUGGAUCAUCUCUUUAUGAUGAAUGAGCUAUGUCCUUCUUGUUCAAAUUGUUAAACUUCAUGUGUCUCCUUUAUCUCCAAUAAGUUUGUAUCUAUGGACUUCCCAGGUUGAUAUUGAAUGUUUUCCUGCAGGGGUUAGUCCAAGAAAAUAUCCCAUAUCUACUAUAGCAUACUAUCGGCUCAAAAAUCAACCUAGACACCAUGUCUAAUUUGAUUUAGGAGGGCAUUUUAACCUAAGCAUCAUGCUUAAUUUAAAAAUCCUUUGAAAGUAAGAUCAUCAUUCCUAAACUAAGCACCAUGCUUGAUUUAAGAGAUAAAUUAAACUACUCCAAACCUAGACAUAUACUAAAGCAAAUAAAGGUAGCAUGAGAGCAUUUAUAGCGAUCUACUCAAGUGGAGGUGAAGUAGUGUAAUUAGUAUUUAACAAAUUGAGCAUGUCUCAAAGGUAAGGGCAACCAACGUAGCAACAUGGCAAAGGAUGUUUUUAUGUAAAGUACUCCCCUAAGCUUGAAUUUUGCAAAAUUCAAGUUUGGAUGAAUUUAAUUCAAUGUUGUGUGAUGGUUGGUUGGACAUACCUUGUGCUUGUCAUUCAUCCGAUCUUCUUGCUCCAAUCCUGGAAAGGUUAGUGACAAGAAUACCCGAAGGAAUAUUUCUACAAUUAUCUUUAUAUGCUCAAUACACAAGGCAAUGUUGCAAAUAAUUAGAAGUGCUUGUUUUAGGACACUAAGCUUGUCCUUGGAAAACCAUCAAUUAACUCAACGAGAUCUGCAAUAUUUAUUAUAGACAUAUGCAUCGACAACCGCUCUUUUAAAGUUUUUAUAAAUAGAAAAGAAGAGAGGGUUGGAGAUCUCAAGUGUGAUAAGCAUGGAGAGAUUAAUUGAUUGGAGAGAUGUUUUAUAUGAGCAAGGACUGGGUAAGGUAUUUAUGAAAUAACUUCCAUGCUCACUGUUGUUUCUCUCAUUCUCAAACUCCAAGGAUGAUUCUUCAUGAAUGCUAAAAAUUCCUCUAGGAUUGUCUCUCAAGUUUGUUUUAUCUAUCCAUUCAAUGGUGAUAGCACAUGGAUUUUUAAUGCCCUCUAGCCAUUGAUGUUGCUCUUCUCGAUCCUCCUUCUUAUGCAUGGGAUGUCUAGAGAGAUUCAUAGGAUUAUCGGGAGGUUUAAGAGAAAGAGCAUAGUAGAAUUUAUUAAGCUCAAGGAUGGGAUGGAUAGCCGAAUCAUGGGAUUGAAAUGUUUGGAAAUCGGCUAUUGAAACAUCCUUUCCUCAUCUGGGAGAUGAUUCCUUCUCUAUUUCUAAGAUUUUUCUAUGAAGACUAGUACAAGAAGGAUGUCCACAAAUGAAGACAUACCUUCCUUUACUAAUAGAUAAAGAAAAAAGGACUCUACCAAAGGUUAUAUGAUUAAGACCAAUGUGAAAAUAUCUAGGAAAAACAUGGUCUUGUAGGGCUAGGUCUAAACCAGAAUUUAUAAAAAGAUUAAUAGAUUCCCUAGGUGUAGCUAAAAGUGCAUUAUCUUCAUGAUUAAAAGAUAGGACCUCAGCUAUAGAAAAGGGUUGGUUUUGACCUAUUGCAAUCAACUCCAGACAUAGAUCAUAAUUAGGGGCAAGACGUGUUGACUCCCAUGGUCUAUGGCUGGUCUCCGAAGGAGCAAAGAAUUCAAUAAUAGGUAUGGAAUUUGAAUUAUCCAUAAAGAUAAAAAUAAAAAGAUAAAAGAAUAAAAGUAUAAAAGUAUAAUACAAGAUAAUAGCAAGACUUAAAGUUAUCUCAGCAAACCGUCUUUCUCCCCGGCAACGGCGCCAGAAAUGCUUGUUGAUAUUUGGUAACGCAAUUAGAAAAUGAUCCGCAAGCGCACGGAUAUCGGUGAGCAUUUCACCCGGGAGGUUUUCCAGAGUAUCGUAUUUAUAUUUUUACCACUGGGAGAAAGGGUGCAUCUGACUAACCAAAUCUAUUGCUACUAUCCCUUUAGGCUACAAAGAAUGUCUCUCGAUGUGAGUGAUGUAUAGAGAAGACUGCAACCUUAGUCUCGUUCUAACCUUGGUAAGGAUGAUCUACUGCUCUAUUGGGGAGGCUCACGGAAUCUAGACAACACAAAGGAUGUUCGACCCGCACCUAUAAACCUACCCGUCCUGCUAACGAGAUGUGAUCUGCAAAGGUAACUCGGAAAUGUCACGUUCCUCGCUACUACCACGGUCCAGCUAGUCAGGGGAUAUCUAUGAGUACCCUAGCCUAAACACCACGUUUACGCUAACAAGUGAUUACUCUAAUACUCAACCGGAAGAGGAUUAAAGUAAACUCAUAAACCAAAGAACAAUAAAACAAGAACUUACUAGUAUUAGAAGUCGAAUUACUGAAGAAUCUUAGAAGCAAGCCUCGGGUUAGGAGACUUGAUACAGUAGGUACAACUCGGAGUAGACACCGACAGGCCGGCCUUCCUCGGAUCCACACCUCCACUCUAUCUCUCUCAAUCUAGUAGAAACUAGAAGAUCUAUUUCUACUUUACAUUGGUUGCUAAGCCUAAAAAGAAAUAUUAUUUAGAGAAGAGGUUUUCCUUCGAGGGCACCCCUCAAUCUCUAUGAUAAUUCCUUGUCUUCUCCAGGGCCAGGGGGGCCUUGCUUAUAUAGUCCUCCCCUUCUAUGCGUUUUUGGGUCGAUAGGCGAGGUGGUACUAUGUUUUCCUUGAUCCAAUAGGUCGGUGGAACAUCCCGAGCGAAAGAGUCCUGAUUUGGCUCCAACAGGGGGGCGGGCGCCCAGGCUACCAGGGCGGGCGCCCUGGGCCUGGCCCAGUUUCGCCUCCGCUUCGGUCUCGUGGCUUCUGGAGUCUUCUAGAUGAUGUAAAAUCGUGCGGUGCGUUGAUAUCUCUAUGUAAUCCCGACAUGUGGGCCUUUCUACCUUAUUUCCUGAUAACCCCCUGCAGAAAUAGACAAACACCAAAACUCGUGGAAUUCUGUCAGAUAAAACCCUAAGUCUAGAUGUUGAUUUCAUUGGAUCCUUUUCUUUGUUUAUUUGAUAAUUAAAUUUGAUACUUAAGGACCGUCAACAAAGAUGAAGAUGAAGAAAGCGAAGGAGAAGCUGCUCGUCGUGCAAGAGAACGACGUAGAGAGCGAGCUGCUGCCAAUGCAAGAAGACCUCCUUUUCCACGACGUGAUCAUGGUGGUAGAGGUGCUGGUCAUGGACAUGGGAGAGAUAUUGGAUUGGAAGAAAGUGAAACUGAAGAAGAGGAUGAACAGCCCCAUUAUGAUGAUCGUCGUCACCGAAGAAAUCGUAGGCGUAAUCAGCACAAUGAAGAGAGGUUUGGCAAGUUAAAAUUCACCAUGCCCCAGUUUGAAGGAGGAUCUGAUCCUGAAGCAUAUCUUACAUGGGAGUUGAAGGUGGAUAAAAUUUUUCGUGUGCAUAAUUAUUCUGAGAGAAAGAAGGUUGCCAUGGCUGCUCUUGAGUUCGAUGGGUAUGCUCUAAUCUGGUGGGAGCAAAUGUUGAAUGAAAGAGAAGAAGCUGGUCAAGGUGAUGUUCGUUCAUGGGCUGAAAUGAAGAGAGAAUUGAGAGCAAGAUUUGUCCCCAAACAUUAUCGCCGUGAUUUAUUUGACAAGCUACAGAAUCUGAAGCAAGGAAGCCUCAGUGUUGAUGAGUAUUAUAAAGAGAUGGAGAAGGCGAUGAUUAGAGCCAAUGUAAUUGAAGAUGAAGAGCAAACAAUUGCAAGAUUUAUGUCAGGGCUGCAUCGGAAUAUUCAGCGCAUUGUUGAAUUUCAGCAAUAUCGUAAUCUUGUUGAAUUGGUGCAUCAAGCUAGCAAAGCUGAGCGGCAAUUGCAGCAGGAUAUGAAGUCCACUAGAGGAGUAUCUUUCAGCACAAAGAGUGCAGCAAGUGGAAGUAAAUUUGCACCCAAAGGAAGUGGAAGUAAAGGUACAUUUUCCAGCACAAACGGUGGUGCACGAUCUAGCAACCUUGGUUCUUCUAGUAGCAAAGAGUUGGCUGCUCAAAAUGAGAAAUUGAAAUCAGCAAACUCAGUGGGUUCUUCCAGCAAGAGUAGUGGAAUUCAGUGCUUCAAGUGUGGUGGUCGUGGUCAUGUUGCAAGAGAGUGUCCAAACGCUAGAACCAUCAUUGUGAAUGAUCAAGGGGAGUAUGAAUCUGCUAGUGAGGAAGAACAAGAAGAUAGUGGAAGUGAGAGUAAUCUUGAGAAGGACAUCUGUGAAUUUGAAUCUGGUGCUGCUCUUGUUGUAACUCAGAUUUUGAGUGUACAAAUGAGCGAUGCUGAAAAUGGACAGCGGCACAAUCUUUUUCAGACUAGAGCUAAAGUGCAAGAUAAGGUUGUCAAAGUGAUCAUUGAUGGUGGCAGUUGCCACAAUCUUGCAAGCAAAGAAAUGGUUGAAAAGCUUGGGUUGAAGCUGCUGAAACAUCCCCAUCCAUAUCAUGUGCAUUGGCUUAAUAAUUCAGGUUCUAUUAAGAUUGCACAAAGAGUGAAAGUUCCAUUCAAGAUUGGUGAAUAUAUUGACACUAUAGAGUGUGAUGUGGCGCCUAUGACAGUGUGCCACAUGCUGUUGGGAAGACCAUGGCAAUAUGAUCGAUCGACUCUACAUUGUGGUAGAACCAAUCAAUACACCAUCCACCAUCAAGUGGAAGAACAAGGAGUUGAUUCUUAAACCCAUGACACCGCAGCAAAUCCUAGGUGAGCACUUGCAAAAGAGCUCCGAAGUGAGGAAUGAGAGUGCAAAAGAAAGAGAGAAAAAUAAUUUGAGUGCCCUCCACAAAUCAGUGAGUGAGAGCCACAAGCCAAACAUGAGAGAUGACAGAAAAAAAGAGGGAGAGAACUUCGUGAUGAUAGCCACCAAAUCUGAAAUGAGAGAUGUGAGGAAAAACCCAGAUCAAGUACUAUUUGUACUUGUGUGCAAGGACACAUUGCUUUCAGCUAAUGACUUAACAUCUGUCCCUAGUGUUGUUGCACGUGUUUUGUAGGACUAUGACGAUGUUUUUCCAAAGGAAACACCUGCUGGACUUCCUCCUUUGCGCGGUAUUGAACAUCAAAUUGAUCUCAUCCCUGGAGCUGCACUUCCAAACCGUCCGGCGUAUCGCACCAAUCCGGAAGAAACCAAGGAGAUUCAAAGGCAAGUACAAGAACUUUUAGAUAAAGGAUAUGUGCGAGAAAGUUUAAGUCCUUGUGCUGUUCCUGUGAUUUUGGUGCCAAAGAAAGAUGGUUCUUGGAGGAUGUGUGUAGAUUGUAGAGCCAUAAACAACAUCACUGUUCGUUAUCGUCAUCCUAUUCCUAGGCUAGAUGAUAUGCUUGAUGAAUUGAGUGGUUCUAUGAUGUUUUCUAAAAUUGAUUUGAGAAGUGGUUACCAUCAAAUUAGAAUGAAGAUUGGAGAUGAAUGGAAAACUGCUUUUAAAACAAAGUUUGGGCUGUAUGAAUGGUUAGUUAUGCCUUUUGGUUUGACCAAUGCCCCUAGUACGUUCAUGAGAUUGAUGAACCAUGUCUUGCGAGCAUUCAUUGGAAAGUUUGUUGUUGUUUACUUUGAUGAUAUUCUAAUUUACAGCAAGACAUUGGAGGAACAUGUUGAUCAUAUUAAACAAGUUUUGGAUGUGCUGAGAAAAGAAAAAUUAUUUGCUAACCUUGAGAAGUGCACAUUUUGUACAGAUCAGGUUGUGUUUCUUGGUUUUGUUGUUUCAGGUUCAGGAAUUCAGGUUGAUGAAUGAAAGGUGAAAGCAAUCAAGGAUUGGCCAACUCCUGAAAAUGUGAGUCAGGUGAGAAGUUUUCAUGGACUUGCUGGUUUUUACAGGAGAUUUGUGAGAGAUUUCAGCACCAUAGCUGCUCCGUUGAAUGAGUUAACAAAGAAAGGUGUUGCCUUCCAAUGGGGUGAACCACAAGAGAGAGUAUUCCAAGAAUUGAAGAAGAGGCUAUCCGAAGCCCCCUUGCUGGUGUUACCGGAUUUCACUAAAACCUUUGAGGUUGAAUGUGAUGCAAGUGGGAUCGGAAUCGGUGGUGUCCUAAUGCAAAAUGGACAGCCGGUUGCAUACUUCAGUGAGAAGUUAGGAGGUGCGCAACUGAACUACUCGGUGUAUGACAAAGAAUUGUAUGCUUUGGUAAGAGCUCUUGAGACUUGGCAACAUUAUUUAUGGCCAAAAGAGUUUGUUAUUCAUUCAGAUCAUGAGGCUUUGAAAUAUUUAAAGGGGCAAGCAAAACUGAAUCGUAGACAUGCCAAAUGGGUUGAAUUCAUUGAAACUUUUCCAUAUGUUGUGAAAUAUAAGAAAGGUAAAGAAAACAUUGUUGCUGAUGCUUUGUCACGUAAAAAUGUUUUGUUGAAUCAACUAGAUGUCAAGGUUCCAGGACUUGAAAGCAUAAAAGAAUUGUACCCUAGAUCAUGAAUUUUCAGAACCAUUUGCAAACUGUACAACUAGAAAAGGGUGGGAAAAAUAUCAUAUACAUGAUGGAUUUUUGUUUCGAGCUAACAAAUUGUGUGUACCCCACUGCUCUGUUAGGCUUUUGUUGCUAUAGGAAACACAUGCAGGUGGAUUGAUGGGUCACUUUGGAUGGAGAAAGACAUAUGAGAUGCUAGCUGAUCACUUCUACUGGCCAAAGAUUAGAAGAGACGUCCAACGACUUGUGCAAAGAUGCAUCACAUGUCACAAAGCUAAGUCAAAACUGAACCCUCAUGGAUUAUAUACUCCCUUGCCUGUUCUUAGUACCCCUUGGGAAGAUAUUAGCAUGGAUUUUGUUUUAGGUUUACCUAGGACAAAGAGGGGAAUGGAUUCAAUUUUUGUUGUUGUUGAUCGGUUCUCUAAAAUGGCACAUUUUAUACCUUGUCAUAAAAGUGAUGAUGCUUCCCACGUAGCCUCUCUAUUUUUCAGGGAUAUUGUAAAGAUUACACGGCGUGCCCAAAACAAUUGUUUCAGACCGUGACACCAAGUUUUUGAGCUACUUUUGGAAGACAUUGUGGGCAAAGCUUGGAACAAGGCUGCUGUUUUCCACCACUUGUCAUCCUCAAACGGAUGGACAAACUGAAGUUGUGAAUAGAACACUUUCUAUGCUGCUACGAGCCUUGAUAAAGAAGAACCUGAAGGAGUGGGAAGAGUGCUUGCCACAUGUGGAAUUCGCUUACAACAGGGCAGUACAUUCUACAACUAAUAUGUGUCCUUUUGAAGUUGUGUAUGGAUUCAAACCCCUUGCUCCGAUCGAUUUGUUGCCUCUACCAUUGCAGGAAAGGAUUAACAUGGAAGCAUCCAAGCGUGCAUCAUAUGUCAAGAAGAUUCAUGAGAAGACCAAAGAAGCAAUCGAAAGAAGGUCCAAGUACUAUGCUGAUUGGGCAAACAAGCAACGCAAGAAGGUGAUAUUUGAGCCCGGAGAUUUAGUGUGGGUACAUCUUCGCAAAGACCGCUUUCUUGAGAAGCGUAAAUCCAAGUUGAUGCCACGGGGAGAUGGUCCAUUCAGAGUGCUGUCCAGGAUCAAUGAUAAUGCCUACAAGAUUGAGCUUCCUGAAGAUUAUGGUGUUAGCACAACCUUCAAUGUUGCUGACUUGACAUCAUUCUUCGGAUUAGAAGAAUCAGAGUCGAGGUCGACUCCUUUUCAAGAGGGGGAGGAUGAUGAGGACAUCCCAACCAAGCAUGCUCCCUCCAAUUCCACGCCAACCUCUACACCGACUACACCGGCACCAGCCCAUGCCAUUGAUGGAGCAAUUACACGUAGCCGAGCCAAGAAGCUACAACAAGAGGUGAAUGCGCUACUUUGUGAGAGUUCUAUUAAUGUUAAUGAGAAUAUUAUACUACCUAAGUAUUCUACUUUGGUUGUGCUUAGGUAUACACAUGAGGAGGGAGGUGACCUGGAUCGCAAGGAUUGGAACAACACGGUGCAGAACGGACCAGUUGAAAGAAGGGCAGAUCGGACCAGUGCGGUGCAGAACGGACCACUUGAAAGAAAAGACCAUAACUUUCACUUUCGAGAUGCUAUGAAGGCCCAUGAGCACUUGUUGGAAAUCUCUUCGAGUCUGCUUUCCAAUGAAUUAAGUGGCGACCAGUUUGGAUACUCCAUAUUGCCUGCAGACCAGAAUUAGUACAGACUGCUCAGAAGGUCAACAGUCUGUCGUGACAGAAUGUUGGUACAACUUGUCAAGUAAAACUGUACCAAUCUACAGCGUUUCGUGGUGCAUGGCAUACGUUGCUGGAAAGCUCUUGGAGUCUAGUUCCACACCCAAGAAACGGUUCAUCAUUUGGACUUCCCAAUAAAAAGUUAUGGUCAGUUUAUUGGAAACUGCUAUGAAGGCCAACAGUCACGCGAAGCCACUUCGGGAAUCCAUUUCGAGGGGACCUUUCACAUUGCCUUCCCUCAGAAACUCUAUUUCGUUUUCAUACCUAUCUAGCAGGGCUGUUGCUAGUAUAAAUACCCCCUAAGACUCAUUGUAAUCCAAGACUUUGAGAAUUGAAAUACAGAACCCCUUUGUUCAGCUGCGUGCUAACAAAUUCAGAGAGUGAUCUCUACCCCUUUGCUCUUGUGUUUUCCUUCGCGGAGAUUACAGAAGCGGCCGCGUCAACGGCACCCAAUCCGUGCUCCUGAUCCUCAAGUUCAGGUUGUGUAGGUUGGUUCUUUGAGAGUGUGGUUGGGCGAAUCCUUGGUUCAGGCUGCCGUAUAGAGACGGUGGUUGGCUCCUUGUGCGUGUCGUCAGGUUGCACUAGUUAUCCUCGCUGCUUGCAGCAAGUUAUCGGCUGAUCUUCAGCUAGUUAUCCAUCCUACGUCAUGAAGAUCGGAACAACGACCUCACCAGCUAGGAGAUUAGUUAGGGGUCUAGCAAUUGGAGAGAAAUUCUUGAUAAAGCGUCUAUAGAACCCUGCAUGUCCCAAAAAGCUACGGAUUCCUUUCACAUUCGAGGGAGGUGGAAGUUUUUCAAUAACAUCAAUCUUUGCUUUGUCCACCUCUAUACCACGUUCGGACACUUUAUGUCCUAGCACUAUUCCUUCCUGAACCAUAAAAUGGCAUUUCUCCCAGUUCAGGAUUAAGUGUUUUUCUUCACAUCGCUGCAAGACUCUAUCUAAAUUCUCCAAACAAUGAUCAAAGGUUUUGCCAUAGACGGUAAAAUCAUCCAUGAAAAUCUCCAUGAUUUUCUCAAUCAUGUCCGAGAAAAUAGACAUCAUGCACCGUUGGAAAGAAGCUGGAGCAUUGCACAAUCCGAACGACAUUCGUCGGUAUGCAUAAGUUCGAUACGGGCAUGUAAAGGUAGUCUUUUCUUGGUCAUCUGGGUGGAUUGGGAUUUGGUGAUAUCCAGAAUAACCAUCAAGGAAACAAAAGAAAGAGUGGUUUGCAAGCCGUUCUAACAUUUCAUCAAUGAAGGGUAACGGAAAACGAUCUUUCUUUGUAGCCUUAUUGAGUUUUCGAUAGUCAAUACACAUACGCCACCCAGUGACAAUUCGUUGAGGGAUGAGUUCAUUCUUCUCAUUCCUAACGACCGUCAUUCCUCCUUUCUUUGGCACUACUUGGACAGGGCUAAUCCACUAACUAUGUGCAACAGGAUAAAUAAUCCCAGCACGAUAGAGUUUGAGGACCUCUUCCUUAACAACCUCUCGCAUAGCAUUGUUAAGUCUCCGUUGUGGUUACCUUGAAGGUGUAGAAUUGGGAUCAAUAGGGAUACGAUGAGUACAGAGAAUGGGACUAAUGCCCGUGAGAUCUUCGAGAGAGUAGCCAAAUGCUGAUCUAUGCCUUUCAAGAACAGUGAUAAGUUGUUGUGUUUCAUAAUCGGUAAGCUUGUCACUGAUAAUUACUGGAGUUUUUGGGUUGUUGUGCAAAAAGACAUAUCUAAGGCCAGAAGGAAGAGGCUUUAGCUCUAUUGAAGGAGGUGAAGGUUGUUCAUUUUUGUCUAGCUCAACGGGUUCUACCAACUCUUCUUCUUCUUGAACAAAGUGUUCAUGAUUAAAGAAUGGUUGGGCCAUCUCCUCUUGAGUCAGCAUUAAGAUCUCCUCAAUAGGAUCUGGUUCGAGUUUGGGUUCCACUAUCGUGUUAAUUGUUCUAGCAAGAGAAACAACAAUAGUGGAAUUCCCAAUCUUGAUGUCUAAAUGACCUCGUUGUGGUUGUUCUUGUAUAAGUUUCAUGAUUGGUCUGCCAAUCAAGAGAGGAAUCUCCAGUAUGUCGUAAAUGUGAAAAUCUAGACAUAUUCCAGAGUCCUUGAUUCUAACAGGAACUGCCCUUAAUACCCCAUGGCUUUCUAGAAUUAAUCUAGAUGGCCUUUGUAAAAGUUUUUGAGAUGGGGUUAUGGACUUGUUGGGAUAAAGGGUGUCAGCUAACUCCUUGGAAAUAACAUUUAUCCCAACAUAUGGAUUGUAGUGGACCUUCCUAGUGGACCGUCUAAUUUGGCAUAGAAGAAUGGUUGAAGGAGUGAUGAUCCGAGCUACCUCAGGAGACAGCUCUGCUUCUGUUAGCCAUUCAUAACUCAGAAUAGCCGAAAGGCUUUUGAUGUGUUCUAUAUCAACAGAUUCUACUCUUAGAAUGGAUUGAGUGGUCCUUGCUAGAGGUCGUGUUUGGAUAGGAAAAUUCGAGGUGUUUCCAUAAUCUUCAAAAAGAUCUUCCUCGAAUUCAAAGGGAUGCUCUAAAGGUGGUGGUUCAUCAUCCCUUAGUUGGUUUUGCAUUCCUUUAUCAGGAGGUUUCUCUACAAACAAAUUAAUGGAUGGGUCAGGUGGAAUUUCUAACUCGGUUGCAAGUUCCUCAUCUUUUAGUUUAGGGUCAGGCUCGACUUCUUUCUCUUCUUCAGGAAACUCAUCAUAAAUGCCUGUGUAAGGGGUAUUUUCAAGGAUUCUCUCUAGGAUAGCUCUCCCCUCAUCUGUGAGUUUGUGUGUGAAUGAGCCUCCUGAAGCAAUGUCGAGGUGAAGAGCAGCCUCCUUACUUAGACCACGAUAAAAGUGGUAGUACAGUACAUGGUCAGGCAGGGAAAGGUUUGGACCGGAAUUGGUAAGGCUUGUGAACCUAGCCCAAGCUGCCAGAAAGCUUGUUGGGUAUUUUAAACGCAAACAGAAAAAUCCGCAAGCGCACGGAUACCGAUGUAGCUUUCACCCGGGAGUAUUCCAGAGUAUCGAUUUUCCACAGAGAACGUGAGUGUACUAAUUAAGAUCCAAGAUCGCCCAAGGAUAACUAUAUAAUUAUUUUUGGUGGGAAGAGAGGAAGUUUCCUGAGAGUUCGCUAGUGAUCUAAGAAUCAGGAAUUACUUCAAAGAUUAUUUAUAUCGGGACAUCAGAGCACUAACCACAGAAAUAGAUGAGAAGGGGGCUAGGAAGCUCCGACUACAGUCCUACAAACACCGAUCCGAACGAGGUGGAAUACGUCGACCGUUAGGGCUGUCACUACCCUAAGGCUACCACAACAAUCCGCAGGAUUGGGUGCAAUUCCAGGUAAUUGCAAGACUAAACACCACGUCUAAUCUAUUAAUUACUACUCUAGCGUUUCAAAGACUAGAGCACUUGAUGCAAGCGGGAAUCCAAUAAAUAACUUGAAUGUAAAUAAAAGUAAUUAGAGAACUCAGGAAUUAUGAAUUGAAGAACCUGGAGAACGAUGAAGGACGAACCAGUUGCUGCAAAAGUACAAUGUUGAGGAAGAUCCGACAGCCCCGGCUCCUCCUCCGCUCUCCUCUUCUCUCUCCCUAUUUUCUAGAUUACAACUAGAACUAACUAGAACUAGAACUAGAGGAACUAGAACUAGAACUAGAAGAACUAGAGGGAUCCUCUCUACUUGGAUGAAGAAUUGAAACCCUAACUUUGAUUCUGUAGAAGAGGUAUGAUCUCCAGGGGCCAGGGAGCUUGCUUAUAUAGUCUUUUUAGAUGAAUCUGGGCCGUGGGAUCAAACCGACAUUAAUCGCACGGUUUUCCUUGGUCCUUUAGGUCGGUGGAGCACGAUCCGCGAAGUUGAAGCUGAUUGGUUACUGUAGCUGGGCGGGCACUGAAGGGUCGAGAUGGCGGACUAGAGGGGGGGGUGAAUAGUCCUUUCUAAAACUUAUCGCGUCGGCUAACCGAAAACAAAUGCAGAAUUAGAUAUAUCGGCCUAGCCAAGACUACACCCCUCUAUCUAAGUUCUCUAGCACCUUGAAAAGAUCCUAAACAAGCAAGCAAGGUGCUACCUUAGCAAGAGCUCACCUAAUCAAUUCUAGGAGCAAGGUCACACAAACCUAUGCAACUAGUACUUUGCAAACUGGGGGAGCUCCUACACAAACUAGUGAGGCAAAGCGCACAAAGCCUAAGCUCACUAGCAAGCUCAAUAACAAGGCAACUAAUGCCAAAUUAGAGAGCGCAACUUACUUAGCUACACAAACUAAGCAAUGUGACUAGCAAGGUUACACAAACCAAAAAAGUCAUGCAAGGGAACUACUUCUAGCUACACAAGCAAGAAGGUAACUAGCAAGCUACACAAGCUAACUAAUUACAAGAGCAACUACACAAGCACAAGUAUAUGAAUGUAAGAACAAGCUUGUGUUAGGGACUUGCAAACCAACGGGAAGAACAAUGUUGACACGAUGAUUUUUUCCCGAGGUUCACUUGGUUGCCACCAAGCUACGUCCCCGUUGAGACAAGCUCCAAGGUUGCCGCCGGUCCUCUUGCUAGUGGUGACCCGCAAGUCACACUCUCCCACGUGGAGUGCUUACCACAAGCUCUAGCACUUGACCCGGCCGAACCACUUGUUGCUCUUCACGUCUCGCUCAACUAGAGUUGCUCUUCGCGAUCCCCGCGGGGUGAGCACCGUACCCCUCACAACCUCUUCUCCGGAGCACCGCACAAUCUCCUUGCGUGCUUCGACGGAGUCACAAGCCACCAAGCCGUCUAGGAGGUGGCAACCUCCAAGAGUAACAAGCACCACCGGCUUGCAACACGAACACCUAGUGCCACUCGAUGCAGUCUCUCAAUGCAACGCACUAGAAUCGCUCACUCACACAAUCGAAUGAUCACUAUGAAGUAUAUGUGAGUUAGAGGCUUCACUAGCACUCCCCAAGCAUGGACACUAACUCCCAAGGGUGCUCAGCACCGGCCAAGGCCGGCCACCACUUCUAUUUAUAGCCCCAAGGGCUAAACUAGCCGUUGCCCCUUCACUGGGCAAAACACGUGGGCACCGGACGCUCACAGGGAGCCACCGGACGCUCAACUCCCAGCGUCCGGUGCUCAGGCGUCGGCCACGUGUCACUAGCCGUUUGGACUCAACCGUUGCCGCCAAUGGCUACUGCGCACGCGCGCCUGCACAGCACCACCGGACGCUCUACUGCAUCACACCAGACGCGUCCGGUGCACACCGGACCCGUGCGCAGAGAGCUCCGCAAACUCGCACGGUCACCGGACGCAAGCCACCGGACGCACCCUGAGCGUCCUGUGCUCACGGGACUCAUGCGCAGAGAGGGUCGCCAAACGGCCCGCACACCGGACGCUGAGCACCGGACUCUCUCUGGUGCGUCCGGUGCCCUCUGUUGCACCCGACAGCACACCGGACGCUAAAGGCCAGCGUCCGAUGCCUCCGCACAGAGCGUCCGGUGAGUGUUUCCUACUGAGAAACACUCCCGCGACUUCUCCAAAUUUCCCACCGGCGCAAUAGAAAAUAUGCACUUAAUUUUCUCAAAACCCACACCUCUCUCAACCCGAGGAACACCACCUCCUUUGUAAAGUGUGCCAACACCAACAAGUGUACACCACCAUGUGCAAGUGUGUUAGCUUUUCAUAAACAUUUUCCCAAAGGAGUUAGCCUCUCAAACUUGCCACGCCACUCGAUCCUAACACGUAUGCAAAGUUACAUCGCUCAAGUGGCAUUAGAUGACCGAUAUGCAAACAAGUUUGCCCCUCUUGAUAGUACGGCCAUCUAUCCUAAAUCCGGUUAUAAACUUCGCUACACACCUAUGACCGGUGAAAUGGAAAUGCCCUAGGUUAUACCUUUGCCUUGCGCAUUCCAUUCCAUCUCCUCCGAUGUUGAUGCAACACAUGCACCGACCAAUCACCAAAUGAUAUGAUCCACUUCAUAUCAUCACGUGACCGUAUUGGUUCAUCGAUCUUGACCUCACUUGCUCUUCACCGUUGCCUCGGUCCAUCGGCGCCAAGUCUUGCUCAAGCUUCACCGUCACACGCGGUCCCUCGCUUCAAAGCCUCCGACUUGCCCUUCACUCUUGCAACCGGUCCAUCAAGCCAAGCCUCAUCUUGAUCUUCUCCACCUUGGUCACAUGACUCCAUGUCAUGUCUCAUGUGCAAUGAGCUCCUCCAUCAUCAUAUAAUCACCUGUGGACUAAUCUCCUGUGUAUCUCACAUAAACACUAUUAGUCCACCUAAGUUGUCACUCAAUUACCAAAACCAAACAAGGACCUUUCAAUCUCCCCCUUUUUGGUAAUUGAUGACAACUCUACAAAGAUAUGUAAAAAAAAACUUUUUCAAGCUAGCACUUCACACAAGUGUAAAUUGCUAACUUGGUUUGGAUUUUAUGCUACUUAUCCAACAUUUAAGCUCUAUGUCAAGAAUUGGAUAAGCACCAUAAAACCCUACUAAGUGCUAAGGUGUAUAGAAUAAACCUUUGUAGCUCGAUACCAAAAUCGAUAGCAUUUGAAGCAUUCAAUUGUACACCAUCCUUAGCACCAUGUGUAGCUAGACAACAAAAACACUAGAAACCCCGUGAGAUCAACAUUAUAAGCAAGGGUCUAGUUUUUACUUGAAAAACAGAAGUCUAGCUACCAACCUAUGCAUGCUAGUUAUCAUAUCAUCAUUCAAGUUCUAAAGCUAGCAUACACCACACAAGCAUGCAUAUUGAAUUUAGAACUUAUGCAAUGCAAGCAAGCACAUGAAUAUGCACAAAUCAAGUUGGAACAAACAAUGUUCAUGAGCUUGCUCCCCCUACUUGUGUGCUUCUCAUGUUCAAGAAUUUUGAUCCUUCUUGAUCUUUUCUUUUAAUGUUGCUCCCUUUUCCAUGUCCAUCUUUGAUCUCUCCCCUUUGAAACAUAUCUUUUGUUGUCCAACUUAUCCCAUGAUCAUAUCUUUGUUCCAACUUCUCCCCCUUUGUCACCAAUUUCCAUAAAAGGUAUGUGAUACAAAUUAAAUCACUUCAUACCAAUUGAAAGAAUGUUUAUCUUAUUGUGACAAAGGAUUGCAUUGGGAUAGAUGGUUGAGGCUUGAAUCUUGUAUUUUUGAUGGACAUCACCAUGUGUUGGAAUGACAUUACUUGAAUUGCUCUUGAGAUACCACAUAGGAUCUUUGACCUUGAUACCAUUUGGUGGGGCAACUCCCCUAUGUCAUAGCAUGGGUCAUUCACUUGUCAAUCUUGUUGGUGAGGGAACUUUCUUCACUUGAUGAUCACUUAAAGUUGAGGAUCACUUGUGGAACCACCUUCUUGUAUGAUAGACACCAUAUGUAUAAAUGUCAUAUCAUUUGAAAGAUCUUGUCCGAUACCAUAUAGAAAUCUUCUUCCAAUUGAAUGUCUUCUAGUAUGGAACCACUUGUUUCCUUUCUUGAACAUUUGCUAUCACGAGUACCAAUUGUUUGAUACCAAUUGAAGAAACAUUUGAAUUUAGAUAUCCAUUUGCAUUGUUGUCUUGUUCUUGUACUCUAAUCUUCAUGAGCUUCUAAUUGUUGACUUGAACUAGGUUGAUUUGCCUAAGCUUCCAAGUCCGGUUUGAACCAAUGACAAGCUUCUUCACACCUCUCAUUAAGGGUUAUCUUGCCAAUGUUGUACUUGUCACUUGUUAACAAACCAAAAUAGAUCAAGUACUUGGGUUUACUAGCUCACGAAUAAACUCAUAUACAUACCACUAGAUCAACUAAUCAUUCAAGCAAUAGUGGUAGGUUAUGAAUUGAAAACUUUUCAUUUGUUAUGCAUGAUCCUAUUGAGCAUGUACUAUAUGCACUAACCGCAUACUAGUAAGGGAUGAAAUGAUCAUGCACAUUACAAUGGUACCUUUGCUAUCUUGGAGUAGAGGAUAGUCAAUAAGACUCCAAUUUAGCUCCAAAUAGCAAUGUGAAGUCCAACUAUAAGCUUGGUGAAGACCAAUUAUAAAUACCAAUUGAUAGAUCAAAUCUUCACCCAUGUGAAAUGAGAACCACUUAUUGAUCAAGUGCACUAUCUUGUUGUGGAUGGCUUGCUUUUUCUUUUGACCAUUGCUUGCAUGAGAGAACUAAUAAGAAUAUCACUUGAACAUCAUGACUAGCUCUCUUUUGGGUGUUGCUUGCUCUCUUGAUCAAUCCUUUUGAUUGCUUCAACUAAGCAUCUCAAAUGUCCUUUAGAUCAUCACUUCCAUGUUAGCCUUCCAAGCACCACACUUGGAUUACCCACUCCUCGGGCGGCACGCCCCUCACUUAGGGAGAAGUGACCUCUCUCUAAAGAACCAUCCUUGAUACUUACUUGAAUUACUUUGAUUGAUUGAAUCAAGUGAUGGACUUAAUAUGAUGAGUAACCAUGAAUCCUUCUUUAAGUCCUUUUCUUUGUACCAAAUGAUUUCCAAUAGCCACUAGAACUUAAACUUCAUCUUCAUCUUGAUUUUGAUCUUGAUCUUCGGUUUUGAGUACUAAAAGUGUACACCAAGUACAUUCCACAAUCAAAUGACCUUGUACUCAUUACUUGUCAUGCUUCUAGAUCAAUUCAAAACCAAACUUAGGUGCCUCAAAUACUUAUAAUCAUGUUUCCAACUUGAGGACCUUUCAAUUUAAGUGACUCUAGAUCAAUCCAAUAUUUGUCACUUUUCUGACAGAUUAUGUACCCUUUAAAGAAAUAUCCAUAUCUCACAAUGUACAGAUCCAAAUGCCACGAAAUUUGGUGGAGAUGUGAUUUACUGAGUCAUCUAGCAGCUGUAGAAAUUUGAGCUUCAUUUGACUUCUAGAUUGCUACCAGAUUUCAAUUCUUCCACCACUGUUACAUGCUGAAAACUGCUGCACUAUAGCUGAUAAGAUCCACUCCAAAACCGAAGUAUCCCUCAUCCAAUUCUCAUGAGAUUUUUACAGCAUCUUGUAUGAUAAUUGCACAGCAUGCAUACCAAAUUUCAAGCCAUUCCAAAUAGUUUUGUUCACUCAAAAGCAGACUUGAUCUCAGCUAGCUCAGAUUCUCAAUGUUGGACAGAUUUCAAGCAAUUGAGCUAUAUUUGUUCAAAUUGAAUCAAACUUGAAAUCAACUUGAUUGAAUACUUUCACAAGACAUAUAUCCAUUCAAUCCACUCAGUAAAAGUCAUCUUAUGAACUUAUCCAACUCAAAUCAAUCCAAACUUGAUUACUAAGCAUUUAAUCCAUUCAAUCAUCUUAUAGCAAGCAACAUUGCAUAUUUAUCCAAUUCAAUCAACUCAUAUGCACCCAAAUGAAUGUGAUCAACAAAGAUAUACCAUGGUUAGCUUAUGAUCAUCUAAUUUGCAAGCUUCAACUCAUGUAUUUGCAAGCCAUCAAAUAAUCCAAUAAAUCACCACAACUUGAAUAUUUGCACUUGUAUGUUGUAGCACUUGGACUUCACUAUCUUGUCAUGGCAUUGGGUUUGGAUGUGCACUAGGCUUCAAUAAUUCACUCAAUCAUAUGAUGAAUAAUAUAAGAUCAAUUGAAUCAAGUCUCCAAUGCCGAUGGUACCUACACACAAUCAUCCACUUUUUGAUGGUACCCAAACUAGUUUGGGUCCUCUCAAGUUAGGUGCAACAUACUUAGGCGAUGCCUUAGUAUGAGUAGCGGGAUGUUUUGCAAUAGUAACCAUAGAGGUACCAUCACCAUCCUUUUUAAGCAUAUUAUGAUUGUCAAAUGAAAAAGGCCUAGAAUUAUUACCUAGGGGACAUGAAUGAGCCAUGUGUCCCCUUUCCCGGCAUAAGUAGCAACUUCUCUUUGAUUGAGCCUUUUCUUCCUUGCUCAUGUGUUGCUUCUUAUUGCCUUGCCUCUUGAGGGUUGCUUGAGCCUUCUUCUCAAGCUUGGUAGGACACUUCGAGGCAAAGUGUCCAUCAUUCUUGCUCAUCAUCUUGGCAUCUUGGAUUUGCAUUGGAUGCCUUGCUCUUCCACCCCUUCUUGUUUUCUUCUUCAUCAUCAUCAAGUCAUCGUGAUGGUUGAACUUGACUUGAGCUUGGGGCUCCUUUUAUUGCUCAACUUGUGGCUUAGGUUGAGGCUCUUCUUGUUGCUUCACCAAUUGCUUGGUUGGGCACAUUGAGGUGAGAUGACCCCAAGUGCGGCACUUGAAGCCCUUGACAUGCUUUAGCCUCUCUUCUUCCUUCAUCUUCUUGAGCUUCUCAAUGUUUGGGCAACCACUUGCAAGAUGUCCCACUUCAUGGCACCGAUAGCACAUGAAAUGAGAAAGCUUCCUCUUUUCUUGCUUUCUUUUGCCCUUUGUCAUCUUCUUCUUGAAGCCAAGGCCACAUUUGUUACCAUAAUUUCUUUGAGUCUUCAAUAUAUGCUCAAAGGUGACUUUUGAGUUGUAGCACCUCUCCAACUUGUUGCUCAAAUUCUUCACUUCACUUUUGAGCUUAUUGUUCUCCUUCAAAAGGUUAGUCUCACAAGACAUAGAAGUAGAACAAGCAUCUAAUUGUGAAGAACAUGGCAUAGAUAAUAAAUCAUCACAAGAGGUGGAUACAUGCUUCUUGCCUACAUCACAAGGGUUAGUAACAAUAUGUGAUUGAUCAUUUGAUCCAAAUGAUGAGCUCUCACUAGUUUUAAUUUCUUCAUUAGAAAUCUUCUUAGUGAGAAAAGCAUGAUCUUUUACCAAGUUAUCAUGAGUAACACAAAGUUCCUCAUGAACCAAUUUUAGCUCCUCAUGUGAACAAGUAGUAACAUAAAGUAGAUGAUUCUGUUGUUCACAUGUGGUUUUUGGAAAUGAGUUUUCAUUUUUCAAUUUACUUGUUUUAGCAAUCUCAUUUCUUAAAGCUUUGGUGAGUCUACAUACAAGCUCAAAAUUUGGAUCAUCACAAUCAACAAUCACACCUCCAAUAGAUACCUUGCCGUCGCCAUGAGACAUGGAGGAAUGUGAUGAAGUGGAUGAGCUUGUAGAAGCAUCACUCUCAUAGCCAUCAUCUUCAUCUUCACUUGACCAUGAGGUGGAGCAAUCCUCCACAACCACCUUGUUGUGGUUAUGCUCAACAUCCUCAUGUAUCUCCACCUUUGGUUCCUCCUUUUUGAACUUGCCAUCAUCCCAUGUGGAAGAAUCACCGAAGGUGUGUUUGAUAGACUCCCACAUUUCAUAUGCGGUUCCUUUGGAGUUUAUCCUAUCAAACAACUCAAAGCUCAAGGAUUUCAUUAGAUAACAAUAAGCUUCACAAUCAAGUUCAAAGAGAACCUUUUGAGCUUUGGUGAGAUUCUUAUGGUCCAAGUUGUGUGUGAGACCAUUAGUGACAAUCCACCAAAAUUUAGGUCCCUUUGCACGAAAAUGAUCAAGCAUGUGAUUUUUCCAAAGUGCAAAGUUUGUACCAUCAAAAAUGUGUGGACACUCAACAUCUAGCCCAUAAGCCGCAAUCCUCUCGGGUCGGUGAAGACCACAAAUGAGAGACCUAGCUCUGAUACCACUUGAAGGGUCGAGAUGGCGGACUAGAGGGGGGUGAAUAGUCCUUUCUAAAACUUAUCGCGUCGGCUAACCGAAAACAAAUGCGGAAUUAGAUCUAUCAGUCUAGCCAAGACUACACCCCUCUAUCUAAGUUCUCUAGCACCUUGAAAAGAUCCUAAACAAGCAAGCAAGGUGCUACCUUAGCAAGAGCUCACCUAAUCAAUUCUAGGAGCAAGGUCACACAAACCUAUGCAACAAGUACUUUGCAAAACGGGGGAUCUCCUACACAAACUAGUGAGGCAAAGCGCACAAAGCCUAAGCUCACUAGCAAGCUCAAUAACAAGGCAACUAAUGCCAAAUUAGAGAGCGCAACUUACUUAGCUACACAAACUAAGCAAUGUGACUAGCAAGGUUACACAAACCAAAAAAGUCACGCAAGGGAACUACUUCUAGCUACACAAGCAAGAAGGUAACUAGCAAGCUACACAAGCUAACUAAUUACAAGAGCAACUACACAAGCACAAGUAUAUGAAUGUAAGAACAAGCUUGUGUUAGGGACUUGCAAACCAAGGGGAAGAACAAUGUUGACACGAUGAUUUUCUCCCGAGGUUCACUUGGUUGUCACCAAGCUACGUCCCCGUUGAGACAAGCUCCAAGGUUGCCGCCGGUCCUCUUGCUAGUGGUGACCCGCAAGUCACACUCUCCCACGUGGAGUGCUUACCACAAGCUCUAGCACUUGACCCGGCCGGACCACUUGUUGCUCUUCACGUCUCGCUCAACUAGAGUUGCUCUUCGCGAUCCCCGCGGGGUGAGCACCGUACCCCUCACAAUCUCUUCUCCGGAGCACCGCACAAUCUCCUUGUGUGCUUCGACGGAGUCACAAGCCACCAAGCCAUCUAGGAGGUGGCAACCUCCAAGAGUAACAAGCACCAUCGGCUUGCAACACGAACACCUAGUGCCACUCGAUGCAGUCUCUCAAUGCAACGCACUAGAAUCGCUCACUCACACAAUCGAAUGAUCACUAUCAAGUAUAUGUGAGUUAGAGGCUUCACUAGCACUCCCCAAGCAUGGACACUAAGUCCCAAGGGUGCUCAGCACCGGCCAAGGCCGGCCACCACUUCUAUUUAUAGCCCCAAGGGCUAAACUAGCCGUUGCCCCUUCACUGGGCAAAACACGUGGGCACCGGACGCUCACAGGGAGCCACCGGACGCUCAACUCCCAGUGUCCGAUGCUCAGGCGUCGGCCACGUGUCACUAGCCGUUUGAACUCGACCGUUGCCGCCAACGGCUACUGCGCACGCGCGCCUGCACAGCACCACCGGACGCUCUACUGCAUCACACCGGACGCGUCCGGUGCACACCGGACCCGUGCGCAGAGAGCUCCGCAAACUCGCACGGUCUCCGGACGCAAGCCACUGGACGCACCCUGAGCGUCCCGUGCUCAUAGGACUCAUGCGAAGAGAGGGUCGCCAAAUGGCCCGCACACCGGACGCUGAGCACGGACUCUCUCCGGUGCGUCCGGUGCACUCUGCUGCACCCGACAGCACACCGGACGAUAAAGGCCAGCGUCCGGUGCCUCCGCACAGAGCGUCCGGUGAGUGUUUCCUACUAAGAAACACUCCCGCGACUUCUCCAAAUUUCCCACCGGCGCAAUAGAAAAUAUGCACUUAAUUUUCUCAAAAGCGCCGAAUGCCGCCUCGCAAGCUUUUCAUAAACAUUUUCCCAAAGGAGUUAGCCUCUCAAACUUGCCACGCCACUCGAUCCUAACACGUAUGCAAAGUUAGAUCGCUCAAGUGGCAUUAGAUGACCGAUAUGCAAACAAGUUUGCCCCUCUUGAUAGUACGGCCAUCUAUCCUAAAUCCGGUCAUAAACUUCUCUACACACCUAUGACCGGUGAAAUGGAAAUGCCCUAGGUUAUACCUUUGCCUUGCGCAUUCCAUUCCAUCUCCUCCGAUGUUGAUGCAACACAUGCACCGACCAAUCACCAAAUGAUAUGAUCCACUUCAUAUCAUCACGUGACCGUAUUGGUUCAUCGAUCUUGACCUCACUUGCUCUUCACCAUUGCCUCGGUCCAUCGGCGCCAAGUCUUGCUCAAGCUUCACCGUCACACGCGGUCCCUCGCUUCAAAGCCUCCGACUUGCCCUUCACUCUUGCAACCGGUCCAUCAAGCCAAGCCUCAUCUUGAUCUUCUCCACCUUGGUCCCAUGACUCCAUGUCAUGUCUCAUGUGCAAUGAGCUCCUCCAUCAUCAUAUAAUCACCUAUGGACUAAUCUCCUGUGUAUCUCACAUAAACACUAUUAGUCCACCCAAGUUGUCACUCAAUUACCAAAACCAAACAAGGACCUUUCAGGCACCCAAGGGACUUGGGCGGGCGCCCUGCCCCCGGGCCCGAUCGGCCUCCCGUUCGUUCCCGUGGCUUCUGGAGUCUUCUAGAUGGUAGAAAAUUGCACGGCACGUUAAUAUCUCUAUGUAAACCCGACGUGUGGGCCUUUCUUCCUUAUUUCCUGAUAACCCCCUGCAGAAAUAGACAAACACCAAAACUCGUGGAAUUCUGUCAGAUAAAACCCUAAGUCUAGGUGUUGGUUCCAUUUAGAUCCUUUUCCAUGAGAUGCCACCGGUGUCAAAAACAUGGGAAUAUUAACUCACGAAAUGAAAUGCCUCUCACAAAUAAUCUUCAAGUAGAACUUUUCGAUGUUUGGGGCAUUGAUUUCAUGGGGCCAUUCCCUAUGUCCGGGAAUUACGAGUAUAUCUUAGUAGCUGUGGACUAUGUGUCCAAAUGGGUAGAAGCCCUACCUUGUCGAUCAGCUGAUUCAAAACAUGCCAAGAGAAUGUUCCAUGAAGUAAUCUUUCCUCGCUUUGGUAUACCCCGGAUAGUUAUAAGCGAUGGAGGUUCCCACUUCAUCGAUAAAAUCUUCCUGAAGUACCUAGCCGAUCAUGGAGUUCGACACAACGUCGCAACACCAUACCAUCCUCAGACUAGCGGUCAAGCCGAAACAGCUAACAAACAAAUCAAAAAUAUUUUACAGAAGACCGUAGAUGAGAUGGGUAAGGGGUGGAAGGACAAACUUCCUGAUGCACUUUGGGCAUAUAGAACUGCAUUCAAAACACCCAUAGGCAUGUCACCUUAUCAACUUGUAUAUGGAAAAACUUGUCAUUUGCCUGUGGAGGUAGAGUUUAAGGCUCAUUGGGCACUCAAGAAAUGGAACAUGGAUCACCACCUUGCUAGCGAGAAUCGUCUCAUGCAACUAUCUGAGCUAGAAGAAUGGAGAGAGAAAGCCUACCACAAUUCAAGGAUCUAUAAAGAAAGAACAAAAGGAUGGCAUGAUAAGAGAAUCAAGCACAAGGAGUUUAAGCCUGGAGAUAAGGUUCUACUAUUCAAUUCAAGAGUUAAGCUCUUUGGGCAUGGUAAGCUACGAAGUAAGUGGGAUGGACCAUACAAGGUUAUUGACACUUCAACUCAUGGAGCCAUUACCAUCCAAGACGACAUAGGUAACACUUUUAAGGUAAAUGGUCAACGCUUGAAAAUCUAUCUCGAGCCACAAAACAACCUGGUAGAGGAACUUGAUGUGAUUGAGUUCAUAGAAUUCUCACAUUAAGCUCUCAUAAGCUCUAGGCAAUUACCUAACCCUUAACAUGUUGUCUAUUUGGGUUGUGCAGGAUUUUGAGGCUUAAGAAGAGUGAGACCGAACAUGCAGGCCACCAGAGUGAACGACUAUGUCAACAUCCAGCUUGGGGGAGGCACCCCCACGUGUAUCAAGAUAAGUAUUACUUUUCUUCCUUUGGUUUUAUUUUCUAGUAUUCGGAAAUAAAUAAAUAAAUAAAAAUGCAUAACCAUGAAACCAAACAAAGUUUUUCUUUUGAGUAAUAUACAAUAGUUUUGUGUAAACCUAAGUUUUAAAUAAAAAUAAAAAAAGUUUGAUUCAAGUCUAGGUAAUUGACAAACAUGAUAUGAGAAGGUCUGAGCUACUAUUUAACUUGUUCCAAGUUUUGCUAGAGUUCUGGAGAUUUUAUCUUUUGAAAAUCUAAAAAUUCAUAAAAAAAUAUAUGAGAUCAUAAUACCUAGAGUCUUAUAAGAUAUAAAUAUUAAAACUAUGGGCACUUGCUUUGUUCAAGCCAUUGUUAAUUCUUGUAGUUUUGGUUGAGAGAAUUAACAUGCUCCCAAGAUCAAGAUCUUUUUGUUUUAAAAAUAUAAAAGAUUCACUCUUCCGAAGUAUCAUUGCGUUAGAGGCAUGGGACUAUGCAAAAAUGUGACUCGAAAAAAAAAGAGAGUGAGACGAGAGGUAAAAAUGGACAAGUGUCCGUAGUAGAAUUAGGGGUACAAAGAUACCCUCCUGAGUGGAAAAAAUGGACAUGUGUCCGACAGUAAAAUUAGGGGUACUUGCUGCCCACUUGAAAAAAAAAGAGAGAAAAAAAGAAAAAAAUGAAAAAAAAAUGAUAGCCCAUGGUCCCUCUAAUAAGCAAUAUGCCAGUAAGAGAUGACAAACUUCUCAAAAAGGUCAAAGGUCUUGAUCUAGGACUAUGACAUUCCUCUCCCUUACUCCGAGCGUUGACAUAGCAAAAUGCAAAGUAAGUAUGCUAAAACUUUUAAAGCUCUACUUAUAUAUAUCUUUCGAGAAGAAGGCAAAUGCCUCGGUUUUAUUUUGCAGACUUAUAAAAAAAACUCCAGAGCAAAGGUAAGACAAAAGAACUUGAAACAUAGUGCUUGACUGGAUCGUUCUGUUUUUCAAUCACUUAAGACCUUAAAAACCCUAUAGUAAGAGGCAUAAAAGUAACCCCUGUUUUCUUGCUGAUUUUAGUUUUGCUCAUUGACGAGCAAAGGUUAAGCUUGGGGGAGCUUGUUGACGGUCCUUAAUGCUCACAUUUAACCAUCAACUAAUCAUGGAAAAGGAUCCAAAUGCAACCAACACCUAGACUUAGGGUUUUAUCUGACAGAAUUCCACGAGUUUUGGUGUUUGUCUAUUUCUACAGGGGGUUAUCAGGAAAUAUGAAAGAAAGGCCCACACAUCAGGUUUACAUAGAGAUAUUAACGUGUCGCGCAAUUUUCUAUCAUCUAGAAGACUCCAGAAGCCACGGGAACGAACGGGAAGGAAAUCGGGCUCGGAGGUAGGGCACCCGCCCAACUCUCCUGGGCGCCCGCCCAGCUACAGUGCCCAAUCAGGACACGUUUCGCGGAUUAUGCUCCACCGACCUAAAGGAUCAAGGAAAACCGUGCGAUCAAUGUCGGUUUGAUCCGACGGCCCAGAUUCACUUGAAGGGACUAUAAAACCAGACCCCCUGGCCCCUGGAGAUCAUACCUCUUCUACAGAAUCAAAGUUGGGGUUUCAAGUCUUCAUCCAAGUAGAGAGGAUCCCUCUAGUUCUUCUAGUUUUACCUCUAGUUCAUCUAGAUCUAGUUAUACUUCAUCUAGUUCUAGUUCUAGUCCCUCUAGUUCUAGUUCUAGUUAGUUAUAGUUGUAAUCUAGAAAAUAGGGAGAGAGAAGAGGAGAGCGGAGGAGGAGGAGCCGGAUCUGUCGGAUCUUCCUCAACAUUGUACUUUUGCACCAAUUGGUUCGUUCUUCAUCGUUCUCCAGGUUCUUCAAUUCGUAAUCCUGAGUUCUUUAAUUACUUUUAUUUACAUUCAAGUUAUUUAUUGGAUUCCCGCUUGCAUCAAGUGCUCUAAUCUUUGCAACAUUAGAGUAGUAAUUAAUAGAUUAGACGUGGUGUUUAGUCUUGCAAUUACCUGGAAUUGCACCCAAUCCUGCGGAUUGUUGUGGUAGCCCUAGGGUAGUGACAGCCCUAACGGUCGACGUAUUCCACCUCGUUCGGAUCGGUGUUUGUAAGACCAUAGUCAGACCUUCCUAGCCCCCAUCUCAUCUCUUUCUGUGGUUAGUGCUCUGAUGUCCCGAUAUAAAUAAUCUUUGAAGUAAUUCUUGAUUCUUAGAUCAAUUAGAGAACUCUCAGGAAACUUCCUCUCUUCCCACCAAAAAUAAUUAUAUAGUUAUCCUUGGGCUAUCUUGGAUCUUAAUUAGUACACUCACGUUCCCUGUGGAAAAUCGAUACUCUGGAAUACUCCCGGGUGAAAGCUACAUCGGUAUCCGUGCGCUUGCGGAUUUUUCUGUUUGCGUUUAAAAUACCCAACAAGCUUUCUGGCGCCGUUGCCGAGGAACGGUAGCUGUGCUUGUUUCGAACCAAGUCGUCCGUGUAUCUGUUGACGGUCCUUAAUGCUCAUAUUUAACCAUCAACUAAUCAUGGAAAAGGAUCCAAAUGCAACCAACACCUAGACUUAGGGUAUUAUCUGACAGAAUUCCACAAGUUUUGGUGUUUGUCUAUUUCUGUAGGGGGUUAUCAGGAAAUAUGGAAGAAAGGCCCACACGUCGGGUUUACAUAGAGAUAUUAACGUGCCGUGCAAUUUUCUGCCAUCUAGAAGACUCCAGAAGCCACGGGAACGAACGGGAGGCCGAUCGGGCCCGAGGGUAGGGCGCCCGCCCUCCCCCUUGGGUGCCCGCCCAGCUACAGUGCCCAAUCAGGACACGUUUCGCGGAUUAUGCUCCACCGACCUAAAGGAUCAAGGAAAACCGUGCGAUUAAUGUCGGUUUGAUCCGAGGGCCCAGAUUCAUCUGAAAAGACUAUAUAAGCAAGGCCCCUGUCCCCUGGAGAUCAUACCUCUUCGACAGAAUCAAAGCUAGGGUUUCAAUUCUUCAUCCAAGUAGAGAGGAACCCUCUAGUUCUUCUAGUUCUACCUCUAGUUCAUCUAGAUCUAGUUCUAGUUCAUCUAGUUCUAGUUCUAGUUCCUCUAGUUCUAGUUCUAGUUAGUUCUAGUUGUAAUCUAGAAAAUAGGGAGAGAGAAGAGGAGAGCGGAGGACGAGCCGGAUCUGUCAGAUCUUCCGCAACAUUGUACUUUUGCAGCAUCUGGUUCGUUCUUCAUCGUUCUCCAGGUUCUUCAAUUCAUAACUCCUGAGUUCUCUAAUUACUUUUAUUUACAUUCAAGUUAUUUAUUGGAUUCCCGCUUGCAUCAAGUGCUCUAAUCUUUGAAACAUUAGAGUAGUAAUUAAUAGAUUAGACGUGGUGUUUAAUCUUGCAAUUACCUGGAAUUGCACCCAAUCCUGCGGAUUGUUGUGGUAGCCUUAGGGUAGUGACAGCCCUAACGGUCGACGUAUUCCACCUCGUUCGGAUCGGUGUUUGUAGGACCGUAGUCGGAGCUUCCUAGCCCCCUUCUCAUCUCUUUCUGUGGUUAGUGUUCUGAUGUCCCGAUAUAGAUAAUCUUGAAGUAAUUCUUGAUUCUUAGAUCAACUAGAGAACUCUCAGGAAACUUCCUCUCUUCCCACCAAAAAUAAUCAUAUAGUUAUCCUUGGGCGAUCUUGGAUCUUAAUUAGUACACUCACGUUCCCUGUGGAAAUCGAUACUCUGGAAUACUCCCGGGUGAAGGCUACAUCGGUAUCCGUGCGCUUCGGAUUUUUCUGUUUGCGUUUAAAUUUCCCAACAAGCUUUCUGGCGCCGUUGCUGGGGAACGAUAGCUGUGCUAGUUUCAAACCAAGUCGUCCGUGUAUCCUUUUCUUUUUCCUUUUUACCACACUCACCUUACCAUUUUCACCAUACCGCAUGGAUUUCACUCUAAGCAUUAAUGAGCAUGGAAUUUAUUUCAUAGCCACUUCAUUUACUCCAUGCUCAUAUGCAACAUCUUCACAAUCCAUUGGUCUCUCCAACAUCACCACAUUCGAGAUCUCCAACCCUCACUUCCUUUCUAUUUAUAAAAACUUUAAAAGGGCAGUUGUCGAUGCAUAUGUCUAUAUUAAAUAUUGCACAUCUCGUUGAGUUGAUCUUGAUAUAGGUCAGCGUUGGAGGGGAAACCACUUCGCUGACAUAAAUUGAUGGUUUCCCAAGGACAAGCUUAGUGUCCUAAAGUAAGCACUGAUCAGAUUGUAACAUGAGCUUUUAAUUAUUUGCAACGUUACCUUGUGUGUUGAGCAUAUAAGGAUAAUUGUAAAAAUAUUCCUUCGGGUAUUCUUGUCACUAACCUUUCCAGGAUUGGAGCAAGAAGAUCGGAUGAAUGACAAGCACAAGGUAUGUCCAACCAAUCAUCAUGCAACAUUGAAUUAAAUUCAUCCAAACUCGAAUUUUGCAAAAUUCAAGCUUGGGGGAGUACUUCACAUAAAAACAUCCUUUGCCAUGUUGCUAUGUUGGUUGUCCCUACCUUUGAGACAUGCUCAAUUUGUUAAAUACUAAUCACACUACUUCAUCUCCACUUGAGUAUAUCUCUAUCAAUGCUCUCAUAAAUCAAAUUAGACAUGGUGUCUAGGUUGAUCUUUGAGCCGAUAGUAUGCUAUAGUAGAUAUUGGAUAUUUUAUUGGACUAACCCCUGCAGGAAAACUUUCAAUAUCAACCUGGAAAGUCCUGAGAUAACUCACAUNNNNNNNNNNNNNNNNNNNNNNNNNNNNNNNNNNNNNNNNNNNNNNNNNNNNNNNNNNNNNNNNNNNNNNNNNNNNNNNNNNNNNNNNNNNNNNNNNNNNAGAUUAACCAACACAAUUGAUUCAAUAUGUUUAGUCCUUCCACCUUUGUAAUCCCACACUCCUAAUCUUAUGAACUAAAAUGUUGCACACUCAAUCUUUGGAAAAUGAUAGUCAUGUAAAGAAAAAAAACAUUUACUUAGAUAGAUUAUCUUUCCAUAAGGUUGAGUGAUCUGAUCUGACAAAUGUUUUAAAUGUUACACUCAUGGUCUUAUUAUCCAUCAACUUUGUCUUGCUCACUAUGCUUAAGGUUAGAGAGAACAAAUACACCUUUGGUUCUGUUGGUGUUUUCCACCAACAGGGCCCAUGCACUUGAUCUCUGCCUUGUCUCUAUGAGUAGGUACACUUCAAGCAAAAUAUGAAGGAGUUUUACAACUCCCAGACUCCACCAAGUGAAGAACCUAGAUCUACGAGCACAAACACACUGGAGAUACUGGACACUCAGGUAAUCACUGCCCUAAGAUGCUUAAGGACGUUACUACUGGAGUAACCCCGUUGUGGAAGUAAUUACUGACCUUCUACCGGUCAAGAGAGACAAUCUAGGACGCCCCGUCAUCCCGAUCUCCAUCGGCAUGGUAGACUUCCCAGAAGCACUCUGCGACUUUGGCUCCAGCGUCAACAUUAUGCCCAGGGUACUCUAUGAAAAAUUCUUUACACAUCCUUUUUUAGAAACAACCAUGUGUUUGCAGCUUGCAGAUCGUACGCUAUGUUUCCCAAAGAGAAUAUUGAAGAACCUCUACGUCUGAGUUGGUACCUUAUACGCUCCAGCAGGCUUCGUGGUGAUAGAGACUGAUACUAAUGAGAGGGCACCCAUCAUCUUAGGGAGGCCAUUCCUAAACACCUCAGGAGCUGUCAUCUACGCUAGUGCUGCCAAGAUCAGUUUCUACAUCAAGGGGACGAAGGAGACGUUUUCCUUCAAGAACAAGACUACACAAAUCUCAGAGCAAUCCCGACAUGAACCAAGGAAGAGGACCAACAGGAGGAAUAGGAACAAGCAAAUGUGGACCAAGUCAGCUAAGAUGGUCACUGCAGCUCAAGGAGGUCAAGAUCGUCAACUCAGGUCGCCUUUCUUGAUCAAGAAGGACGACCCUGGUGUUCCAAGCAUCCAGUGCUCUAUUAAUGGAUACAACUUCCAGAAGACGCUUUGCGACACUGGGUCAGGCGUCAACAUAAUGGUCGCAGUCACCUAUCAACUCCUGUUCGGAACCAUGCCACUAAAACCGACAUACAUUUAGCUCUAGAUGAUUUUAAGGUUAUUGACAUGGGAGAAGACGAGUACAAUCCACCCAUCACCCUUGGAAGACCGUUCUUUAGCACCGUUAAAGCAAUCAUAUACAUUGGAACCAGAGAAGUCCACAUGCAUUUCCCCUCUGAGAAGAAGACGACGCAACCGCAACCAGAGGAGGCAAAUCAUCAAGGACGGAUGGGCAGACUAUGAAGGAGAAGUUAUAAGGUCUGAAAACAUACAGCUUGAACAGAACUGUCCUGAGGAGACCGUAGCACCAAGUCAGGUGUGGAGAAAGAAGAUAGUUAUACAUGAAGAGCAGGCGCCGCCGGAACCACCGACUACGCCAUCCAGCGAAUCCAAGGACGAUUGAGAAAACGGAGAGUCCCGUUCGGAGGACUUAAAAACACCGAACGCCUUGCCAAGAGGUAAACUUGGUAGUUAUCUUUUUCCUUUCAAUUAUUUUAAAAUAGUUUGCUUAGUUAAUCAGGUUCAUAUCAUCCUGAAAAGAAAAUAAAAAUGUUUAAAAUAGUAAGCCCCAUGUGGGUAUGCUCAUGGCAUAAAACCCAUAAGUACAUUCACUGUGGUGGCAUAGAAAUAAAAUAAAUAUAUUCCUGUUCUAUAAAAAUAAAAUUAUAAAAAUAAAUUUAUGAUCCUACUAAAGAGAGUAACAUUUAUUGAGGAGGCUCAACAUGAUAAAGGCUAGAUAUUUAUGCUAACACUUAACUAGUUCCACAAAGCUUUGUUGUCUAUUUGAGCUCCACAGAAUUCAAGGUUCAAAGAAGACUAGCAGACGGAGGACAUCCUACUCGCUGUCAGGGCGCUGCCGACAUUCAAAUACACCUCUGCCACGUGCUAGCUACAUCAGAAGGAAUUACGUCAAAAUCCAGCUUGGGCGAGAGCAUUCCCAUUUAUCCAGCUAAGUGUUUCUACUCGCGUUUAUACUUUACUCAAAUAAUAAAAAUAUGCAUAAUCAUAAAAAACCAAAUAAAGAUUUUGUGCUUAUAUAUAUAUAUAUAUAUCUUUGCUCAGUUUGCUAAAUAAAUAAAUAAAGUUUGCUAUGAACCCUCAUGAUAAGCUCUCACAUGGAAAUGAUGAGUAGUUGCUCUACCAUGACUAGUUCUCAAAAUUGAAAUCUCUCUCAAGUUUAGGCAUGACCGUUAUUAAUUAAGAUUUGCUCUAAACCUAAACUUGUGGGAAGAGUACUUGAUCUGAAGUCUAAGUCGUUAACUGAUAUGAUAUGGGAAGGUUGAGCUGCUGUUUAUCUGUUCCUAGAGAUGCUAGAAUUCUGGAGAAUUUUAUCUUUGAAAAUCUUUAAAAUGUUGCAUGAUGAGUUCCUGUAUGAUGAGAGUUUAAAUUCCUACCACAGCCAUAUAUACAUGCUUGUUAGACUAUGAACCACACAUUUACUUUUUAAUGCUUAUGAGCAUUGAGUGUGGUCAAGCUGUGUAGACCCUUAGGAGCUUGUCAGGUGGUUAAAUCAAGAUUCACUUGCACGUUCACUCACACAUGCUACUUCUACUCCAGAAGUACCAUCCACAUAUAUCCAUCCAUUUCCAUCUCCAGAACCACCCAAAAAUAUUCUACUCCUAAUCCGGGAGAGAAUAGCCAAAAACAUUCUCCUAUUUCUGUUUUUCCCUGUGAAAAAAAAAUGCUCAAGUUAUCUUGGUUACUACCACUUGCUAUAUUAUUUCAGGAGAUGAGUGCUCUAAAAAAAGAAAGAAAAAAGAAAGAAUGCGAGGAAAUAAAAGGGGCAAGUGCCCGGAACCUCGAAAGAAAAGAAAAAGUGAGACGAGAGGUAAAAAUGGACAAGUGUCCGACAGUAGAAUUAGGGGUACAAGAUACCCACCUGAGAGAAAAGAAAAAUAAAAUAUAGAGCAUCUCAUUCUCCUCAAAAAGUUUCAAAAGAGCAAGAAAGGUAUGUAUCCCCUCAAAAGAGCAUAAGUAGAAUUAGACUUCCACCAUUGUUAUCACCAUCAUCACCAUACACCAUUCAUUCGCCACACAUGCACAUCUUGAUUUGACUUAUUGACUUGUUCUUCUGGAUCCAUGGUUUGACUAUGCAAUAAAUGUCUUGUAAGUAUGUAUUAGCUGUCUCCCACCUAUGAGCUCCAGAUAUCAAAACCUUAUUAGAGUAGGGUGUGAGAGAAGGCAAUGCCACUAUGCCUCAUACCAAAAAUACCACAUACUUUGAGAGAAGGCAUACACCAUUACUGCCUUGGUAAGGAUCCAAAAAUACCACAAAAGAGAGACUAGAGAAAGUCAUACAAGGAAUCUCUGAGUUUUAUUUGAAAAUCUACAAAAACUCCAGUGCUAUAGUUAAUCGAAGAACAAGAGACAUGGCGCUUGACUAAACCGUUCUAUCCUUUAACUGCUCAAGACAAAAGUGACGGUUGCAAGCCCCAUGGUGAAAGGUAAUAUGAGUAAGUUUAAAUCUUAAUAGUUACCCUAACCCAAAGAUGAGAUCUUGUUUGAAUGCAUGUAUAACUUUAAGGCAUGAAACCACUGCAGAAACUCUUGAGUUCAUCUUUGCUCAGGGACGAGCAAAGGUUAAGCUUGGGGGAGCUUGUUGACGGUCCUUAAUGCUCAUAUUUAACCAUCAACUAAUCAUGGAAAAGGAUCCAAAUGCAACCAACACCUAGACUUAGGGUUUUAUCUGACAGAAUUCCACGAGUUUUGGUGUUUGUCUAUUUCUGUAGGGGGUUAUCAGGAAAUACAGAAGAAAUGCCCACACGUCGGGUUUACAUAGAGAUAUUAACGUGCCGUGCAAUUUUCUACCAUCUAGAAGACUCCAGAAGCCACAGAAACGAACGGGAGGCCGAUCGGGCCCGAGGGCAGGGCGCCCGCCCUCCCCCCUUGGGUGCCCGCCCAGCUACAGUGCCCAAUCAGGACACGUUUCGCGGAUUAUGCUCCACCGACCUAAAGGAUCAAGGAAAACUGUGCGAUUAAUGUCGGUUUGAUCCGAGGGCCCAGAUUCAUCUGAAAAGACUAUAUAUGCAAGGCCCCUAGCCCCUGGAGAUCAUACCUCUUCUACAGAAUCAAAGCUAGGGUUUCAAGUCUUCAUCCAAGUAGAGAGGAUCCCUCUAGUUCUUCUAGUUCUACCUCUAGUUCAUCUAGAUCUAGUUCUAGUUCAUCUAGUUCUAGUUCUAGUUCCUCUAGUUCUAGUUCUAGUUAGUUCUAGUUGUAAUCUAGAAAAUAGGGAGAGAGAAGAGGAGAGCGGAUGAGGAGCCGGAUCUGUUGGAUCUUCCUCAACAUUGUACUUUUGAAGCAUCUGGUUCGUUCUUCAUCAUUCUCCAGGUUCUUCAAUUCAUAAUCCUGAGUUCUUUAUUUACUUUUAUUUACAUUCAAGUCAUUUAUUGGAUUCCCGCUUGCAUCAAGUGCUCUAAUCUUUGCAACAUUAGAGUAGUAAUUAAUAGAUUAGACGUGGUGUUUAGUCUUGCAAUUACCUGGAAUUGCACCCAAUCCUGCGGAUUGUUGUGGUUGCCCUAGGGUAGUGACAGCCCUAACGGUCGACGUAUUCCACCUCGUUCCGGAUCGGUGUUUGUAGGACCGUAGUCAGACCUUCUUAGCCCCCUUCUCAUCUCUUUCUGUGGUUAGUGCUCUGAUGUCCCGAUAUAAAUAAUCUUUGAAGUAAUUCUUGAUUCUUAGAUCAAUUAGAGAACUCUCAGGAAACUUCCUCUCUUCCCACCAAAAAUAAUUAUAUAGUUAUCCUUGGGCGAUCUUGGAUCUUAAUUAGUACACUCACGUUCCCUGUGGAAAAUCGAUACUCUGGAAUACUCCCGGGUGAAAGCUACAUCGGUAUCCGUGCGCUUGCGGAUUUUUCUGUUUGCGUUUAAAAUACCCAANNNNNNNNNNNNNNNNNNNNNNNNNNNNNNNNNNNNNNNNNNNNNNNNNNNNNNNNNNNNNNNNNNNNNNNNNNNNNNNNNNNNNNNNNNNNNNNNNNNNNNNNNNNNNNNNNNNNNNNNNNNNNNNNNNNNNNNNNNNNNNNNNNNNNNNNNNNNNNNNNNNNNNNNNNNNNNNNNNNNNNNNNNNNNNNNNNNNNNNNNNNNNNNNNNNNNNNNNNNNNNNNNNNNNNNNNNNNNNNNNNNNNNNNNNNNNNNNNNNNNNNNNNNNNNNNNNNNNNNNNNNNNNNNNNNNNNNNNNNNNNNNNNNNNNNNNNNNNNNNNNNNNNNNNNNNNNNNNNNNNNNNNNNNNNNNNNNNNNNNNNNNNNNNNNNNNNNNNNNNNNNNNNNNNNNNNNNNNNNNNNNNNNNNNNNNNNNNNNNNNNNNNNNNNNNNNNNNNNNNNNNNNNNNNNNNNNNNNNNNNNNNNNNNNNNNNNNNNNNNNNNNNNNNNNNNNNNNNNNNNNNNNNNNNNNNNNNNNNNNNNNNNNNNNNNNNNNNNNNNNNNNNNNNNNAUUUGGAUCCUUUUCCAUGAUGAGUUGAUGGUUAAAUUAUGAGCAUUAAGGUCCGUCAACAAGCUCCCCCAAGCUUAACCUUUGCUCGUCCGUGAGCAAAGAUGAACUCAAGAGUUUCCGCAGUGGUUUCAUGCUUUAAAGUUAUACAUGCAUUCAAACAAGAUCUCAUCUCUGGGUUAGGGUAACUGUUAAGAUUUAAACUUACUCAUAUUACCUUUCACCAUGGGGCUUGCAACUGUCACUUUUGUCUUGAGCAGUUAAAGGAUAGAACGGUUUAGUCAAGCGCCAUGUCUCUUGUUCUUUGAUUAACUAUAGCACUGGAGUUUUUGUAGAUUUUCAAAUAAAACUCAGAGAUUCCUUGUAUGACUCUCUCUAGUCUCUCUUUUAUGGUAUUUCUGGAUCCUUACCAAGGCAGUAAUGGUGUAUGCCUUCUCUCAAAGUAUGUGGUAUUUUUGGUAUGAGGCAUAGUGAUAUUGCCUUCUCUCUCUCCCUACUCUAAUAAGGUUUUCGAUAACUGGAGCUCAUAGGUGGGAGACAGCAAAUACAUACUUACAAGACAUUUAUUGCAUAGUCAAACCAUGGAUCCAGAAGAACAAGUCAAUAAGUCAAAUCAAGAUGUGCAUGUGUGGCGAAUGAAUGGUGUAUGGUAAUGAUGGUGAUAACAAUGGUGAAAGUCUAAUUCUACUUGUGCUCUUUUGAGGGGAUACAUACCUUUCUUGCUCUUUUGAAACUUUUUGAGGAGAAUGAGAUGCUCUAUAUUUUCUUUUUCUUUCCUCUCAGGUGGGUAUCUUGUAUCCCUAAUUCUACUGUCGGACACUUGUCCAUUUUUACCUCUCGUGUCACUUUUUCUUUUCUUUCGAGGUUCCAGGCACUUGCCCCUUUUUAUUUCCUCGUAUACUUUUUUUUUCUUUUUUUAGAGCACUCAUCUCAUGAGAUAAUAUAGCAAGUGGUAGUAACCAAGAUAACUUGAGCAUUUAUUUCACAGGGAAAAAUAGAAAUGUUUUUGGCUAUUCUCUCUCGGAUUAAGAGUAGAAUAUUUUUGGGUGGUUCUGGAGAUGGAAAUGGGUGGAUAUAUGUGGAUGCGUACUUCCGGAAGAAGAAGUAGGCUAGAUAUUUAUGCUAACACUUAACUAGUUCCACAAAGCUUUGUUGUCUAUUUGAGCUCCACAGAAUUCAAGGAUCAAAGAAGAUCAGCUGACGGAGGACAUCCUAAUCGCUGUCAAGGUGCUGCCGACAUUCAAAUACACCUCCACCACCUGCUAGCUACAUGAGAAGAAAUUACGUCAAAAUCCAGCUUGGGGGAGAGCACCCCCAUUUAUCCAGCUAAGUAUUCUACUCACGUUUAUACUUUACUCUGAUAAUAAAAUGAUGCAUAAUCAUAAGAACCCAAAUAAAGAUUUUGUGCUUAUAUAUAUCUUUGCUUAGUGUUGGGUAUUCUUAACAUCAUUACCAAAAGUAGAUUAAAUUCUCUAAAUCUAGUAACGGUGCCAAAAAUGCCAAACCUAUCCCUCAUACCACUUAAGCCAAGUUGUCAUCCCCAGCAUGAUAUAAGAGACGCGGUAUUGAAAUAUGCAAUUGCUCUUCUAAAUAAAUAAUGAAUGGGAUCUGCAAGCGCACAGAUUAAUAUCGAUGCAGCAUUUUAACCGGGAAGUAUUCCAGGUAUCGUUAUUUAUAUUUUUACCACUGGGAAGGGAUUAACAAUCAUCACUAUUGAUUACAGAAUAGAAUAUGAGAUUGAGCAUCUAUCAUUGCAUGUAUAAUUGAGAACAUUAUAUCUAACUCUUCAUACAGGGAUAAGUGUCACAUAAAAGAUAUAUGAAAUAAUAAUAGUGAUAAGGAUAACUAAUCUGAUCUAGCCACAUAAUAAAUAUGAUAAGCACCUCAAUUAGAUACUCUAGAAAGUCAUUAGCAUGGUAUUAGAACGAACUACAAGAAUAUUCCCUAAGUUAUACUUAACUAUAUAGUCUAGCAUAUCAUAGUUAGUGCAAGCAUACUUAGCAAUCAUUGUGAGACAAGACUACGCCCAUGCAUAGUGAUAUUAGCAAGGAAUAUGAGAAACAUAGCAAUCACUCCCCUGUAAUAAUGUUGCUCUGCCAGCCCAAUACAUGAGAGGGGGACUAUAUAAGAAUCAAUGAAGUUGUCACUAUCACGAACCACCCCACGAUCUGGCAUAUUGGGUACAAUCGCAGAUAAAUACGGUAUAAGCACCACGCCUACACAAUAUCUAUCAUUUACCCAUGGAUCCGAUGGAUAAACGCUAUACGAUCCUAAGCAUGUAUAUAGAUCCAAUCUAACUAAGCCAAGUACAUAACUAUGAUAAACUAAGAGCAAUAUAAUCUUGAAUAUAAGCAAGUAGAGCAAAGUCAUAAGCAAUAUAUUGAAGUAGAUCAAAGUCAUAUUCAUAAUAUUGAAGAACAAAGAUAAUUAGAAAAUAAUUAGAAGCACAAUUAGAGAAUUACCAAGAAUCCUCUUGACAGAUCCGGAAACCAAUCGAAGAUUGACUCCUUCUAGUUCUAAUCCUAUGUAGCUAUGCUAAUCUAGAUAUCUAAUUGAUGUGGUGGCUCUAAUCUUGAUUAGAGGCUUCUUCUCCCUUGAUGGAACAAUGAAUUGGGGUUGAGAGGCUCUCUCCUCCAGGGGCCAGGGGGUCUGGUUUUAUAGUCCCUUCAAGUGAAUAUGGGCCGUUGGAUCAAACCGACAUAGAUUGUAUGGUUUAGAUUCAUCCUUUAGGUCGGUGGAGAUCUCCCGCAAAGCAGAGUCCUGAUUGGACUCCUGGAGGGGGCGGGCGCCCAGGGCAGGAGGGCGGGCGCCCUGCCUCUGGCCCCGUUUCGCCUCCGCUUCGGUCUCGUGGCUUCUGGAGUCUUCUAGAUGUAAGAUAAUUGCGCAGCACGUUAAUAUCUUUACGUAAUCCCGACGUGUGGGCCUUUCUUCCGUAUUUCCUGAUAACCCCCUGCAGAAAUAGACAAACACCAAAACUCGUGGAAUUCUGUCAGAUAAAACCCUAAGUCUAGAUGUUGAUUUCAUUUGGAUCCUUUUCUUUAU